GAAGAGAAAAUUAAAGAAGAGAGAAGUUGCCCGUCGGCCAUGGAGAGCUCCUCCUCGUCUCUGUCGUUGAGCUCGUAUACCGGCAACAACAAGAGGGCCAGAGAGGCCGGCCAUGAAGCGGCCUCGUCCGCGGAGGCGGAGGCUGCCAAGAGGAUGCGGCCGGAGGACCUGCUGGACCUGCUCGACGACGACGCCGACGCCGCGGCGGCCGGCGACCUUGCCUCCGUCAUGCGGAGCCUGGAGGAGGAGGAUAUGCUCCGGCGACGUGACCCCGCCGCAGCCGGAGCUCGGGUUCCUGCUCGAGGCCUCGGACGACGAGCUCGGCCUGCCGCCGGCCGCCGGGGCCUCCUCGUCGUCGGAUGAGUGCCGGGGGCUGGGAGCCCGGAGGAGCCCACCGGCGUCUUCGUGGACCAGAUAUGGGGCUUCGAGGAUGAGAUUGACGGCGUAUACGCCUUCGGCGGCGUCACCUCCUCGCCGGAGGCCGCCGCCGCGGCUGCAGCGGCCGCGGCAGAGUGGGGCGACGACGCCUUCGACGCCGGCCUGUUCGGCUUCGGCGACGAGUCCUUCGGACCGUCCGAUCUCGCCGUUCUCCGCCAGGAGACCAUGCCCGCCGUUUGAUCAGCCAUCAGUGAAUGGAUUAGCCUUUUCUUUUUUACCUUUGGCUGACCUUAGCGUUACCCUUUUUUUAACCUUUUGGGGGUGUAAAGCUUCUAGAUGAUGCAAGAUGAACAAACUGUGAGCAAGAAACCUGGAAAAUGCGUUGCUUCGAACGAAUGAUGUAGAAAGAAAGAAAAAACAUGUCGAGAAAAAAAUAUAUGUCAAGAGGUUCCGGAAGAAAUGUUUAUGUUCUUGGAAUAAUUAUUUUUGUUUAGAUGAAAGGAAAUAGUAGUAUAAUGUGAAUGCGUUUACGAGUCAAAAGCAGAUGCGGAUUUAUGGCCGUUGAUGGAAAUGUUUGAAAUGAUACGCUGCCUGCUUGUUGACCUAACCAAAUGACAUGACAAACCUAAAUAGCGAGGAAAAAAAAACAUAUGACAUUCAACUGCCCAGCACGAUGGAUUGGAAAAUCAGAAGCUUCUAGUCGGACUCAUGUAUCUUUUAAUUUUUAAAAGGAUAGGCUCACAAUUCUAAGGAAAAAGAAAAUAAAGAAUGUUUUUAUAAAAUGUGGAUAAUUAUAUUCGAGCCCUUGUUAGGGUAUACAUGCCUAAUUUGCCCCUAGUUUUUGAAAACCCGCAAGGCAUGCGCGUGUACCUAUGUCGUAAAUUUAAGUUAUAUAAAAUAUAUUAUUUAACAUAAAAAUUAUAUCAUUAGAAAAUAAAACAUUAAAGUUUAAUGAUAUAUUUUUUGUACUUCCUCCGUUUCAGUUUAUAAGGCGUGCACGUGUAUCUAGGUCGUCAAUUUGACCAACUUAAUAAGAGACAUAUAUUACAAAAAAUAUAUCAUUAGAAACUUUAGAUGUUCUAUUUUUUAAUGAUAUAAUUUUUAUGUUAAACAAUAUAUUUUAUAUAAGUCAAAUUGACGACCUAGAUACACGUGCACGCCUUAUAAACUGUGAUGGAGGGUGUAAUACAUGUCUCUCAUUAAGUUAAUCAAAUUGACGACCUACAUACACGUGCCGGACUUAUAAACUGAAACGGAGGGAGUAUGAUUUUGGUCAAUCACCGGUUUGACCGCCGCUUUUAAAACACCAUAAUAAAUUCAUAUUAAUCUGGAAACAUGCGAUUAAGACAUCAAAAGUUUAAUAGAAAUAUCAUCUAUGUGUACAUGUCAUUUACAUUAUGACAAGAUUGUUGUUCAUAACAUUUUAGGUCUGAUAAUAUUAAUAACCUCGUGUGGUUUGGAAAAAGGAUACUUGGAUGUGAGUUGGUUGGAACAGAUAAUUCGGACGGCAACGGUUGACCUGUAAAACAAGAGCAUCUGACAAGAUGGGUGGGAUUUUUUCUGCACGUAUCUAUACAACCCGUAUAAUACAAGCAACCUGCAAGGUGUAACAACUAGGAGUAUCAUCCUGUCCGGAAAAUAAUAAUAUCAUCUCAUUCAUAUUCAGAUUUGCCGUCCCCCUCCAUAAACAAACAGUACGGACGCAUUGAGCUUGUGACGAAACUCCCGUGGAAACAUGUUGUGUCAAAGUGUCUGGAAAUAAAAAAAGUGCACAUAACUGGUUGAGCUGGUAGUAAUGAAAAGUAUCGAGACAGCCUGACAAGAGAACACGGAUCGUAUUUCUCGCCGGAGCGAGCUGGUACUCCGACGGCUGAUUUUGUCAACGGCGCUUGGAAAACGAGUUUGCACGACAGCGGGAGAUUGACCUUGCUUAGUUUUCUCUUCCGUUUUUUCCAUGCCAUCAACGCACUGGGCAUGACGUGUUGCCUCUACGUCCUCCCUCUCUCGGGUCUCUUUCGGGGCUGCCCUCUCCCAUCACAUGUCACCGUCUGAUCGUGCAAUAAUGUUAAUAAUGUCGGGUAUACCCAAGAUCUCGUAUGAGCUAAGCUAGGGAUAUGGGAUCAGAUUUUGCAGUGGGUAGUACUAGCUCGCUCGACCGCUGCGAGGUGAGUACAAAGGCUGCAAUCAGACCGGCAGACGUUUGAUGGAUGGAUGGGCAGAGAUUCCCUGUGAGAAACGAAAGACAGAUCUAGCCCCUGCUGGCUAUGUAUGGAAGGCCGGCGAGCCACGAUUUUUGCUUCCGGAGAAAGAAGGGAAAGGCGACGUGCGAAUGAGUAAAGCAGCGUGAUUCUUGUGCCACGGGACUCGUGACGCGGCGCAUGUGGACGGUCUUGGCUUUCGCUGGUUCCACGCACGCAACGGCCGCCGCCGCGGUGACCUUCUCGGCUUCUCCCCUGCGACGCACCAAAGGUCGCCGCACCCCCCGGCGGCGCCAACCAAACGGGCCGUGAACAUCAUCAUCUUCUCCUUUUCUUUGUUUAUACUAGUACUAUAGGAGAACCCAUAGCACGUUCGGCUGGCUGCUGCUGGUGGUGAUCACGCUCACGGCUCACGCAUGAUGCCCCGGGGAGCUGUGAUUAGCCACCUCCACCCCGGCCGGCGCUGUUUCGUCUCUGUCGGUUGCGUUGGUCACACGUACUAGUACGAGAGUUCUCGGCUGCUAGGAGGUGGCGAUCGGUGCAUGUGCUGCUGUUCGUUCGAGCGGUAGUGCAGCUGGUGCCGGCACGGUCUGUUGGGGCAGGUGGUUGGAUCGGAUCGCCCGAGUCCACCACACGCCCUGCGUCCGGCCGACCGCCUGCAAACGCAAGUAAACAUCGGAGCGUAAUAUAAUGGCCACCCAUAGGGGCAGAAGAUCUGAAUCUGCAUCGGGCUUGGGCCCGUGAUCUCACCAGAGGUUAGUUAACUUUGAACUGGUUGCUCCACGACCACGAGUGGCACAGGGGCCGACACAGGGCGUGGCACUGGCACAUGGGCAUGGGGUGUGCCCGCGCUUGUGGUUGGAUCCGAAUUGAACCACCGAUCGGUUGAUUGAUCGAUGCCAACAACGUAGUAGCUGGCCUUCAGGGUCGGGCGGGCAGGUCGGCAGACCGGACGUCGGCCGAGCUUUGAUGCGCUUCGUUCCAAUGCUGGACUCUGUCCGCUGGUUUAGCUGUCUGAAUAUCAUCCACUGUGUUGUUGUGCUCAUAGGUGCAACGAGCGAAUAUCAUUUUAUUUUUUGGCCACAGCUCCCACAAAUGUCAUUGCAUGAUGAAAGUUUGCAAACGAUCAAACUAAUUGUCAGUGUUUGUUAAAAAGAGAUGAAAUUGUUUUGAUUUUGUAUGUUGUUGUUCACCCGAGUUUAGAGCACUUCGAUGGUUCCGUACGUAUCUAUAUGAAUAGUGUAAAAUUAGAAGAAAAAAAUUGAUUUUUUGCUGAGUCAAACUUGGUCGCCUGGUCUACUUACAUGUGAAUUUUCGGAAAGAAAUGACACCCAUGGUAUACUCAUAGCUUAUUAUCCCCAAAAAAGGAUUUUAUUUUAAUGUGCUUCUGUUUUUUUUUCUUUUUUGCCUAGAGUACUACAUGUGUCAUUUUGUGUGUGUGUGUGUGUGCAAAAUGUUAUUAUUACCGAGUGUUUCACCAACAUGAUAUCGAAAAUGGUUAGCAAAAGCAGAAGUCCUUUUUUACUUCCGAGCUCAAAUGCUUACUUGUAAACAGUAAAAUCAAAAAAAUAGUAAAAUAAUUCAAACAAUUCUUUAAUUUUUUAUGAUAAACUUUUACAAAUGUUUUACAUGUGUACCAAAAUUCAGCGCGAAAUAACAUUCGUAGAAGUUGCAGCGAAAAAAGCAAAAUCAAUAGUCCAAAAUGUAUCAAAAACUAGCAUUUCAGCGAUUUUGUUUUUUUGUCACGACUUCCACAAAUGUAAUUUCGAGCUGAAAUUUUAUAAGCAUACAAAACAUUUGUCAGAGUUUACCACAAAACGAGUUCAGCAUUUUUAAAAUGUUCUUAAUAUUUUUUAAGAUUUUUACUAUUUAUGAGGGGCAUAUGAGCUCGGAAGAAAAACUCCAUAUCCUUAGCAAAAGCCUCUACCCAUUGUGUUCUAACUGUAGACACUAUCGGUACACGGAAGGGUCAUUUGGAUACUGAUAUUGUAGAGAAACAUGACUGUUGGUAUAAUUACCUAAAACUUAUUUGAAUUCUUUAAACUCUGAACAUGUAUAACUGUUUUUAUGAAAAGACCCUGAAAAGACGUGGAUGUCGCAUAGAGGGGGUGAAUAGACGCUUUAAAAUAAUUACGAUUUAGGUUUGAACGAAUGCGGAAUAAAACUAGCGAUUAAUUUAUCAAGCACAAAACCUAUAACAACUAGGCUCACCUAUGUGCACCAACAACUUAUGAUAAGCAAGAUAAACAACUAAGUGAUAGCAAGAUACUCCCUCCGUUCCUAAAUAUAAGUCCUUUUAGAGAUUGUGUUAUAAACUACAUAUGGAUGUAUAUAGACAUAUUUUAGAUUGUACAUUCACUCAUUUUGCUCCGUAUGUAGUCUCCUAGUGAAAUCUCUAAAAGGUCAUAUAUUUUGGAACGGAGGAAGUGUAUGACAAUAAACAAUAUGGCUAUCAUAAAGUAAAUUGCAUAAGUAAAGGGUUUGGGUAAGAGAUAACCGAGGCUUUACACCACAACGAUUGAGCUCCGAGACACCACCAAGCUUCUCGGACGCCAAAGCAUCCACGACGAACAAUCUCUAGGGUACUAAGUACCAAAGGGUAAUAAGCUUCUCAACUUCUCACUUCCACGUAUCACCCUGGAGAACUCAAACCGAUGCAACUAACGCAAUGGCAAGAACACACGAAGUGGUCAAUCCCCUCACACUUAAAUCCCUCCACAACAACAAAAGCUAUGGAGAAAUAUGAGAGGAAUAACAAGUAGCUCACAAAGAACUCCAAGAUAUAGAUCCAAGGGGUUCCCCUCACAUAGAGGAGAAAGUGAUUGGUGGAGAUGUGGAUCUAGAUCUCCUCUCUCUUUUCCCUCAAAAACUAGCAAGAAUCAUUGAAGGGAUUGAGAGUUAGCAAGCUCUAAGAAGGUCAACAAUGGGGGAAGAACAUGAGCUCAACGGGUAGAUCAGUCCAAGGGGGAAGAAGACCCCCUUUAUAUAAUGGGGGAAGAAAUCAGACCGUUACCCCCACUUACAGCCCGAGCACAGCGGUACUACCGCUAGCCCUGGCGGUACUACCGCUAACCCCUGGCGGUACUACCUCUAGCCCUGGCGGUACUACCUCUAGAGAAAGUCUUCGCAAAAAAGUCCGACAAAGAACAACCGCUCACAGAGAGGUACUACCGUCCCGAAGCGGUACUACUGCCAACCCGGAGCGGUACUACCGCUCCUAGAGCGUUACUACCGCUCCUAGAGCGUUACUACCGCUAGGGAGUGGUAGUAAGAAAUUACUACCGCUCCGGGGGCAGUACUACAACUCCGGGGGUGGUACUACCGUUGGAUACUGAAUCUGCUCUAACUUUCGCAUACGGACUCCGAUUUCAACGAAACCAAGUUUGUUGGAAAGAUAACGACAUGGGCUAACACAAUCUUGAUAGAAAUACCAAUAAGAAGCAAGUGAGAAAAGGCCCAUAAGAAAAUGCUGAGAACCCUUCUUCGAAUAAGACCGGUAAAAACUCCCAACAUUGAAAAAAUCAUAGAAGAUGCAUAUGGACUCCGUUUUCGAUGAACUCGAGCUUGUCAUGAAGAUCACCAUAAACUCUAAAACUCAUAAAGAGAAACACCAAACAAGAACCAAGAAGUAUGAUGCAAGGAUGCAAAUGGUUUGAGCUCUCAACGAACGAUACGAUCAAGCUACUCACUUGAGAGCCCCCAUUGAUAGUACAACAAUCUAUCCUAAAACAGAAAACCUAUCAAGGGCAAACCUAUACCUUGUACCUCGUCCUCUUGAGCUAGAUGAUGAUCUUGGCUUCCUCAAGAUGGACCACCUUUCUUGAUUGCGUUGGCUUGAUGAAGACUAGUUGAUUGCUCCCCCAUACUCACUAUGGGUGAGCCACUCUUCAGCAUAUCUUCACAAGUCCAUUGCCACCACAAUGGACGGCAAGCUUUAAGCAUGAUAUAUUCGUGCUAAUCCACUUGAACUUGCACACCGCAAUCUAGAUGACGAUCACCACUUGACGUCAUCCUUCCUGGGUUGUAUGAGAUCUUCCUUUUGACGCAAGCCCAUGGAAACACACCUAACCCCCACAUAGAACUCUCACGAAGACCAUGGGUUAAUACACAAACACGUAAUGGACAAUGCUUAUCAUACCAUGGGAUCACUUGAUUCCUCUCGGUACAUCUUAACUUAAGGCAACCAUUAGUCCAUAGAAAUUGUCAUCAAUUACCAAAAUCACAUAUGAAGAUAUAUGCUCUAACAGACCCAAACCCUAGUUUUCAAAAUUAUUCAAAAUAGAAUGUUUUUCAAGGGUACUUUGUUUGAUUUGACCUUGUGUUUUUGCCGAUUUUCUCCUCUCCACUAGCACAUAUUCAUUGAGUAUAGAGAAACCUUGUAUUGUAUUUUUUAUCAUUUUCAAUUCCGAGACCUUGAGCACUAGUGCCCGACCCGCGACAGGUGACUUAGGGUUCCGCCCUCCCCCUCGAGCCGCCGUCGACCUUCGGUUAGGCUCCCCUACCCCCUCCCACCAUCCACCUUCGCGCCGCCUCCCCGGGACGGUAGCCGGGGCGACGCUCAGACUCCUCUCCCGUGGGCAUGCUCCUGCUCCAUCUCACCACCGCCGCCGCUGGCCCGGGUGGUGCCGUCGGCGGCGGCCUUCCUGUCCCUGCGUGUGCGUCCCCCUUCCCGGGGAACGGGACGACGACGGUGCAACUCGGCUUGGCUGCGGUCUGGUGACCUGGUGGUGGUGGCCGGCGGCGGGUGAGGUGGCGACGCUGCUCCUUGGCGGCAGGGCGGCGCAGUGGUGCGGGGUGGCUCGCGGCGCGCCCCCGGUGCAGAUCUGGGCCCAGCAGGCCACAUCUGGGUCCUAGCGGGCGGGCACCCAGCGUGGCUACGUUGUGUUCUACAUGAUGAUGAGGAGCAGCAGCUUGGAUGGGGGCGGCGCCAUCGACGGCGUGCCUGUUGCAGCGUGAUGGUGGGAGCUUUACGGAGGGGGCAGGGGUCCCUGCCGGGCAUGUGGGCCUACGGGCCUGGUAUGCUCCUGCUAUUGUGUCCGACCGGCUGCCGUCGUUGACGAUGGAGGUUGAGCCCUCCCGCGUGCCGACGGUGCUGCGGGUCCUAGUCCCGACUCCUCUUCAUCGCUGUGCAGGUCUCUCCUUACGGUGUCGUAGUGAAACGGCGCAGGGGCCUCAAGACCGUGUUGGUGCAGGGUAUAGGUCGGUUUGGUGUCAGGCUGCGGAGCGCCCAAGGUGCAGGUUGAGAUUGGGGAAACCCUUAUCGUCCCGGCCGACACUAACACGGUGACGCCUCUGGGUGUCGCCGAACUUUCCUGGAGGGCGUCGGGGCUACCCUUCCUCGCGCCUCGUCGCGUACCGAGGGAAACCCUUGGCAGCAGCGUCAUCAUCAUCACAUUCCUUCUUGAAGGUGUUAAUGGGUACCUGCGCUUUGGAGUCGUGGAGCUUGGUGGGAGACUCUUGAUGGGCGCAACGGUCGCGAGUCUCUUGCGUUUUUUGUCGAUCCGUCGAUGUCAGCAUUUGUUUCUUUUGUAUUUUCUUUUUCAUUUGCUUUUAAACGUGAAUGUGGUGUUUCCGUCCGAGCACCUAUCGUCGGAUGUUCUGGCUGGUUGCUUUGUAAUACAAAGCGGGAAAAAUCCUUUUUCGUCCUAAUGUUUGAUGAUUUUCAAGCCUUAUAUUCAGAAACCUUGUAUUUAUUUUGUUUGCUCUAACCUUGGUUUUUUGCCGGUUUUCUCCUUUUUCGCUAGCACGUAUUCAUUGAGGAUAGAGCAACCUUAUAUUCUUCGUAAUUUUCAGGCAUUUUGUUAGUUCACGAUGGCAGUUGAUGAUUUAUAUAAAAAAAAUCUGAAAUAAACUCUUCACGCUUCUAAACCACAUUCUUACAUUCUAUGAAGAAAAUGAUUCGACCGAUUUUGCGCAUGCUUUCCCUUUUAGCAUUUCACAUGUUCUCCGACAAGUCCAGCCAGUGCACACUAUACCUUUCUUAUAUUUUUAGAUCGGUACAGUACUGACAGAGUACCUACCCAAGCCUGGAGGACCGUGUUCCACGAUCGCUAUUACCGCUACACAGUUGUUUACUCUUCGGCCUUGUACCCUCCUACAGGGGAAGCAUUACAGUACUGGCUACUGGGGUCUUCCCCGAUCCCUUUGGCAAAGGCAUCCGAUGCGGCGCGCAAGUAGAUAGAUAGAUGCUCGCACGCGCGCCAUGCCAUGCAUGGCUAUUGGCUGGCUCCUCACCGACGGCAACAAGCAGCCUGCCGUGCCGAACCUUGCAAGCUCCAUUCUCCAUCAUCACGUACGGAUACGGCCGGCCUUGCUGCGAAAACGACUCAUCACCGGCGGCCUUUCGAGGGCCAACUCUGCCGCGCGACCCAUCGCGUCCGGUCCCGUCUGUUUAAGAUAAAAGAAACAAAUCGGUCAGUCCAACACGAAACGGUCCGGAUCUAUAUUAUCCGUUUUGUGUCCGAAACGAUCCAUUUCGAGCGCAAACUUGCGCGGGAUUUGGAUCACAACGUACAACAAACGGAUGCGCGCUCGUCCACGUCGGAGCCGCGUGGCAGGCGGCCACCUACUUCCCACCCGCCCACAUCAAUGCGCACGAGCGGCCGGACCCGUCUGUCAUUCGUCCAGGGACCGGUCGUCGUCCACACUUUUCACUACACCCCGCGGCCUCCUCGAAACCCGACACCCAAACCCUAGCCUCGAACUCGCCGGCCGGCCGCCUCGCAGCCAUGGGGCUCUCGAACUACGGCCGCAAGGGGAAGCACGACCGCGAGGCUGGCUCCUCGUCGGGACACCGCCCCGGCUCAAUGAAGGAGGAGGCGGCAUCACCANACUGGGAGACGAGGUCACCGGUACCGUGGAGCGACAUCCACCUCCCCAACAACUGGCACCUCUCCGCCGACCGGGUCCCGAUCCCGUCGGUGUCGACGAGCGACCGUGCGCGCCGCGACGAGAUCGAGCGCCGCCGCGUCCUCCCCGACGACCUGUACUACGGCGACAGGUACGCCGCCGACUCCACCCUUUGGGACACGUGGCUCAGGGACGAGCACGACUUGCGGCGCGCCUCGUACUUCGCCGGCACGGUGUCGGGGCCGCGGCGGGCACGGGAGGUGCGCGGGCGUACACGGGUGCGCGGCCUCACGCCCAUGUCGUCGCCUUUCCCGUCUCCGUCACCACCUCCACCUCCUCACAUGGCAACGCAGGAGGAGGACCGGCUCAUGCAGCGUGUCAUGGAGGACUCCAAGAUCACGCAUGAUGAACGCAAAAUGGCCGGGCCUAGAGGACGCGAUGGCCCUCUCUGCGGCCGGCGACCUCGCCAUCCCCGAGCUGAUGGAGGACGCCCCGGUGGCCGCGUUCCCUACGGAUCUGGAUGGCCAGCAGUGCAGCUGGUCGUGCACAGCGCCGAAGAUGAUUCGAUGGUGAACUGGUGCCCCACACCGCCGCGGUCACCGGAGCGGGACGCCUCGCCACGGGAGGAGGUGCUGCAGGCACCUGUCAGCUUCCAGCCCGCCCCCGCGCAACACGGACCGCGGGCCCACCUCUGGACGCCGCCGGGCUACGUCGACCUCGUCAGCGACGACGACGACACCGACGGCCACUGAAGACGGCCACGGCCACGGGAGACGUUUUUUAUUUUUAUUUUUAUGUUAAUUAUGUGAAGGAUGGUGAAACUGAGCCGUAUUGUGGCGUUACCCUUAAUCUUAUGUUUUAAGAUUUUUUUAACUGCGUUUAUUUAUUUUUUAUUUAAGUUUUGCUAUUUUUUAAUCACGUCCAAUACAGACAUAAUUUGGGAUGCGACCACGCGGUGGGCGCACACACAAUCCAACAGACAGAAGGGGACAUAAACGAACCCAUUGCCAUUCCAAAAAGACCAAAUUCGAUCAAACCGGACGUCCGUUUAGGCUCGCGCCGUGGAGUUGGAUUGAGACCCUACACCAUCGAUCGUGGUUCGAGCUGUGUUUUCCAGAUGUGCACGCGGCCGGCUCGACUGCACAGUGCCCGUCGUGUGUGUGGGUUGUGCUGCGUGCAGGCAGGAGAGACGCCGCGCGCCGGCCGUCGAGAUCGUGCCUCCCCGCACGCGCGCGCGCGCUCUCGGUUGUCGCUGCAUGCCGACGGUGCGCUCGCGCCAGCUGACGGGAGGUAGAUGGGACAUGCAGCUCCUAUGCGCGUGCGUGGAGUUUGAUGUAAGCCGCUGCCCUGGUCGAGUCGUUGACGCCAUUUCGUAGCUUGGCGUGUCAUGCAUGGCCUCCGUGCGUGCGCGCCCGAUGCGAGUUUGAUUAGCGUGAUCACAGGAUUAUGAUUCAUGUCACCGUCGCUUCGAAACUGAUGGCGCGCGCGCAAGCCAUGUUCUCUACAGCAUCGGUGUCAGGGUCACCACCAUGACAGAUGCCCUGCCCAUCUUCUUUCGAGAUCUAGUACGGUACGGUAAUAGUAUCAUGGCACGCCUAGCAUUUAUCACAAACGGAAAUCGUAAGUAUUCCACGGCCAGCCGCCGGAUGACACCGAGGGCCCUCUGUCACGUCCACAGCCAGCCGUCACGUGUGCCGACCACAUGGUCAAAUCCGAGCCGUUCAUUCCGAAAUGAAUGGUCGAUAUCUAUUCCGACGAUUAGCCUCUCUCCCCCUAUCACUGCUUCUUUUUCUCUGCCCUGCUCCUGACGGUACGUUCUUUGUUGAAAUCGCUCGUCAAUGCUUGCCGGCGUGCCGAUUCAAGGAGCUACUCGCACCAUUGAUGCAAACCGCCUAAGUUAUGUGUUCUCUCUCCAAGCAUUUUCGUUCAAUUUAACGUCGCACGUACUAGUAUGAGAGCACAAAGGUUUAUCGAGGGGUGGGGGUGCGCGUUCUCCCGACUCUCUCUAUGGCAAUGGGGGAAAGAAAGGGAGGUGGCAGAGCCUCUUGUCGAAGCGGGUCCACGGCCCCACCCGAAUAAAAGUUGCAGGACCGGGGGGAGGGGGUGGGGGUGGGGGUGCCACGGCUGCUUCGCGUGACAACAUGCCACCGAUCAACGACACCACCCAUCGACGAUCCACUAUGUAGUAGUUAUCACAUAAGUUAUGAUUCGAUACCUACUGUCAUUUAUUCGAUGCCUACUGUCAUUUAUAUUGUGAGAUUGGUGUUGCUAUGCUUAAUGAUUGUCACUAGGACCUAGAUGAUAUGAUUUCAUAUUUGAGCCCUUUUUUCGUGAACAUCGACGAGUUUGGAUCUUACCUGCAAGUUGUAUGCACCUGUUGUAGUUUUUCAUCAAAGACCCCGAAGUGACAGUAAUCGGGAUACCAAUGAGCAGGACUACAACCUGAGGAUUGCAUAUAUUCAUUGAGUGUUAAUGACUUCAUCAGAUGCUUUAUCAAAUGAGUACAUUAAUUAUUCUUAAUUUCCAAUAGGAUCUCGCUGGAAUGGAAGGGUAGGACAAACUAUAAUGUGCAAGUUAUUAUUAUAUAUAUGCACGUGCAACUACAUAUGAAAUACUCCCUCCGUCCCAAAAUAAAUGACUUAACUCUACACUAACUUUAGUAAAAAAUUGAGUCAUUUUUGAGUCACUUAAUUUGGGACGGAGGGAGUACUUGCCUACGUAAGUUGAAGAAUAUGUGGUAGGUUAUUAUUCUCUAUGUUUAUGCUAUUACAUGUUUGAUUCAAUCUAUGCAACGUCUCAUUAUCCAUUCUCAUGCCUACAUUUCAUACUAUUGCUCUUUUUAAAAAGUACUUUUUAUUUCUUAUUUGUUGGGUAUUACUUCUAUUGUUAGUCCAUUGGAAUCAAAUAAUGAACACUUCAUCACAUUAGCUACUGAUAAAUCCCUUUGAGGAAGUACUUUGUUUUUAGGUGUGGCUGAAUUGAUAACUCAACUACUAAAACUUAUAAGUAUUGUUGUCUCCCUUCAUUUCGAAUCAAUAAAUUUAGAUUAUGAUAUUUCUCAUUGAAGACUCUUGUGAUGCUCCAUACUUGUGUGUUGUCAAUCACCCGUUUCUAAAUUGCUUCAGGCCAUGUCCUUAGGAGAUAAGCUUCCAGACAAUAAAAUGCAUCUUAUUAGUAUCAAGUUUGGAUCUGAACUAGUACUAUUAAUCGUAUCAAGUUAGGAUGUCACACAUUGUCGUUAGUUUUUAAAUUUCACAUCUGAAUGUUCCAAUAUUUCAGGAGAAAACUUCAGAAAACAAAACAAUGCACCAGAUGGACUAACCUCAAAGUUUAAAGAGCCGCGUGAACACUUCUCACAAUGUGAAAACUUAUGACCACUGAGUGUACUUUGACCUAGGACACAAACCUCGCAAGGGAUGUCAAUGAGUCACCACGUACUCAUCAUAUUAGAGGGAAGAAGGCCAGGAGCAAACAAUAAUUAAAUUGUGGAAUCACAUACGAGUACAAAAUAAACUUGACAUCCUCAUUUUCCAUUGACACUGUCAAGUUGGGUCAAAGUAUAGAAUGUCAAUCCAUAAGGUAGAGGCCAUUGAGAAGUUAAAUCAAUACACCGCGGGUUCUCAUGUUCUAGUUGCUUUGGUCACAACGAGCACAACACCGCGGGAAUAGAGUCUUGAGGCUUUUACUAAGUGUGACGUUGCCCCCGGCAUCCAGCAUGAAGAUACCGUCAGAAAGGACAUGAAAACCUAACAUAAAGUAAACUUAAAGAAUACUCCAACAUUGAUCCAUGGUUCUCCCUGCCGCCCAGUCCCAAAUAAUAAAGGGAUAAGUAUAUUUUUCGUCCUCGAAUUCUGGCGAUAGUAUAGGAAUCGUCCCUCAACUCCGAAACCGGUAAAACUCAGUCCCUCAACUAUUUAAACCGGAUACUUUUCGUCCCUCGCGGCACUUUAAGUGGUUUUGGUAUGACGUGGACCCGGUUUUGAUUAAAACUGUACACGUGGAUUGUUUUGACCGUCAUCACUUAAGUGUCCCCAAUCUCUCUCUCUCUCCCGUGCAUUCUCUCGAUCCCCAUCUCACACACGAACCCUAAACCUAGCAGCGGCGGCGGCGGCGGCGAAUCGCUCAUGGUCUGCGGCGGCGGCGGUUGCGGCGGCCGGCGGUGAGNCUCACCGCCGGCCGCCGCAACCGCCGCCGCCGCAGACCAUGGGCGAUUCGCUGCCGCCGCCGCCGCUGCUAGGUUUGGGGUUCGUGUGUGAGAUGGGAUCGAGAGAAUGCACGCGAGAGAGAGAGAGAGAUUGGGGACACUUAAGUGACAUGGCGGUCAAAACAAUCCACGUGUACAGUUUUAGUCAAAACCGGGUCCACGUCAUACCAAAACCACUUAAAGUGCCGCGAAGGGACGAAAAGUAUCCGGUUUAAAUAGUUGAGGGACUGAGUUUUACCGGUUUCGGAGUUGAGGGACGAUUCCUAUACUAUCGCCAGAAUUCGAGGACGAAAAAUAUACUUAUCCAAAUAAUAAACCACUGGAGGAGAGGGAAACCAAUAGAAACAGUCACCGGCGACUAGGCUUUUCUUGUUCAAACUGUCGAUCCUAACAUUAUUUUUCUUCUAAAUUACUAGUGAUCAUCUUUUAACUUGAAAUACGUUAGAGAAAAGAACUACUUAAGCCUCAUGAUCUUGCACGGACAAGAUGGAGAAACAGUAAAUAAAUACACGAAAACAAACACAUGUUAAUUCAACUGCCGUCUUUUUGGUUGAAACCACAUAGUAACGUUGCUCUGACAGCUUCCUUGAAAAGAACAUGUUUGUCUAAAUCAAGCAUGCAUUAUUUAUCCGCCAACAAGCAUCUGCGACCAAACCAGGGGUGUGAAAGAUGACCCCUCCCAUCGCACAACUAACUGUGGAGUCUGAACCAGCAACAACAAUGAGUCAAACAAAUCAAAUGAGUUACUCAAUUAAAACUGACCACGUCCAUCAACGAAGCCUCCACACACACACGCGUACAUAAGUCUUGUUUAUCACGAUCAGUUCAAGGUGAUGCCUAGAGCUUGGAAAAAGAGACUGCAAAGUAAUUGGCCAUGCGGCUAUCUCUUUCGCGUAUAGAACUAUUGAAGUAGCAGUGUUCCUUCCAAGUCGGAAUAGACGUGAUCUUGCACGUCACACGCUGCUAAACAUGCCCGGUCUAUGUAUCCAUCGGCUGCGUGCGCCCAAUUAAGCAGCCACCAAGUAGUACGUACGUACCUCCACAUACUAACCCAUCAGCGUUAGGAAGUUGACACAAGAAAUUUAACAAGUUGUGGUAGCUUUUGUACCAUAUUGACAAUGCAACUUCAACGUCGACGGCUUCGUCUCCUCUACAAACUUGUUAAUCAUCCGUAGAAUAAACGCCACCUUGAGAACGAUGGGUACUCCUAUUGGUUGUGGAUGUGAGGUCAAGGGCAGUCACAUUUGAAUGCAGCAAGCAAGUUGACAUAUUUGAUCGACGGAUGAAUUGACCGUUGCGUCCAACAUCUCCUGGUCCAAAGACGUAAUAUUCCACCAUUUCUCUUUUCCUUCCGGCCCUUGGUACGACCGAUCGACCAUACAAAUUAGCCUUGGAAUUGACUAUUCUCAUCCUUUUGUGAAGCUAGAGACAUGCCAAGUGCCGGCAUCUACUCCAGUGCCGCUGCCUUCUUUUGCCCCCAAUAAUUGGAGCACUGACGUGGACGGGCUCUGGUAGUGCAUUUUAUGGUAUAUUUUUUUUGAAAUGAAGGCUUGACCUCUGCAUCAAUCGAUGCAUGCAGCCAUAUUAUUAAAAAAAACAAAGUAUAAUCCAAGUUCCAAAACAAAUUGCAUCUCGCAAUGUAGAAAAUAAAAAAUAAAAGAGCGAACUGCCACAUCCGACGAAAAUGAUAAUAGACUCCGAUGCCUAUACACCUAGUCUAUUGCUAACAUGCCAUCCAAACCGGUUGAAGAUAACCCGUGCGGCCAUCUCCCAUCGGUUGCACCCAAUAUCCAUAAGCUUCCUGGAGUCCACAUGACUGAGUAAUGACCACGUAUGGAUCCAAUAAGUUGCUCUGUAAAUGACCUGCAAAAAGUUAUUGAAUUUGUUGCCAUUAAAAAUCAAGUCAUUCCUAGUGUUCCAUAUAGCCCAAAAUAGAGCACAUACUCCAAUCCUAAUCAGUCUAGAAAUUCGCACGUCUACUCCAUUGAGCCACAUUGCGAAUAUCGCAUUAAUGCAUGUAGGUGGGGGCACAUUAAAAGCUAUAUGCAUCGUGCGCCAAAGUAGUUUUGCAAGAGGGCAAUGUAAGAACAGAUGUGUUAUUGUUUCAUCCUGGUCACAAAAACAACAUUUAGCUCUGCCUCUCCAACUCCAUUUAAUUAGAUUAUCUUUGGUCAAAAUCACACCUUUGUGCAAAAACCACAUGAAAAUCUUGAUUCUUAGUGGUACUUUGACUUUCCAAAUGUGCACUGAUCUAAGUAAAGGUCCUGUGUUAAUGAGCUCCGUAUACAUGGACUUCACAGAGAAGCUGCCAUUCCCAGAUAAUAUCCAACGAAUGUUAUCCGAUUGUACAGAUAAUUGUAUGUUCAUAAUCCUUCUUACCAAAUGCAACCAUGCCUCCCAACGUACUCGUACUAACGACCGUCGGAAGUUUAUAUUAAGAAGAGUCGAUUGUAACACUGUGGACACAUAGUCCUGCUUACGUUGAACAAUAUUGUAAAGCAUGGGGUAUUGUAGUGCUAGCGGAGUAUGCCCAAGCCAAGUAUCUUCCCAAAAUCUUGUUGAUGCACCAUUCCCUACAAUAAAUUUCACCCUCUGGAAAAAAUUGAUCUUAUUCUUCAUUAACCCUUUCCAAAAAGGAGAGUCAUCAGGUCUAGCAGUUGCCUGCGCUAGUGAUUUUGAGCUUAGAUAUUUAUUCUUAAUUAUUUGAAUCCACAUUCCUUCUGUCUCUGUGGAUAAUCUAUACAACCAUUUACUGAGUAGACAUCUGUUUUUUACUUCCAGAUUCUCUAUGCCCAAUCUCCCCUGGUCUUUGGGUCUGCAAAUUAUAUCCCAACGCGCCAAUCCGUAUUUCUUCUUAUUAUCAUCACUUUGCCAAAAGAACCGCGAUCUGUAAAAAUCUAAUCUUUUUCGUACCCCUACGGGUAUCUCAAAGAAAGACAAUAAGAACAUGGGUAGGCUUGUUAACACCGAAUUAAUUAACACCAGCCUUCCUCCAUAGGACAUAAGCUUACCCUUCCAGCAGCUUAAUUUCUUUUCAAAUCGUUCUUCAAUGCAUUUCCACUCUUUAAUUGUUAGUCGCCUAUGAUGAAUCGGAAUCCCGAGGUAGUUAAUUGGAAGUGCUCCUAUUUGACAUCUAAAUAACUGUCUGUAAGCAUCCUGCUCCUCCUUCGCUUUUCCAAAGCAAAUGAGUUCACUUUUGUUAAAGUUUAUUUUUAACCCUGACAGUUGUUCAAAUAAACAUAACACCAAUUUCAUAUUAAUCGCUUUCUGCAUAUCAUGCUCCAUGAAAAUAAUUGUAUCAUCUGCAUAUUGUAAAAUGGAAAUUCCCCCGUCAAUCAGAUGUGGAAUUAAACGACCUACAUGACCCAUGUGUUUGGCCCUAUCAAUGAGUAUUGUCAACAUAUCUGCUACUAUGUUAAACAACAUCGGAGACAUUGAGUCACCCUGCCUUAAUCCCUUAUGCGUUUGGAAGUAGUGACCAAUGUCAUCAUUUACUUUCACUCCUACACUCCCUUUGUGGAUGAAAGUAUCAACCUGAUUUCUCCAUCUCUCAUUGAAUCCUUUCAUCCUUAAGGCUUGUUGCAGGAAAGACCAUUUGACUUUAUCAUAGGCUUUCUCAAAGUCCACUUUAAAAAUAACUCCGUCUAUUUUUUGUGUGUGCAUUUCGUGGACCGUUUCAUGCAGGACAACCACGCCCUCCAAGAUGUGUCUCCCUGGCAUAAACGCCGACUGUGUUGGCUGAACCACAGAAUCUGCUAUCUUCGUUAAUCUAUUAGUGGCAACCUUUGUGAAAAUUUUGAAACUGACAUUAAGUAAGCAAAUCGGUCUAAACUGCUGAAUACGCAUAGCAUCCGCCUUUUUUGGCAAAAGCGUAAUUGUUCCAAAGUUAAGGUGGAAUAACUGUAAUUGUCCAUUGAACAAAUCUUGGAACAUAGGCAUGAGAUCCCCCUUAAUCAUGUGCCAACACUUUUUAUAAAACUCUGCCGGAAACCCAUCAGGUCCCGGCGCUGUAUUUUGUUUCAUGCUAGUAAUUGCUUCAGACACCUCUUUUUCUGUAAACGGGGCUGAUAAAACCUCAUACUCCUGUUCAUUGAGUUGAGGUAUAUCAUUAACCUUGUUUUCAUCUAAGGAUAUCGACGACUCCCUAGGUGCACUAAAAAGACUCUUAUAAUAUUUAGUAAUAUAAGAUUUUAAAUUCUCAUGUCCUAUAAUUGUUCCUUCAUCUUGUUCUAACUGGAUAAUUUUCUUCUUUCGAUGUUUGCCAUUUGCAAUCAUAUGAAAGAACUUAGUGUUGUCGUCCCCAUAGGCGACGUUCAUCACCUUAGCUCUACUAGCCCAUUUGAGCUCUUCCUCUCUCAAAAGUUUUUGUAGUUUGAUCUCAGCAUCAUUCUUAAUAUUUCUUUCAAACAAACUUAGUUGGCACGACUCGGUCUUAAUGUCUAAAUCGUCAAUGAGAGUGAUGAGUCUUUGUUUCUCUUUUUUAUAAGCACCACUCUGAUUUUUGGCCCACCCUCUUAGAAAUUGGCGUAGAUUUCUGAUUUUAUUUUGCCAAAUAUCUACAUUGGUAGCACCUCCUAAAUCUCUAGCCCAUUCAGUAGCUAAUAUAUCCAUGAAACCCUCCUUUUCGAACCAGCUUAGUUCAAAUGAGAAAGAAUUUUUAUUGCCCAUAUGGCUGCCCUCCCCUGAGUCAACAGAAAUAGGAGUGUGAUCUGAAAUAGCUCUAUGUAAGGCAUGCGCAUUAACCAAAGGGUACUUCUGCUCCCAAUCAACAGUAGAAAGAACCCGAUCCAACUUUUCAUAUGUUGGCACAGGUAAUGAGUUAGCCCAUGUGAAUUGUCUACCAGUAAGCUCGAUCUCUCGCAGAUUUAGGCUUUCAAUCACCAUAUUAAACAUCAUUGACCAUCUAGUGUCAAAAUUAUCAUUGUUUUUUUCAUCCUGCCUUCGAACGAUAUUAAAAUCUCCUCCCACUAAAAUUGGUAGCGUUUCAUUCCCACAAAUUCUAACCAGAUCUGCUAGAAAAUCAGGUUUGAGUUGUGGUUGUGCCGCCCCAUAUACCGCCACUAGAGCCCAUUUGAAGCCAUCAACUUUCGACCUGACACGAAAUUUGACGGUGAACUCCCCAAAAAUGACGCUCAUCACCUCUAGAGUCUCACACUUGACUCCAAGUAAAAAUCCACCGGAUCUUCCCCUUGGUGGCAGACAAUGCCAAUCGAAUUCGACCCCUCCUGAUAAAGACGUUAAAAAUUGAGGUGUGAAAUUAUCCCUUCCGGUUUCUUGUAUCGCCAUAAAAUCUAGCUUAUAUUCUAGAGAUGCGUCCCUAAGGAAUCUUUUUUUAGCCAAGUCCGCAAGACCUCUGCUAUUCCAAAAAAUUCCUUUCAUAUUUCAUCGUAGAACCUUUUCUUUUGCUUCACUCUCGCGCUUCUUCGUACCGCUGAUACAGGAAAACCCUUCCUUUUCCAAGGUCUUUUCGGUUUUUCGUGAAUACAGCUAGUCUCCUCCGAAUGUAUUAUUGGUUGUGGAUAAACAUUGGCUUUCGAAGAGGCCAUAUACCCCUCCGAAUCCGUAUUAUCCACUUCGUUUUCUUCGGCCUCUUCAUGUAGUAAUGCAUCACAUAUAUUUUGGAGUUGUACCCCUCCUAAGUCGUUAAUCUCCGAUUCGGUCAUUGGUUUUAACGCAACUAAAUUUUUAAUAAACUCAAUGUUUCUAUCCGUCUCUAAAUCAAGCAUGUCAUUGAUGGAUUUGGCUAUGAUUUUAGAAGAUGAACCUAGCAAUACUCCUAUGUCGCUAGCUUUGUUCACAAUCUCUACAUCAGAAAAAUUUAGAAUUGAAGGAUUAUUUUCAAUGACCAUACGUGUAGUCAUCUCAGUGUCUCGAAUCUUGGCAGCCCUCAUAGCACGCCCCAUGGACAUAUCAUCAGCAUCAGGCACCUCCUGAAUCCGCUGACUGAAGCGUCUAUCUUCCGUAGACGGAUCAGGAAUCCCACCAAACGAGAUCACAUCCUCUUUGGAAAACUCAAUGUUAUCCUUCCCUAUUGUCGCAUUUUGAACAUAAUUGUGGUCAAGAGGUGAAUCAAAUAUAGGAUUAUCAGAUAUAAACGAAUAUAUUUGCUGCUUACUACUUGAAAAGCAAUAGUCCUUGCACCAAGACAUUGGCUCAUCAGCAACAACAUUAUGAGAUGGGGGCGGGGUUGCUACAUUUGCCCACUCCUGCGCCGACUCAGAAUUUUCCCUGAUGGCCGACUUCUUGUUCGGACCAGCAGGUGUAUUGAGAGAUGAGUCUGGUGUGUGUGAGUGUGCAGCCUCCAUGAGCCUGUUCAGAUCAGCAGCAAUAGGCUUGGGAUCAACUUUCGGGAUGGCUGCAGUACAGUGCAUAUCAUCCUUCUUAUUAGGAAUUUGCAUCGGGGCACCCCUCUCAAAUGAGGUACCGAAUGCAUAAGAGGUGUCCUGCAGAGUCAACUGUUCCCAAGCCUGUUCACUAACCUCCUCUCCUAAGGUUGACAUUACCUUGAAUGAUCCAAACCUCAGUUCGGCCAUAUGCAUAUGAGAAGAGGACGUAGCACACCCUGUGACAGUCGGUUUAUUAGAUGUAGGCAUGGAGGGGCUGAUGUUAUCCGUUGGUGCCUGAGGAGACCUAUCCUGAUUAGCAUCACCACAAUCUCUAUCUCUAUCCUCGCCAUCAGCCAUUAGCACAUCGCCAUCCUGUGUUUUCUGAUGAACCACCUCCUCAACCUCCACAUCGAGGUCAUAGUGCAGUCCAUCAUAAGACCAUGGAGCAAAAUCUGGUAUCUGCUCCACGUCAAGCACCAUCACAAGCAAUCUUGCAAUCCCCCUUUUACGAGUGAAUGGCAUAUCUACCUUCUCAGUCUUCCCAAUCAACGAACCCAAGCUCCAUACGAUAAGGAAAUUAUUGAGUAGAAUCUCUGGAAUAUCUGCAAAUCUGAUCCACCUCUUCUGUAACCGAAUACCCUGUGGUGCAGGUUUAAUACAUUCCUCGAACUCCAGUAAGCAUUUGCUCCAACUGACCUUACUAACACCAAAUGUGAGUAAUCGUUGCAGGUCUUCUCUUCUAGGGAACUCCACCUGAUAGGAAUUAUCAUCUACCCUUAUAGGAUCCCAAUUAUAUGUCUCAGAAACGAGCCUUUUCAUCUGUUGAGACACUUGUUCGGCCGUCAACUCACCAUUAGUCACUUUUACCAUGCCCGUCCUUGAAAUCUCAAGACGAGGAGGAGCAAGGACUGAAGAAGAUCGUGGCGUCUCAAAGAACAUAAGUUUGCUAUGACAAACCCCAUAGAUGUUCAUAAUUGGCUUGGGAACUAGAAGCAAGGGACAUGCAUCCUCUGAAUGUCCAGGCUUCAAACAAAUAUCACAUAAAAUAGUUGUGCGAUCCACCACAAAGUGUUCCGACACCCCACAUCUAUAGCACGUAAGCUUCUCCUUUUUGCGAGCUGCCUUAUUCACUCUCACUACUUCCCUGUCCUCGGAGUUUUUAUGCUGCGAAGAAUCCGUGGACGUACUGUUAUUCUACCCCUCCCCUCCGCCAGAAGGUAAUACUUCCUUCCACAUCGGCCCUGUGUUAUUUCUGCCAUAGUUCCGAACUCCGGCACCCCCUCGUUGCCUAAAGUUUUCCCCUCUAGUACCUUCAACGAAAUUCCCCUCAGGUGGUUGGAAGGGUCGAUGCCAUUGGUUUCCUCCACCACCAUGUCCCCCUCCUGAAUUCCAGUUGGGGCGAUUGUUGAACUCGUUCCAUUGAUUAUUGUAACGCGUGUAACCCUGCUGCCCACCGCCCCCUCUGUUACCCAUUGCUGCAUGACCGCCCCUGCCAGCCUGGAAACCGCGUCCCUGAUGGCCAGCAGCCGAGCCACCUCUACCAGCAGAUUUGGGCCCAUGACCCUGAUGGUCUUCAGCAGCAACUCGCGUAAGAGCUGCAGCCCCAGUACCUGCUGCUCCCGUAGGUGCAGCAAUGGUAGCCGGCGCCUGCUGCUCUGCCUGCGCCGCCGCCGAAGCCUCAGGACGAGGCGCCGUCAUCGCAAUCCAAGCCGGGAUACGCCGAGCCCUCCCAGAUCGCGACGGGAAACCUGGCUGUGGAGGCGCUAAUAACCCAGGCAAAACCCUGGCCGAUCCGGACUGCAUCCCGACAGACCGUGGUACAAUCUUAACCGCCGAGGAUUCCAAUCCCGUAACAAACUGGGCUGUAUACCCAGCCGCCACUUGUCCACAAGUCGUUUUUUCUGGCCCAUCUUGGCCGAUCAAAAGAUUCAAACGCUCUGAACUUCCCUCUCGGAUCUGGCACUCCGAUUGGAACAAUGUGGCCGCCGGCUGUGUUCCUACCGCCGGUCGUCUUUGCUUUCCUCCGAUCGGCUCAUGUUUGCACUUUAGAAAGAAAUCUGCUAGAGUAAUGGCUGGUAAACGUACCUUUGGUAGAGGACCUUUUCAUGGCUUAAUGGCGUUCUGCGAUGUGCGGCGCUGGACCACCCGUCGUACUACCUCGAGUUUGUCCUCAUCCGCGUCACCCAAGCCAUUCCAGGCUUCAUCAGCCGAAACGAUAUCAGAUGGAGUUGGUGAAGCUGCUGCUGUGUGCAACUCCUCGUCGUUAGAUUCAUCCUUAGACCUCGCCCAAAAUCGCCCCUCAGAUGUGAUGACUGGAGAGGAUUCCAUUCCCGGCGUGGAGACCCUGUUUUCGCGCUGCCAAGAACCCGUUCCGGCCGGCGGGCAAGGCCGUCGCCGGGCCUUGCACCACCAGUCGCCAGCGAGAUCGCCCAGAUCGCCAGACCGCAAUUGUCGGGCGAACCGGUCCAAUUAACCGGGUUUUAUAAAAUGGGAGAGAUUUUCUCUUCCCGGCCUCUGCACCAACAAGGGAUGCAUACGGCCAUUUUAGUAUGAGUACCAAGAUAAACAUGGUCCUCAGAAUUUUUUUAAAUGAGUAUCAAGAUUUUUUUAUGAAUGGUUUUACCACAUGCCAAACUUGAUCCUCAAUAAAUGAGAGAAAACUUGAUUUUUUAUGAGUGCAUUUUAUGAUGAAUCAGGCAAAUGAAAGCACGGCAUUGGCACUUGUGGAAGAGAGACAAAGAUAGAUAUCAGGUCGAUUUUCCGAACCGGAACUGAUGUGAAUUGAUCCAGCAAAAGCAAAAAUAAAAAGUGGGUCCAGUCAUGCGUGCGCAUCGGUAGAUAAGCCAAGGGUGAGGAGGAGAAAAGUACAAGCUAGUGCUCUGAAGUCAAUAGAAUCCAUUUUUUAUCGAAAAGAAAAGUGUGAGCACUGAUGUGGAAGUUUUUAUCUAUCUUGUGACAAAACGGGAUCAAGCACCGAAACACCCAGAGGAGAAAAGGAGUGGCACAAAUUGAAGCUACGGCCCCAGAUGAUAGAUGCUGUGCCAACUAUGAGAAUUACAAAUUUUAAUCUAAUCCUAUGGACAACCCAAAGUAUCAAAUAGUGCAUUGUUUCAGUGGAUGGGCCAUUCGGCCUGUUUUCGUGUCAUGAACGGAAAGCUUCUUCAUAAAGUGUUGUUAAGAUAUGCAUCGACACUUGCAACGUAACAUAUUAUCCUGGGACCUGAAAAGAUCUUAUUAGCUUAGAUAUCUGUACUUCAUCACUAGGAUUAAAGCAGCAGCAUGUGCUUCGAUCGAAACGAAUCAUCCCGUUUACCGAAUAGGCGAGUAGGGACGGAUAGUACCUACUUGAAUGACGUAACGUACUGCUGCUAGUGGGUUGCUAUUAUACUUGUGCUGAACUAUUGAUACAUCAUGGUUCAUUAGCCACCGAUUUUUCUGGCUUUAGAUCCAACCAAAGCGUACACCUGAUUGAGCUGAUCUAGUCUCUCAACAUUGUGGGAUAGUUCAUUCUUUUUCGGUGACGUAGGUUGGACCUCUACUAGCUUUCUGGUCCCGGCCAACAAAAAUGUCAAUCGAUCAGUCGGGCGACAGACUAAAGCUGCCUGAUUCGAUCUAUACCUAAGACAAGAUGAUCACUAAACUAGCUAAGAGUUAGCUAGGUAGUGUGCUGCAUGCUGUGAGCGAGUACGUGUACCUACGUGUGAGUGUGAGAGAAGCUCGACCAGAGAUCAUGGGCGAUUUUGGCCUGAUCCCCUGAUGGUAUCAUUUGGGCCCAGCCCACUCCACUUGUCUUCAUAGACAUUCUAUCGAGCAAACUCUGACUGACACACAUGACAUCCAUGUCUUGAUGCGUUAUCCAUCCGACCAUCAAACCUUCCCUUGAUUUCUGCUGCCAAAAGCAGAGCCUCCACAACGGUGGGUUCAAUGCUACUAGUUGUCUCGGCUCAUCGUCUUCCUUUUUACAAGAAAAUACUGUGUAAUACAGUAGAACAUAAUGAUGUUAUGCGUAGCGAGCUUGCUUUCCUCCCAAGCUGAGUUAAUAACGCUAGCUAGUGCUAAUUAAGCAUCCUUUGAAAGCAGUCCAUCCCGGCUAGUGCCGACCCACCCCAUCACCCCCUAAACUAGACAGCAAAGCCACCAGCUCUAGUUCCAGAAGCCUAUAGCUUCUUUGGUCCGUAUCUCAUCUCAUCCGAUCUGCCCCGCUUUCAAGUCAAAAUAUCUCAGGUUAGUUAUAAUUUUUUCUUUAGAUUUAUUUUAGUUUGACAUAAAAUUAUGUUAUGCGGACGCGGGAUGUCCGCCUACAUCCCUAAGCGUGGCACUAUCCCUUCCCCCCACCCUUUAUAUAUAUGGAUCUCUUAUGGCUUUGGAACUUGCCACAACAGCUUCAUUCGAACGCUGCUGGGCAAUUUACACGCAUAUUUCUUCUGAUGUUCCCGUCUUAUGUAUGGAUAGCAAUAGCAAUAACUCCCAGUCCCUUUGUUGCUCGAGCGAAUCCGGCGCUGAUAUGUAUGUAUGUAUGUAUGUAUGUGUGUUUGUCAUAAAAAUGGUCCUCUGCAAAAGUCGGCUUUGAAUCUUUCCAUUAUUUGCUACUUGUAGUUUCACUUGAGUUUUGUUCUUCGUGUGUGGCAUACGUGUUGAUCGCUCACCAACGUGAAUGUGUGCAGCCAAGAGUGGAUAAGUAUAGGGCAAUCCUGAUAAAUGCAUGUAUGAGCUGCAUACCCCUUUUUAUGUUAACUUUCCCAGAGGUGCCUAAAGGGGUGACAAAGAAAUGGGAUGAUCAUACAGCCAAUACGCUUCGGCAAGAAAAGAAGGAUCAGAAGAUAUACCAUUUAGUGAAUUGGCCUACAGUUUGUCUACCUAAAGAUUGGUGAUAUGGGCAACCAUGAACCGAAGCCUACUAUGCAAGUGGCUUUGGAAGCUGGAAACAAUACUGGAACGUAGUGGAAAAAAACUUUGUGUAUUCUUCCUUGAUGACAAAUGGGAAGGAAAUGUUGAGAUAAGCAGGAGACUUAUGCACGCCGGCUAAGCAACGCACAUUUACGAAUUACUAAUUUUUUUACAUGAAGGCUCUACAAUUAAUAUAUAGAUAUCCUUGAUGACAAAUGCUAAGGAAAUGUAGAGAUAAAAUACUUGUAAAGAGUAUUCAAUAAUAAACAUGCUAUGUACUAUAUAUAUUCAUGGUUGCCACCAGUCCCUAACCCAACCAUGUAGGUCUACAAGUGAAAUCUGUCUAAAAAAACCAUUGAAAUAGGAGGAUACAUUGUACCAAUAGAAAAUUUAAUAUAAACUAUUUACUUAUGUGAUGUUUGGUUUGCAACUCAGUUUCUAACCCUAGUUGUUUUGUGUAAUCCCAAACUUGUAUCGAUGGAUUUAAGGUCAAUAGAGUUUUAUAUAAUGGUUGCAAUGGUUUUGUGAUAAGGUUCUUAGUUAUGAACAUUUUGUGAGAAAACACGAAAAUUAUUAUUCAUAUUAUUUCUUCUUCAUAGAAAAAUGAAUAAAAAUAAAAUAUGAUUCAUAUAUAAUGAUCAUGCAUAUAAUCAUAACGAGAUAUAAAAUUAUGUAUUCAAAAAUGUUUAGUAACUAAUAUAAUUGGAUAUCAGAUAUGACUUAACAUUAUUUAAGUUUGUAAUAGACGUAUUUAAUUUUUUUAGUGUUUAUAACUCAUGCGAGAUGUACAGAAAACUGCUUCACUCGCAUUCAUAACAUGAUCAACUUACUAGAUGCCCCAUUUAUUUGCGGAUAGCUAUAAUAAAAUAUGACAUGUUUAUAUGAGUAUAAUCUAUAAAUUAGUUAUAAAUAAUUUUUCAUUUUUACCAUUUUAAUGCAUAAAUUGUUUAAUUAAAUAAAAUAUAUUUCAAAUGAACAAAUAGAAACAAUCAUGAAAAAAGUAAUAAAAAAACCUAAAACUAAAUAUUUUGAAUUUGCUAUCUCAAAUUUUAAUUCUUACAUUCUUAACAAAUGUAAUAGAUGUACUAAUUGAAGAUAUAUUUAAGAGCCUUAUGAUCAUUGACCAUUUGCAACCGAGAACACAGCGGGACACGGCCUUGAAAGACAUACGAUUGAGUCAUUACUUCGUAGGAGCAGAAAAGAAAGACAUGUGAAAUUCACAUACAAAAAAUGGAUAUUAAUGUGCCACUGCCACCACUGAGUUGGGUUGAAGUAUCAGACGACAGUCCGCCAGCCCAGUGUUCAUUAAUAAGCAAAACUAAAAUAUUUUUUUGCUUAUAGUCAAUUUGGUCAUUACGAUCACAAGAUAAUAGUCGUAAGACUUUUAUUACAUCUGACAUGGAAAAUCUAAAAUACUACUCUGACAUUGAUAUGCGACUCCUCCCGAUACAAUGUGCUAAAUUGGCCAUCAGAGGAAGGGGAACCGAUGGAAACACUUAGCAGCGACUAGGUACUCUUGAGCCUAACAUUAAAAUUUUCAGUAACCAAAACACAUAUUUAACUUCAUUUUUUUAUUUGAAAGAACUAGUGAUGUCUCUAUCUUUCAGCGGCAAGAUGGAGAUAAAGGAAUAGGUGACCACAUAUAAAGAAUUUCACGUUGCUUCAAUCGCGGUUCAAACCUCAAUGUAACAUGUUCCGAUUGCUUUGUUAAAAAACAUGUUUUCUCUAAAUCAUACAUGCAUUAUUUACCGGCCAACAAACACCUGUGACAGGGGUCACCAACUCUUGAGUCCAAACAAACAACAACAAUGAAAUAAACAAAUCAAACGAGUUGCUCAAUCAAAAUUAAUAAUGUCCAUCAACGAAGCCUCCACACACGAACGCGUGCACACACACAUGCACGCGCGUACACACACGCACACACAAAGGUCCUAUUUGUCACGGUAAGUUCAUGGGGGCGUUCGGAGCUGGCAUGGGAAAAUAAUGCAAAGUGAUGUGUCAUCUCUUUUAUAGAAGUAGCGGUGUUCCUUCCAAGUUCAGAUCGACGUGAUCUGGAGCUGGGAUGGGAAAAUAAUGCAAAGUAAUGGGUCAUCCCUUUCGCGUAUAGAAGUAGCGGUGUUCCUUCCAAGUUCGGAUCAACGUGAUCCUACACGUCAGACACGGCUAUACAUGUCUCGCUCUGUCGGUCGGAAGAAUAUCAUACGAAAACCAACAUUCGAUGGAAACCGAUGAAAACCAUAUAAAAAAAUAUGUUUUGAAGUUUCAGAAAAAUCUAAAAAAAAUACGGAAUGUUAAGAGGAUGAUGUUUUAUUGCCACGCAAAAUUUCAAAUCGAACACAAGGGGAAAGAACUAGUGAUAUAUCCAUCAGCCACCAAUGCAAUUCAUAUGUACGUAAUUGGCACAAGAAAUUUAACAAGUUGUAGCUUUUCUGAGAACGAAACUUCCACGUCAACGGGUUCGUCUCCUCUAGAGAAGUGCCCACUAACUGACCAGUACUAGUCGUCGGUAAAAUAAACUCUGCACUAAGGACAUCUUCAACAGUUUGUAUGUAGUCUUGUUAAUAAAAUUGUCCAUGUCAUCAACCAACAAGGGAUCAUAUAACUACUUCAAUGGUUGCAUUCAAAUUAUCCAAUAUGAGAAGAAGGAAUAAAUGCAAUUGCUCUUUAUGUAACCUUGAAGUUUGUGCAAGAGCUACUCCCUCCGUCCGGUGAAAAGUGUACAUAUAAACAUUUUAUGACAAAUUAUGAAGUGGAGUAAAAAUGCAUUGGAAAUGUGCAACACACCAUCUCUCUCCCCUUUAAUUACCAAACCCCCAAUAAGUUAAGUGCGUGUAGAAAUUAAGAUGACUAUGUGUAAAAUGUUAUUGGUCUUGAUUACCGUGUGAUGAAAGAGAAGCAUUUUUUAUACUUUAAAGUACAUUGAAAAGAUAAAAGUACACUCUUUUAUGGACAAAUUUUAAAGCCAAACGUACACUUUUCACCGAACGAAGGGAGUAUUGGUUAAUCUACACACAACUUUCCUCUCUCUCCUCAUUUAUUUAUUGCCACAUCAUUAUAUAUCCUAGUUGACAAAGUUUACCAACAACUAUCUUAUCACCAUUGGAGAUGCCCUAAGAAAGAGAGGCACCUCUAUUAUCUGUUGCUAUGAGGUCAAGGGCAGUCACAUUUGCAAAGCCAGCAAGCAAGUUGAUAUGAUCGAUGGAUAUGAUGACCACUACGUGGAGCAGCUCCUAGACAUAAUAUUCCCUCAUUUCUCUUUUCCUUGCUUCACUUGGUACGGUCGAUCACACGAAUUAGCCUUGAAAUUGACUAUUCUUAUCAUUUUCUGAAGCUGGAGAUGCGCCAAGUGCCGGCAUCUUCUCCAGUGUUGUUGCUGGAGCCACUGAUGUGGAUGGGCUUUGGCUUUAGGUGACCAGUAGUGCUCUUGAUCGAUUAGACAAUUGAAAGCACGGCGUUGGCACUUGUGGAAGAGAGACAAAGAUAUAUAGCUAUAGGAGGAAUGAUUUUCGCGACCAGAACCGAUCUGAAUUGAUCCACAGCAAAAGGUAGCACAUCCAAUCAUGCUUGCGCGUCUGUAGAUAAGCCGACGAGGAGGAGAGUAGUUCUAGUCUUCUAGCCAGUGCUCUGGAGAAAGUAUCUAUUUUUAUGGUGACAACACGGGAUCGAGCACUGAAACACCUAGAGAUGAAAAAGAGCGGCAGAGAGUAAAGGUACGGCCUCAGAUGAUAGAUGCUGUCCCAGCUCUGUAAAUUGAAUUUUAGUUUAGUCCUUUGGAUAACUUAAGCAAGGCCUUGCUUGAGUGGAUCAAUCAUAAACGAAAAGCUUCUUGACAAAGUGUUAUUAAGAUAUGCAUCGACGACACUUGCUGCAUAAUAAAUUAUUUACUAGCUUACAUAUCUGUACUUCACUAGGAUUAAAGCGGUAGUAUAUGCUUCGAUCGAAAGGGAUCAUGUGGUUUACCGAAUAAGGGAUGGAUACCUACUUCAUUUACGUAACCUGCAGCUGCCGUAGUCCAUUAAACUAGAGAUCACUUGAAAUGCCAUGCUUUUUUUCGAAAAGGAGGCGUUGCCCCGGCCUCUGCAUCGAGUGAUGCAUACAACCAUAUAUUAAUCAAAAUAAGUAUCCAGUAAAUACAUAGUAUAUAAAAAGGAAAAAAAGAGAUACAUGACGAACAUUGCGCCGCAGCCUGGAAUGGCUAAAAGAUCAAGAUGACUAAACACCUAUCCUAUUAAUAUGCCGCCAUUCAAACCGGUUGAAGAUACCCUGUGCUACCAUCUCCCAGCGGGCACACCUAGUAACCAUAAGCUCCCUGGUUGCCACAGGAGUUAGUAACGACCAUGUGCGGAUCAGUGCGGUAAUUCGGUAGAUAACCUGCAAGAAUUGGAUAUCAUGAGUUCUGUUAAAAACCAAAUCAUUUCUGCUAUUCCAUAAAGCCCAAAGAAGAGCACAUGCUCCGACACGAAUAGAUUUAGCCAAUUGAACAUCAAUUCCCUGUAACCACGUUCCAAAUAACGAGUUCAAGUCAACAGGAGAAGCGAUGUUAAAAGCAAUGUGAAUUGAUCGUCAAACAAGUUUAGCCAAAGGACAGUCUAGAAAGAGGUGGUGAAUACUUUCUAGGCUUGAACAGAAAGAACAUCUGGAACUUCCUUUCCAAUUUCGUUUGGCCAAAUGCCAUGCUUAAACUAACGAAAACACGAUCGAGGUGAACUCGACGCCAUAGCUCACUAGCCACCGAAUUUUCCGCCUUUAGACCCAAGCAAAGGAAUAUAUGCACACCUAUUUGAGCUGAUCUAGUCUUUCAACAUUGUGGGAUUUAUUGCAGCAAAUGGGCCGUUCUUUUUCGACGACGUACGUUGGACCUAUAUAUUUUGGUCGUCCAAGCAAUCAUGUCGAGAAAAGAGAAGUUGUUCCACACAACAAAACCAUCUAUCGACCAGUCUACAGAUUAAAGUUGGCCUUGUUGAUUCGAUCUGUACCUACUAAGAUAAGAUGAUCACUAAAGACAAGUAGCUAGGUAGUGCUGGCGUGCUGCAUGAUGUGCUCGAGUACGUACGUGUGAGCGUGCGAGAAGGUCGACACCACAGAUCAUGGGCGAGUCCUGAUCCCAUGACGAAAUUAUUUGGGCCCAUCCCAAUCAUCGUCACCGUUCAUGAUGAUAACGUGUUAUCCGACCAUUAAACUUUCCCUUGGUUUCUGCUGCCAGAAGCAGACAGAGUGCCCGAAAUUGUGGAUUCAGUAUUACAAGUUGGCUUAGCUCGUCUAGUCUUUCAAUAAUAAGAUGCACUAAAAUGCAAUGAUCUUAACUUCUUAAGCGACCGAGUCGGCCUUCCUCUCAAGUUCAAGUUGUAGUGCUAGCUAGUGCUAAUUAAACUUCCGUGAAAAGCCGUCCAUCCCAGUUAGUACGUAGCGUACCGACCCCGUCUAACCCGAACCUGAACUAGACAGGAAAAGCCAUCAGCUCUAGUUGCACAAGCGUACCUGCUAUUGUUAGUCCGUCUACCAGCCAGCCAGUAUGGCUGUGGCAUCUCGUACUAAAACCCUAUGCUGCUUCAAACGGAAGCUGCUGGGCAAUUUACAGCAACUUCCUUCCGAUGCUUGCGUUUUAGAUACAGAUAGCUCUUGCCCGGAAAUAAUACAUGCUCCGAAGUCCGAACCAACUCCAGCUCCAUCUGCUCACACCGAAUCCGGUGCGAUCACGCAAGUGUAUAUAGGAACCAAAGCGCCGGCAAAAGGCGCGCGGUGCGGUGCGGCGCGGCGCGGCGGCCGCAUCGGAGAGAAGGAUGCCAUGGUCGUGGAAAAAGAAGAGAUCGACGGCAUUUAGCGGCAGGUAGGCGCGACACAUCGAACAACAAAUGGUCCUCCGCCAUGGUCGCUCUCGGGUCUUUGUGGCUGCCUGGCUUUGAAUCUUUCCUUUCUUUGAAACUUGAUUCUUUUGCUUUCUAGGGCACCGGCAACCUUUAGUUUGUUCCCGGUUCGUGGCGUACGUGCUGAUCGAUUGCUCGCCGACGUUGAUCUGUGGAACCUAGAGGAGGAUAUUUCUCGUGUCUGAAUGGUCUAGACUCUAGACACCAGAGGCUUGUGAGGACCUAACUGCAUGUGUUGUUUAUGUCAGAUGACUCGGAUGAAAGAUAAACGCAUGAACACAUGUUGCAUAUGUACUAAUUAAUUGCGCACUUGUGCUUUUUGAUAACGACAUGCUUAUGCGCUCGCAUGUACUAGGAAAACCAUUCCGAAUGCUUGUAUGUCAAUCAUCGUUUAUGUGAAGUCAGACGGAUCUGCGGCGAUCUGCUGACCCCAUCCUCCACAUGAACCGAAUUAUAAAAAGAUGACUUGGCAAAGAAAUCACACACACUUGAAUCUAAAAACAAAAAGGACAAUGCUCUGUGCCGGCGCGCCGGUCAAAACUUUCGACCGGCCCCGCGCGGACCGCCCAAUCCCUCAGCUGCACACAGGCCGCACCGUUAGAUCUCCAUGCAGCAAAAUUUCUCGAUGCAAUAAAUUUCGUCCAGGAUGCAGUAAUUUUCGUUUACGGUUGCAACAAAAACAUAGUUGUAGCAAAAAAAUAUAUCAACGUGGUCGUAACAAAAAACAAAGCUGAUGAUGCGUGGUAGCAAAACAAAAUAAGGGUUGUAGCAAAACAAUCCGAUGAACUCAGGUUGCAACUCUGAUGAACGUGUAUGCAACUUAUUUAGUGAACGGUUGCAGCAAAAAAGAUACCGGUUGUAGCAAAAAUUUAAUACGGUUGUAGCAAAAAAUCCGACGAAUGGGGUUGCAACCAAACGUAUAUGCAGCUUUUUUAGUGAACAAAUAUAGCAAAUUUGGACAUCGGUUGUAGCAAAUUUAUACGAUCACCAUAGGAGAAAGUUGUUUAGAAUGAUUAAAUCAGACUAUCUCUUUCAUUGAUGACCCGUGAUGAUUAAAUACAACGGAACUGUCGCCAACGCCACGAAGGGACGCAUCCCAUCGUGGGGGCGUGCGAGCGCUUCAAACGGUUGCCAUGGGUUGUCCUUGAGUCACAUCAUCUUUGAAAUAUUCUCCUCCAAAACCCUGUGGGAAAAAUUGAGAAGAAAACAUACAAUAUGCCAUUAAAAACUCCUUCUAAAACCCAGUGGGAAAAUAAGGAGAAAAUGACAUAUAUCGUCCAUGCUUGCAUUGAUAUUGCCUUAUUAAAAACCUUUCGUGAGAAACCAUGUGAAAAACUCACAAAGGAAAAGAGUGCAAUACAAAAAUCUCAUGAUCUUAACAGGUUAUAUCCUAGGAGAUUUAUCCCCCUGAAUUUUGCAAGUCUCGAAGUCGUCUCGUACCAAUUUCAUUUACAUACUUAUGGAACAAAGAACUUGGUACAGACUUAGUAAAUAGAUCAGCGAGAUUAUCGCAUGACUUCGUUUGCAAAAUACUUAUCUCCCCCUUCUCUUGCAGAUCAUGGGGAUAAAAUAAUUUAGGAGAAAUAUGCUUUGUAAUAUUGCUAUUAAUAUAACCCGUUUGCAGUUGUGCAAUGCAAGCAGCAUUAUCUUCGUAGAUAAUAGUGGGCGAUUUUACCGAACCAAUCCCACUUGAACAUUGGACAAAGUUCAUCAUUUUGCGAAGCCAUACACAUUCACGCGAUGCUUCGAACAAAGCAAUUAUCUUAGAUGAUUGGUGGACAUUGCCACUAAGGUUUGCUUUGUUGACUUCCAAGAGAAGGCCGUACCUCCAUGUAAGAAGACAAAACCAGUUUGCGUUCUGGCAUCAUGGGGAUCUGACAAGUAUCCAGCAUCGCAAUACCCCACCAUAGUUCUCUCUUGAUUUUUCUGAUAGAAUAAACCAAGAUCUUUGGUGCCUUGAAGAUAUCUGAAAAUAUUCUUCAAACCAACCCAAUGCCUUUUUGUUAGUGAUGCGUUGUAUCUAGCGAGUAAAUUAACUGCAACUGCUAUAUCAGGUCUAGUGCAGUUUGCUAGAUACAUUAGUGCACCGAUGGCAUUGAGAUAUGGAAGCUCUGGUCCCAAUAUCUCUUCAUCAUCACCCUUAAGCCUAAAUGGGUCCUUGUCUCUGUCAAGCGACCUGACAACCAUAGGCGUUUUUGAUGGGUAUGUGAUACAUCUCCAACAUACCUAUAAUUUUUGAGUGUUCCAUGCUAUUAUAUUAUCAACUUGGGAUGUCUUAUAUGCAUUUAUAUGCUAUUUUAUAUCAUUUUUGGGACUAACCUAUUAACUCAGUGCCCAGUGCCAGUUUCUGUUUUUUCCGUGUUUUUGACCUUUUCAGAUAAGAAUAUUAAACGGAGUCCAAACAGAAUAAAACAUGCGAGAUGAUUUUUUCCGUAAGAAAAGAUACCCGGAAGACUUGAGAACCAAGGCAGAGGGUCUCGUGGGAGGUCACAAGCCCCCUAGGCGCGCCCUAGGGGGGGGGGGGCGCCCAGCAGGCUCGUAGGCCCCCCUUGCCUCCUUUGCCCUACCUCUUUCGCCUAUAAAUUCCCUAAAAUCCCAAAACCAACAGGGAGAGCCACGAAAAUACUUUUCUGCCGCCGCAAGCUUCCGUUUCCGCGACACGGAGGGCUUCUUCAUCAACACCAUUGCCUCUCCGAUGAUACGUGAGUAGUUCACCAUAGACCUUCGGGUCCAUAGCUAGUAUCUAGAUGGCUUCUUCUCUCUCUAGGAUCUUCAAUACAAAGUUCUCCAUGAUCUUCAUGGAGAUCUAUCCGAUGUAACUUUCUUUUGCGGUGUGUUUGUCGAGAUCCGAUGAAUUGUGGAUUUAUGAUCAGAUUAUCUAUGAAUAUUAUUUGAGUCUCCUUUGAUUUCUUAUAUGCAUGAUUUUGUAUCCUUGUAAUUCUCUUCGAGUUAUGGGUUUCGUUUGGCCAACUUGAUCUAUAAUUCUUGCAAUGGGAGAAGUGCUUGGUUUUGGGUUCAUACCGUGCGGUGUCCUCGCCUAGUGACAGAAGGGGUAGCGAGGCACGCAUCGUGUUGUUUCCAUCAAAGGUAAAAAGAUGGGGUUUAUAUCAUAUUGCAUGAAUUUAUCCCUCUACAUCAUGUCAUCUUGCUUAAGGCGUUACUCUGUUUGUUAUGAACUUAAUACACUAGAUGCAUGCUGGAUAGCGGUCGAUCUGUGGAGUAAUAGUAGUAGAUGCAGAAAGUAUCGGUCUACUUGUCUCGGAUGUGAUGCCUAUAUGUAUGAUCAUUCCCUUAGAUAUCGUCAUGACUUUGCGCGAUUCUAUCAAUUGCUCCACAGUAAUUCGUUCACCCACCGUAAUACUUGUUAUCAUGAGAGAAGCCUCUAGUGAACACUAUGGCCCCCGGGUCUAUUUUACACAUUAUAUAUUCAGAUUUACAUACAAAAAUACCAAAAAUACUUUGCUGAAAUUUUAUUUAUUUAUUUAUAUUUACCUAUUAUCACUAUCAGAAUUCACCUUGCAAGUAAUCGUAAAGGGAUUGACAACCCCUUUAUCGCGUUGGGUGCAAGUUUGUUUGUUUUUGCGCAGGUGCAUUGGUGCCUCAUCUUGAUACUCCUACUGGAUUGAUACCUUGGUUCUCAAACUGAGGGAAAUACUUGUCUCUACUUUGCUGCAUCACCCUUUCCUCUUCAAGGGAAAAACCAACGCAAGCUCAAGAAGUAGGAGGAAGAAUUUCUGGCGCCGUUGCAGGGGAGUAUUCAAGUGAAGAAUAUGUACCAAGUACCUAUCGCAAACUCUUCUCUUGCAUUUACAUUAUUUGCCAUUUGCCUCUCGUUUUUCUCUCCCCCACUUCUAAAACAAAAUUUACAAAAAUAUUUGCCUUUCUUUAUUUGCCUUUUUCGUUCGCCCUUUCUUUUGCUUGCUUUUGGUUUGCUCGUGUGUGCUAUCUUAUUUAUCCUCAUGGCCGAACCAAAUGAUUAUGAUGCUUACUAUAAAAAGUUGGAAGAGAUUGAAACUAGUGCUAAAAUCUUCAUGUCUACACAGUUUGAUCAUAAUAGUUACUUUCUAGAGAACUAAGGGAGCAAAAUUCCUUUAUGGCUUAUAUGAAUAAAGAGGUUGAUGAUAUGGCCAAAGAAUUCCUUGCGUUAAAUUCUCAAUUUGCUCGUCUUGAAAAAUUGGUAGGCCAAAUUUCUGAUAAACAAGCUACCUUAGUCAAUAAAAUGGCCGCUAAACGUGAAAUAUGUGAUGAGAAUCAUGAAGAUCUUAAAAUGUUGAGUGUUCACCCUACCUAUCUUGAUAUCUUAAGAAAACCUAUCAUCACUAAUGAUUAUCUUUGUUGCCUAUCUAGGAGUAUAAUGAUUGAUAAAAUUAAAGAACUCCCUAAUAAUGAUGAUGGUCUAAGUGGUUUGAGCACUAAAGAUGAUAAUACUUGAUUCUAUUGCCUUACGCCUAGCUAAGGGCGUUCAACGAUAGCGCUUGUUGGGAGGCAACCCAAUGAAUAAAUUUAUUUUUUAUUUUUUAUUUUUUGUUUUGUUGAGUCCACACCAUCAUGAUUCUGUUAUGAUUGUGUUUUUUAUAUUUUAAUUAGUGUUUGUGCCAAGUAAAACCUUUGUGAUUAGUUUUGGUGAUAGUUGUUUAAUCAUGCUAAAAAAAGACAGAAACUUUGUGCUCACGAAAUUAUUUUUAAUUCCUAUCCAGAAAGAGAUUUUGAGUUGAUUCUUUUUUCUGCUGAUUGAAAGGAAAAUUGCCCUAAUUUUCAUAACUGUUUCAGAUUUUUUGGGAUAGCAGAGGUAUACGAAAUAUACAGAUUGCUACAGACUGUUCUAUUUUUGACAGAUUCUGUUUUUUGUUGUGUUGAUUGCUUAUUUUGAUGAAACUAUGGUUAGUAUCGGGGGCUACGAUUCAUGGAGAAGUGAGAAUACAGUAAUAUAACAUCAAUCUAAAUGGAAAUUAAGUUUACUACAGUACCUAAAAAGUUGGUGGUUUGUUUUCUUAUGCUAAUGAUAUCACGAGUUUCUGUUGAAGUUUUGUGUUGUGAAGUUUUCAAGUUUUGGGUGAUGUUCUUAUGGACAAUGGAAUAAAGAGUGGAAAGAGCCUAAGCUUGGGGAUGCCCAAGUCAUCCCAAGCCAAAUUCAAGGACACUAAAGAGCCUAAGCUUGGGGAUGCCCCAGGAAGGCAUCCCCUCUUUCGUCUUCAAUCCAUCGGUAACGUUACUUGGAUCUAUAUUUUUAUUUACCACAUGAUAUGUGUUUUAUUUGGAGCGUCAUGUAUUAUAGGAGUCUUUGCUUUUUUGUUUUAUCACAAUCAUCCUUGCUGCACACCUUUUUGAGAGGGACAUGCACUCAUCGUGAAUUUGUUAGAAUACUCAAUGAGCUUCACUUAUAUCCUUUGAGCUAGGCAAUUUAGCUCCCAUGAGCUUCACUUAUAUAUUUUGAGCUAGAUAAUUUUUCUCACAUGAGCUUCACUUAUAUCUUUUGAGCUAGAUAAUUUUUCUCCCAUGAGCUUCACUUAUAUCUUUUGAGCUAGAUAAUUUUGAUCUAGUGCUUCACUUAAAUCUUUUUAGAGCACGGUGGUGUCAUAUUUUGUAGAAAUAAAAACUCUCAAUCUUCACUUAUAUCAUUUUGAGAGUGCUCUCUCUAAGUAACUUGGUAAUUGGCGUGUGCUAUGAAAUUAGUCCUAGAUAUGAUAGGCAUCCAAAGAGGAUAUAUUAAAAAAAUUUAUAUUCAAGUGCAUUGAUUAGUAAGAGAAGUUUGAUUCCUCACAAUUAGUUUUGAGAUAUGGAUAUGGUAAUAUUAGAGUCAUGUUAGUAGGGUGUUGUGAAUCUAGAAAUACUUGUUUUGAGGUUUGUGAUUCCCGUAGCAUGCACGUAUGGUGAACCACUAUAUUAGGAAGUCGGAGCAUAAUUGAUUUAUUGAUUGUCAUCCUUUGUGUGGCGGUCGGGAUCGCGCGAUGGUUAACUCCUACCAACCCUUCCCCUAGGAGUAUGCGUUUAGCACUUUGUUUCGAUUACUAUUAAAACUUUCGCAAUAAGUAUAUGAGUUCUUCAUGACUAAUGUGAGUCCAUGGUAUAGAUGCACUCUCACCUUCCACCAUUGGUAGCCUCUCUAGUGUCGCGCAACUUUCGCCGGUGCACAAACCCACCAUAUACCUUCCUCAAAACAGCCAUCAUACCUACCUAUUAUGGCAUUUUCAUAGCCAUUCCGAGAUAUAUUGCCAUGCAACUUCCACCGUUCCGUCUCAUGACAUGUGCCAUCAUUUUCAUUUUACCAUUGCAUGAUUAUAAGAUAGGUAGCGAGAUGUUUCAACGUCAUACACUAAGCUAGAUCGUUGCACAUCCCGGUACACUGCCGGAGGCAUUUCAUAUAGAGUCAUUAUUGUUCCAAGUAUUGAGUUGUAAGUAAAUAAAAGUGUGAUGAUCAUCGUUAUUAGAGCAUUGUCCCAUGUGAGGAAAUAAAAAAAAAGAGGCCAAAGAUGCCCACCAAAAAAAAUGAAAUGAAAAACGAGGCCAAAGAGCCCAAACAAAAAAAAUAAUGAGAGAAAAAGAGAGAAGGGACAAUGCUACUAUCUUUUUUCCACACUUGUGCUUCAAAGUAGCACCGUGUUCUUCAUGAUAGAGAGUCUCUUGUUUUGUCACUUUCAUAUACUAGUGGGAAUUUUCAUUAUAUAACUUGGCUUGUAUAUUCCAAUGAUGGGCUUCCUCAAAAUUGCCCUAGGUCUUCGUGAGCAAGCAAGUUGGGUGCACAACCACUAGUUUUCUUUUUGAGCUUUCAUACACUUAUAGCUCUAGUGCAUCCGUUGCAUGGCAAUCCCUACUCACUCACAUUGAUAUCUAUUGAUGGGCAUCUCCAUAGCCCGUUGAUACGCCGAGUCGAUGUGACCAUCUCCUCCUUUUUGCCUCACAACCUCCACCACACUCUAUUCCACCUAUAGAGCUAUAUCCAUGGCUCACGCUCAUGUAUUGCGUGAGAGUUGAAAAAGUUUGAGAAAGUAAGAGUGUGAAAACAAUUACUUGGCAAAUACCGAGGUUGUGCAUGAUUUAAAUUCAUUGUGUGGGGAUGAUGGAGCAUAGCCAGACUAUAUGAUUUUGUAGGGAUAACUUUCUUUGGCCUUGUUAUUUCAAAAGUUCAUGAUUACUUUGCUAGUAUGCUUGAAGUAUUAUUGUUUGCAUGUCAAUAUUAAACUAUUGUUUUGAAUCUUACGAAUCUGAACAUUCAUGCCACAAUAGAUAAGUUACAAAGAACAAAUAUGUUAGGUAGCAUUCCACAUCAAAAAUUCGGUCUUUAUCACUUCCCUAGUCGAGGACGAGCAGGAGUUAAGCUUGGGGAUGCUUGAUACGUCUCCAACGUAUCUAUAAUUUUUGACUAUUCCAUGCUAUUAUAUUAUCAACUUGGGAUGUCUUAUAUGCAUUUAUAUGCUAUUUUAUAUCAUUUUUGGGACUAGCCUAUUAACUCAGUGCCCAGUGCCAGUUUCUAUUUUUUCCGUGUUUUUGAUCUUUUUCAGAUAAGAAUAUUAAACGGAGUCCAAACGGAAUAAAACCUACACGGUGAUUUUUUUCCAUAAGAGAAGAUAGCCAGAAGACUUGAGAACCAAGGCAGGGGGUCUCGUGGGAGGAAACGAGCCCCCUAGGCACGCCCCAGGGGGGGGGGCUAGCAGGCUCGUGGGCCCCCCUUGCCUCCUUUGCCCUACCUCUUUCGCCUAUAAUUUUUCUAAAAUCCCGAAACCAACCGGGAGAGCCACGAAAAUAAUUUUCCGUCGCUGCAAGCUUCUGUUUCUGCGAGAUCCCAUCUGGGGACCGUUCUGGUGCCCUGCCGGAGGGGGAUUCGGGCACGGAGGGCUUCUUCAUCAACACCAUUGCCUCUCCGAUGAUGCGUGAGUAGUUCACCACAGACCUUCGGGUCCAUAGCUAGUAGCUAGCUGGCUUCUUCUCUCUCUUGGAUCUUCAAUACAAAGUUCUCCAUGAUCUUCAUGGAGAUCUAUCCGAUGUAACUUUUUUUUGCGGUGUGUUUGUCGAGAUCCGAUGAAUUGUGGAUUUAUGAUCAGCUUAUCUAUGAAUAUUAUUUGAGUCUCCUUUGAUUUCUUAUAUGCAUGAUUUCGUAUCCUUGUAAUUCUCUUCGAGUUGUGGGUUUCGUUUGGCCAACUUGAUCUAUGCUACUGCGUCAACAGACCUUCCUUGGCAACGGCGCCAGGAAUCCUUCUGCUACGAGCUACGCCUAUAGGGACUUCCUUGGCAAAUAUGCAAACGAUUUCCCCGCGGCCUUGGAGCCUUGCGUUUGUGUUCCAUUGAAGAGGAAAGGGUGAUGUAGCACAGCGGCGGUAAGUAUUUCCCUCAGUUUGAGAACCAAGGUAUCGAUCCAGUGGGAGGAUCGCGUCAAGUCACAAGUACCUGCACAAACCCAAAGAGCUUGCACCCAACACUAUGAAGGGGUUGUCAAUCCCUUAUAGAUUGUUUGCAAAGUGAGAACUGAAAGCAAAAAGUAAACAAAGCAAAAUAAAAGUGAAAGUGGAGAUGAUAGUUGUGAAUAGACCCGGGGGCCGUAGUGUUCACUGGUGGCUUCUCUCAUGAAAGCAAGUAGACGGUGGGUGAACGAAUUACUGUCGAGCAAUUGAUAUAACCGCGCAAAGUCAUGACAUUAUCUAAGGCAAUGAUUAUUCUAUAGGCAUCACGUCCAAAAACGAGUAGACCGAUACUUUCUGCAUCUACUACUAUUACUCCACACGUCGACCGCUAUCCAGCAUGCAUCUAGUGUAUUAAGUCCAAAAGAACAGAGUAACGCCUUAAGCAAGAUGACAUGAUGUAGAUGAACAAUCUCAAAUUUAUGAUGAAAGCCCAUCUCGUUACGCUUGAUGGAAACAACACGAUGCGUGCCUUGCUGCCCCUUCUGUCACUGGGAAAGGUCACCACACGGUAUGAACCCAAAACCCAAGCACUUCUCCCAUUGCAAGAAUCAUAGAUCUAGUUGUCCAAACAAAACCCAAGACUCGGAGAGACUUACAAGGAUAUCCAAUCAGGCAUAUAAGAAAUCAACAAAGACUCAAAUAUAAUUCAUAGAUAAUCUGAUCACAAAUCCACAAUUCAUCGGAUCUCGACAAACACACCGCCAAAGAGGAUUACAUCGGAUAGAUCUCCAUGAAGAUCAUGGAGAACUUUGUAUUGAAGAUCCAAGAGAGAGAAGAAGCCAUCUAGCUACUAACUACGGACCCGUAGGUCUGAAGUGGACUACUCACGAGUCAUUGGAGAGGCGAUGAUGUUGAUGUAGAAGCCCUCCAACUCCAAAGUCCCCUCCGGCAGGGCACCGGGAAGGGUCUCCAGAUGAGUUCUCGCGGAAACGGAAGCUUGCGGCGGCGGAAAAGUGUUUUCGUGGAUGCCCUGAUUUUUUCUGCGAUUUUAGGGAAUUUAUAGGCCAAAGAGCUAGGGCAGGGGAGCGCCAGGGAGGCCACAAGCCUGGUUGCCGCGGGGCCCCCUGGCCGCGGCAACAGGGCUUGUGGGCUCCGUGUGGGCCCCCUGCCUUGGCCCUCAAGUCCCGUGACCUUCUUCUGAUCUGGAAAAAAUUAUUUCGGGGAUUUUAUUCCGUUUGGACUUGUUCCAAAAUCAGAUCUGAAAAGAGUAAAAAACAUAGAAAAACAGGAACUCGCACUUGGCACUGAAUUAAUAAGUUAGUCCCAAAAAAAGAUAUAAAAGGUAUAUAAAACAUCCAAAGUUGACAAGAUAACAGCGUGAAACCAUCAAAAAUUACAGAUACGUUUGAGACGUAUCAAUCUAUAAUUCUUGGAAUGGGAGAAGUGCUUGGUUUUGGUUUCAUACUGUGCGGUGUCCUCACCUAGUGACAGAAGGGGUAGCGAGGCACGCCUCGUGUUGUUGCCAUCAAGGGUAAAAAGAUGGGGUUUAUAUCAUCUUGCAUGAAUUUAUCCCUCUACAUCUUGUCAUCUUGCUUAAGGCGUUACUCUGUUUGUUAUGAACUUAAUACACUAGAUGCAUGCUGGAUAGCGGUCGAUGUGUGGAGUAAUAGUAGUAGAUGCAGAAAGUAUCGGUCUACUUGUCUCGGACAUGAUGCCUAUAUGUAUGAUCAUUGCCUUAGAUAUCGUCAUGACUUUGCGCGAUUCUAUCAAUUGCUCGACAGUAAGUCGUUCACCCACCGUAAUACUUGCUAUCAUGAGAGAAGCCUCUAGUGAACACUAUGGCCCCCGGGUCUAUUUUACACAUCAUAUAUUCAGAUUUACAUAAAAAAUACCAAAAAUACCUUGCUGCACUUUUUUUAUUUAUUUAUAUUACCUAUUAUCACUAUCAGAUCUCACCUUGCAAGUAACCGUAAAGGGAUUGACAACCCCUUUAUCCCGUUGGAUGCAAGUUUGUUUGUUUUUGCGCAGGUGCAUUGGUGCCUCAUCUUGAUACUCCUACUGGAUUGAUACCUUGGUUCUCAAACUGAGGGAGAUACUUAUCUCUACUUUGCUGCAUCACCCUUUCCUCUUCAAGGGAAAAACCAACGCAAGCUCAAGAAGUAGCAAUAUGCUUUAUCCAUAUUGAACUUUUCCAGUAUGUUUUGGAUGUAAGCAGACCGAUGAACAAGUAUUCCUGAAGAAAAAUGUUCAAGUUGCAAACCAAGACAAAUUUUGGUUUUACCCAAAUCUUUCAUCUCAAAUUCCUCUUGAGAUGAUCACUUGCCUUAUGUAUUUCACGUGUAGUCCCAAUGAUGUUCAAGUCAUCAACAUACACGGAAAUUAUACAAAAUCCAUCAGUGGAUUUCUUGAUGAACACACAUGGGCAAUCAUUGUUGUUUGAGUAAUCCUUCUCCAGAAGGAACUAACUUAGUCGGUUAUACCACAUUCUAUCCGACUGUUUCAAGCCGUAUAAUGACUUUAGUAGCUUUACGCAAUACAUGUUGCGGUUAGCUUUUGGAUCCGGAAUCUUCAGUCCCUCGGGAACUUUCAUAUAGAUAUCCGUCUUAAGUGACCCAUAUAAAUAUGCAGUCACAACAUCCAUGAAUUGGAUAUACAAGUUCAUUUGCACUGCCAGUGAUAUCAAGUAUCGGUAUGUGAUUCCACUCAUCACAGGAGAAAAUGUUUCAUCAUAAUCGAUGUCGGGUCUUUGUGUAAACCCUUGUGCUACAAGCCUCGCUUUAUAUCUCACCACCUCAUUGUUUUCUUUCCUUUUACGAACAAAAAGCCAUUUUGCCCCCACGGGGAAAACAUUAGGAGUAGGUAUUACUGCAGUAAAUACCCCUCUCUUGGCAAGCGAGCGCAAUUCAUCCUCUAUUGCAACCUUCCAAUUGGACCAGUCUGAGCAUUUCAUACGCUCUGCCAUGGACUUAGGUUCACGAUCCAAUGCCAGGUCAUCUGCAUUCUUUGAGGCAAAAAAUAUGUCGACAAUUGUAGUCUUUCUGUUGAAUGAUUCUCCUGAUUCAAUGUAGUUGAUGGAAAUCUCAUCAAUACCUUCUGACUCAUUGUGAAUUCCCACAACAAUCGAGUCAAGGUGUACCAAUGUCCCAGCACCAAUAUUUGUGUGCACAGUUGUGCUGGGUUCUGGAUGCAUAACAUCCUUUAGGUGUCUUUCAACACUAGGUUCAAUAUCAACUCGUGGUUGAACUACAUUUACAAUUAAAGGGAUCCUCACUUCCCGCGAACGCUUCUGAGAAGCCCAGUCCUUUUUAUCCAGUUUUCUCCCCCUCUUGGGCGGUUGAGUGGUAUUAUGAGAUAUCUCAACUCUCUCUGGAACAUUCAUAGCGGGAACAUGGGAUUUAGUGACACCUUUAUAAUCAGUAAAUGCAUCUGGCAGAUUAUUUGCAAUAUUUUGCAAAAUAAUAAUCUUUUGAACUUCCAGUUCAGAUUCAUUCGUACGUGGAUCUAAGGACUGAAUGCCUUUAACAUUCCAAUCUAUUUCCCGACAUUCUUUGUGGUUCUUUUCUCCCCCUAAUGCCUGAAAAUUGUCCUCAUCGAAGAUACAAUCAGCGUACCGGGCUGUAAAUAGGUCCCCUGUUAGAGGCUCCAGGUACUUUAUAAUCAACGGAGAAUUGUACCCCACAUAGAUCCCCAUUUUUCUAAGUGGACCCAUCGAUGUACGCUGAGGUGGUGAUAUCGGUACGUACACAGCGCAACCAAAUCUUCGAAGAUGGGAAAUACUUGGUUGAUUUCCACGUACUAACUGCAGCGGGGAGGCUGUAUGAUAUGCAGUUGGUCGAAUUUGUAUCAACUUUGCGGCAUGCAAUACCAAAUUUCCCCAACAAGAAGUUGGAAGGUUACAAUUAUGUAGGAGUGGUCUUGCUAUCAACUUGAUCCUCUAGAUAAGGGAUUCCGCAAGACCAUUUUGUGUGUGUACACAUGGCACAGAAUGCUCCACGGUUAUGCCCAAGGCUAGGCAGUAAUCAUUGAAUGCUCGUGAACUAAAUUCAGCAGCAUUAUCCAUUCUGAUGGAUUUUAUCAUGUGUUCAGGAUGAUUUUCCCUCAGUUUAAUGAUUUGAGUAAUCAGCUUUGCAAAAGCAUGGUUCCUUGUUGAUAAUAGACACACAUUAGACCAUCUUGUUGAUGCAUCAAUGAGCACCAUAAAAUAUCUAAAUGGUCCCGAUAACGGUUGAAUUGGACCACAUAUAUCUCCUUGAAUGCGUUCAAGAAAAUUAAGUGGUUCAUUCUUGAUCUUCAGAUAUGAAGGUCUUGUGAUUAAUUUCCCAGUUGCACAUGCAGUGCAUACGAAAUCCAAGGAUUUGGGGAAAUUAGCAACCGUUAUGUUGUGUCCAAUUGAACCGUCAAUAAUUUUUCUCAUGAUCCUCACACGAGGAUGACCCAGGCGAUCAUGCCAUAUCUUGAACUUGUCAAGAUUCUGAAAAAUUAUUUUGUAUGCCAAAUGUUGCUCUGGCUUGAUGUAUGUGCAAUACAGUCCAGAAGAUAGAGCAGGCAGUCUCUCAAGGGUUUCCUUGUUGGAUCCCUUCUGCUGAGUUAUGAGUAGGCUUUCAACCGCAUUGUUUUCAUGAGUUUCAAUGUGGUAGCCAUUCAUACGGAUAUCCUCAAAACUCAACAUGGUACGAGUUGAAUCCGGAUACAAUAAAGCCUCCUGGAUUUCAAGUUUUGUACCAUUCGGGAGGGUAAAUGUGGCUUGACCAGAACCAACAAUUACCGUGUCAUGACCACCAAUUGUCAUAACACUUCCCUUACUCUUUUUGAGACUUUGGAAGUAUUUAACCUCCUGUAGAAUUGUGUUAGAGGCACCACAAUCCACUAAACAAAUUUCCUCCUCCAUUGGAUUAUUUCUCGAAGUUUUCUAUAGAGUAAAAGAAUAAAAUUCAUUAUUUAUCCAAUCUCAUAUAGAAUUAACACAUACAUUACAUACUAUGUAUGUUUGCUUACAAAUUAUAAUACAUUAUGUUUAAGGACAUAAUUAUUACAAUACCAUAUGCCCGAGGAUAUAAUUAUUUUACAACGCACAAUAUAACUAAGGACAUCAUCACAACACUUAUGACAUUAUUGGAAGAUCAAAGCAUAUCUCCAUAUGUGUCAUUAGUAGAAGUGAAAUCCACCAACAUGUCAUCAACAUUAAGUGGCGGUCCUUCCUUUUGCUGAGCCUGAUCUUGGUUCUCCAUGUUGUCAUGAACAGCGUUCAGAUGAACGUCUUGAGAACUUUCAAUCACUGGACCAGUGAAGUGAGCUUCGUACUGGUUCCCUUGAGCCUUCUUGCCCUUGCUAAUCGAUUGCUGAUACAACAUCACCAAAUUCUUAGAAGUUGUACACUUCCUUGCAUGAUGAGUAGUACAACCACAUCUGUAGCAAGCUUGAGAGCUGCUACCCUUAUCAUUUUUCUUAAAAUGAUUCUUACUCUUUUGUACUCCAUCGCUAUUCUGAUUCUCAUUGCGUCUCCAUUUUCCUUUAAAAUUCCUAUGGUUCCUUUUGGGACCAUGCGACUUCUGAGUAUUCUGAGAAUUAAAAUGUGCUUCAGGUAGCGGCAGUGUUCCCCUUGGACGGGACAUAUUAUUCUUAUCAAGAAUUUCACUGUGCUUUUCUGAAGGAGUGCAUAUAUCAACUCAGAAUGCUUCUUGUAUUUCUGCUGACGAUGUUGUUCAGCAGGAAUCCUCAUAUUAGGAAGGAAAGUAGAGAGUGUCUUUUCAAUGAGAUCCGCAUCCGAAACUACAGUAUUGCAGAAUCUCAACUUAGAGUUGAUUUGAUGCACGACAGAAUUGUACGCUGCAACGGACUUAAAAUCCUGGAAACGAAUAAGUGCCCAUUCUAUUUGCGCUUCUGGCAACAUCACCGACCUUUGUUGAUCAUAACGCUCCUUCAAGGAGUUCCAAAAUGAUAGAGGAUUUUCCUCAAUCAUAUACUCUUCUUUCAAAGUAGGAUCAAGGUGGUGCCGAAUGAAGUGCAAAGAAGCAUACUUUACCGACUCUGCGAUAGCAGGAGUACCUUGAGUAGGUGUGGUUAUAGUGCUGAUCAGAUUCUUGGCCGCUGCUACUUCUCGAGCUUGCGUUGGUUUUUCCCUUGAAGAGGAAAGGGUGAUGCAGCAAAGUAGCGAUAAGUAUUUCCCUCAGUUUGAGAACCAAGGUAUCAAUCCAGUAGGAGUAUCAAGACGAGGCACCAAUGUACCUGCGCAAAAACAAACAAACUUGCACCCAACGCUAUAAAGGGGUUGUCAAUCCCUUCACGAUUAUUUGCAAGGUGAGAUCUGAACGUGAAAAGUGCAACAAAGUAAUUUUAUAGAUCUGAAUAUAUGAUGUGAAGUAGACCCGGGGCCAUAGUGUUCACUAGAGGCUUCUCUCAUGAUAGCAAGUAUUACGGUGGGUGAUAGAAUUACUGCCGAGCAAUCGAUAGAAUUGCGCAAAGUCAUGAUGAUAUCUAGGGCAAUGAUCAUAUAUAUAUAUGCAUCACGUCCGAGACAAGUAGACCGAUACUUACUGCAUCUACUACUAUUACUCCACACAUCGAGCGCUAUCCAGCAUGCAUCUAGUGUAUUGAGUUCAUAACAAAUAGAGUAACGCCUUAAGCAAGAUGACAUGAUGUAGAGGGAUAAAUUCAUGCAAUAUGAUAUAACCCCAUCUUUUUACCCUUGAUGGCAACAACACGAUGCGUGCCUCGCUACCCCUUCUGUCACUAGGUGAGGAGACCACACGGUAUGAACCCAAAACCAAGCACUUCUCCCAUUGCAAGAAUUAUAGAUCAAGUUGGCCAAACGAAACCCAUAACUCGAAGAGAAUUACAAGGAGACGAAAUCAUGCAUAUAAGAGAUCAGAGGAGACUCAAAUAAUAUUCAUAGAUAAUCUGAUCAUAAAUCCACAAUUCAUCGGAUCUCGACAAACACACCGCAAAAGAAAGUUACAUCGGAUAGAUCUCCAAGAAGAUCAUGGAGAACUUUGUAUUGAAGAUCCAAGAGAGAGAAGAAGCCAUCUAGCUACAAGCUAUGGACCCGAAGGUCUGUGGUGAACUACUCACGCAUCAUCGGAGAGGCAAUGGUGUUGAUGAAGAAGCCCUCCGUGUCCGAAUCCCCCUCCGGCAGGGCACCAGAACGGUCCCUAGAUGGGAUCUUGCGGAGACAGAAGCUUGCGGCAGCGGAAAAGUAUUUUCAUGGCUAUCUCUGGUUGUUUUGGAAUUUUGGAGAAUUUAUAGGUGAAAGAGGUAGGGCAAAGGAGCCACGUGGGGCCCACAAGCCUGCCAGGCGCCCCCCAGGCCGCGGCUAGGGGUCUUGUGAUCUCCCCCGAGGUCUUAUGCCUUGGUUCUCAACUCCCCUGCGUAUCUUCUGUUAUGGAAAAAAUCAUCCCGCAGGUUUUAUUCCUUUUGGACUCCGUUUAAUAUUCUUCUCUGGAAAAGGUAAAAAACACGGAAAAAAUAGAAACUGACACUUGGCACUGUGUUAACAGGUUAGUCCCAAAAAAGAUAUAAAAUAGCACAUUCAUGCAUACAAAACAUCCAAAGUUGACAAUAUAAUAGAAUGAAACCAUCAAAAAUUAUAGAUACGUUGGAGGCGUAUCAAGCAUCCCCAAGCUUAACUCCUGCUCAUCCUCGAGUAGGGAAGUGAUAAGGACCGAAUUUUUGAUGUGGAAUGCUACCUAAGAUAUUUGUUCUUUGUAACUUAUUUCUUGUGGCAUGAAUGUUCAGAUCCGUAAGAUUCAAAACAAUAGUUCACUAUUGUCAUGAAGACAAUAAUACUUCAAGCAUACUAGUAAAGUAAUCAUGAACUUUUGAAAUAACAAGGCCAAAGAAAGUUAUCCCUACUAAAUCAUAUAGUCUGGCUAUGCUCCAUCAUACCGACACAACGAAUUUAAAUCAUGCACAACCCCGGUAUUGGCCAAGUAAUUUUUUUCGCACUCUUACUUUCUCAAACUUUGUCAACUCUCACGCAAUACAUGAGCAUGAGCCAUGGAUAUAGUACUAUAGGUGGAAUAGAGUGUGGUGCAGGUUGUGAGGCAAAAAGGAGGAGAUGAUCGCAUUGACUUGCCGUAUCAUUGGGCUAUGGAGAUGCCCAUCAAUAGAUAUCAACGUGAAUGAGUAGGGAUUGCCAUGCAACGGAUGCACUAGAGCUAUAAGUGUGUGAAAAGCUCAAAAGGAAAACUAGUGGGUGUGCACCCAACUUGCUUGCUCACGAAGACCUAGGGCAAUUUUGAGGAAGCCCAUCAUUGGAAUAUACAAGCCAAGUUAUAUAAUGAAAAUUCCCACUAGUAUAUGGAAGUGUCAAAACAAGAGACUCUCUAUCAUGAAAAGCAUGGUGCUAUUUUGAAGCACAAGUGUGGAAAAAGAUAGUAGCAUUGUCCCUUCUCUCUUUUUCUCUCAUUUUUUUGUUUGGGCUCUUUGGCCUCUUUUUUUCAUUUUUUUGGUGGGCAUCUUUGGCCUCUCUUUUUUAUUUCCUCACAUGGGACAAUGCUCUAAUAGUGAUGAUCAUCACACUUUCAUUUACUUACAACUCAAUACUUACAACAAUGAUGACUCUAUAUGAAAUGCCUCCGACAGUGUACCGGGAUGUACAACGAUCUAGCUUAGCGUAUGACGUUGAAACAUCUCGCUAGCUAUCUUACAAUCAUGCAAUGGCAAUAUUAAAGUGACGGCAUAUGUCAUGAGACGGAACGGUGGGAGUUGCAUGGCAAUAUAUCUCGGAAUGGCUAUGAAAAUGCCAUAAUAGGUAGGUAUGGUGGAUGUUUUGAGGAAGGUAUAUGGUGGGUUUGUGCAGCGGCGAAAGUUGCGAGGCACUAGAGAGGCUAGCAAUGGUGGAAGGGUGAGAGUGCGUAUAAUCCAUGGACUCACAUUAGUCAUGAAGAACUCAUAUACUUAUUGCGAAAGUUUUAUUAGUAAUCGAAACAAAGUGCUAAACGCAUACUCCUAGGGGAAGGGUUGGUAGGUGUUAACCAUCGCGCGAUCCCAACCGGCACACAAAGGAUGACAAUCAAUAAAUCAAUUAUGCUCCUACUUCCUAACAUAGCGGUUCACCAUACGUGCAUGCUACGGGAAUCACUAACCUCAACACAAGUAUUUCUAGAUUCACAACACCCUACUAACAUAACUCUAAUAUUACCAUAUCCAUAUCUCAAAACUAAUUGUGAGGAAUCAAACUUCUCUUACUAAUCAAUGCACUUGAAUAUGGAAGUUUUUAUUAUAUCCUCUUUGGAUGCCUAUCAUCUUUAGGACUACUUUCAUAACACACACCAAUUACCAAGUUACUUAGAGAGAGCACUCUCGAAAAGAUAUAAGUGAAGAUCGAGAGUUUUUAUUUCUUCAAAAUAUGAAACCGUCGUGCUCUAAAAAGAUCUAAGUGAAGUACUAGAGCAAAGUUAUUUAGCUCAAAAGAUAUAAGUGAAGCACAUGUGAGCUAAAUUGCCUAACUCAAAAGAUAUAAGUGAAGCUCAAUGAGUAAUCUAGAAAAUUCACGAUGAGUGCAUGUCCCUCUAAAAAAGGUGUGCAGCAAGGAUUAUUGUGACAAAACAAAAAUAAAAGACUCCUAUAAUAGAUGAUGCUCCAAGCAAAACACAUAUCAUGUGGUGAAUAAAAAUAUAGCUCCAAGUAACGUUAUGAAGACAAAAGAGGGGAUGCCAAAGAUCCCCAAGCUUAGGCUUUUUGGUGUCCUUGAAUUUGACUUGGGAUGUCUUGGGUAUCCCGAAGCUUAAGCUCUUUCCACUUUUUAUCCCAUUGUCCAUGAGAACAUCACCCAAAACUUGAAAACUUCACAACACAAAACUUAAACAGAAACUCGUGAUAUCAUUAGCAUAAGAAAACAAACCACCAACUCUUUAGGUACUGUAGUAAACUUGAUUUAUAUUUAGAUUGAUGUUAUAUUACUGUAUUGUCACUUUUCCAUGGCUAGUACCCCCCGAUACUAACCAUAGUUUCAUCAAAAUAAACAAUCAACACAACAAAAAACAAAAUAUGUCAAAAACAGACCAGUCUGUAGCACUCUGUAUACUUCGUAUACCUCUGGUAUCCCAAAAAUUAUGAACAAUUAUGACAAUUAGGGCAAUUCGCACAUCAAUCAGCAGCAAAAAGAAUCAACUCAAAAUCUCUUUCUGGAUAGGAAUUAUAAAUAAUUUCGUGAGCGCAAAGUUUCUGUCUUUUUCAGCAUGAUUAAACAACUAUCACCAAAACUAAUCAUAAAGGUUCUACUUGGCACAAACAGUAAAAACAUAAAAAACACAAUCAUAAUAGAAUUAUGAUGGUGUGUACACAACAAAACAGAAAGUGAAAAGCAAAAAUAAAUUUAUUCAUUGGGUUGCUUCCCAAUAAGCGCUUUUCUUUAAAGCCUUUUAGCUAGGCAUUGAUAAUUCAAUGAUGCUCACAUAAAAGAUAGCAAUCGGACACGAAUAGAGCAUCAUGAAACAUGUGACAAACAUAUCUAAGUCUAACAUACUUCCUCUGCAUAGGCAUUUUAUAGGAAAACAAAUUGUCAAUACAACCAAUAGUUACCAUAUGCAAGGAAGAAGAAAGAGACAAUAGCAAUCUCAACAUAACGAGAGGUGAUUUAGUGAUAUGAAAAUUUCUACAAUCAUAUUUUCCUCUCUCAUAAUAAUUACAUGUGGGAUCAUAUUCAAAUUAAACAAUAUAACUAUCACAUAGGAUAUUCUUUUCAUGAUCCACAUGCAUGCAAAGUUGACGCUCUUCAAAAAUAGUGGGAUUAGCAUCAACUAAAGUCAUGACUUCUCCAAACCCACUUUCAAUAUUAUUGCAAAUAUCAUAUUCAUCAUGAGGCUUAAACAAGUUUUCAAGAUCAUAAGAAAAAUCAUCACCCCAAUCAUGAUCAUUGCAACAAGUAGUGGACAUAGCAAAACUAGCAUCCCCAAGCUUAGGGUUUUGCAUAUUUUUAGCAUAACUGACAUUCAUAGAACUUAUAGUGAAACCAUUGCAAUCAUGCUUUUCAUUUAAGGAGCCCUCGUGAAUCACUUCAUAAAUUCCUUCAUCACAACUUUUUAGAUUCACGCAUCUCAAGCUAAAACUUCAUAAAGAAAMUCUAGUGCACAAAACUCACGAGCAAUUGGUUCAACAUAAUUGGAUCUCUUAAAGACUUUAGCAAGUGGGUGAGGAUCCAUACCAAUAGAUUUUCAGCAAGCGAAGAUGCAAGCAUAUUGAAGGCACAUAGCUCACAAGCAAAGGAAAGGCAAACGAAAAAGGCAAAUAUUUUUGUAAUUUUUGUUUUUUAGAAGUGGGGGAGAGGAAAAUGAGAGGCAAAAGGCAAAUAAUGUAAAUGCAAGAGAUGAGUUUGCGAUAGUUACUUGGAUAUGCUUCACUUGAAUACUCCCCGGCAACGGCGCCAGAAAUUCUUCUUGCUACUUCUCGAGCUUGCGUUGCUUUUUCCCUUGAAGAGGAAAGGGUGAUGCAACAAGUACNGUUUANAAGUAUUUCCCUUAGUUUGAGAACCAAUGUAUCAAUCCAGUAGGAGUAUCAAGAUGAGGCACCAACGUACCUGCGCAAAAACAAACAAACUUGCAACAAACGCUAUGAAGGGGUUGUCAAUCCCUCCACAAUUAUUUAAAAGGUGAGAUCUGAAGGUGAAAAGUGCAACAAAGUAAUUUUGUAGAUCUGAAUAUAUGAUGUGAAGUAGACCCGGGGGCCAUAGUGUUCACUAGAGGCUUCUAUCAUGAUAGCAAGUAUUACGGUGGGUGAACGAAUUACUGUCGAGCAAUUGAUAGAAUCGCGGAAAGUCAUGAUGAUAUCUAAGGCAAUGAUCAUACAUAUAGGCAUCACGUCCGAGACAAGUAGACCGAUACUUUCUACAUCUACUACUAUUACUCCACACAUCGACCGCUAUCCAGCAUGCAUCUAGUGUAUUGAGUUCAUAACAAUCAGAGUAACGCCUUAAGAAAGAUGACAUGAUGUAGAGGGAUAAAUUCAUGCAAUAUGAUAUAAACCCCAUCCUUUUACCCUUGAUGGCAACAACACGAUGCAUGCCUCACUACCCCUUCUGUCACUAGGUGAGGACACCGCACGGUAUUGAUACGUCCAUUUUGCAUCAUGUUUUCAUGUUGAUAUUUAUCGCCUCUUUGGCUGUUAUUUCACUUCAUGGUACAAUACCGGGCCAAAGAAGUGCUAGAGGGGCGCCAGGGGGUGCCCACAAAACUGCACGGCGCGGCCACCCCCCAGGUCGCGCCAUGAGGGCUUGUGGGCUAUAUGAAGGGUUUCGUCCAGGAAAAAAAAAUCAAGGAGGAGAUUUUUCGUGGUUUCGCCGCCGCCACGAGGCGGAACUUGAGCAGAACCAAUCUAGAGCUCCGGCAGGACGAUCCUGCCGGGGAAACUUCCCUCCCGGAGGGGAAAUCAUCGCCAUCGUCAUCACCAACACUCCUCUCGUCGGAGGGGAGGCAUCUUCAUCAACAUCUUCAUCAGCACCAUCUCCUCACCAAUCCCUAGUUCAUCUCUUGUAACCAAUCUUUGUCUCGCGACUCCGAUUGGUACUUGUAAGGUUGCUAGUAGUGUCGAUUACUCUUUGUAGUUGAUGCUAGUUGGAUUACUUGGUGUAAGAGUUUAAGUUCAGAUCCUUGAUGCUAUUCAUUACACCUAUGGUCAUGAUUAUGAUUAUGUCUUGUGAGUAGUUACUUUUGUUCCUGAGGACAUGGGAUAAGUCAUGUUAAUAAUAGUCAUGUGAAUUUGAUAUUCGUUCGGUAUUUUGAUAUGUUGUAUGUUGUCUUUUCCUCUAGUGGUGUUAUGUGAACGUCGACUACAUAACACUUCACCAUAUUUGGGCCUAGAGGAAGGCAUUGGGGAGUAGUAAGUAGAUGAUGGGUUGCUGGAGUGACAGAAGCUUAAACCCCAGUCUAUGCGUUGCUUCGUGAGGGGCUGAUUUGGAUCCACUAGUUUAAUGCUAUGGUUAGACUUUGUCUUAAUUCUUAUUUUGUAGUUGCGGAUGCUUGUGAGAGAGGUUAAUCAUAAGUGGGAUGCUUGUCCAAGUAAGGGCAGUACCCAAGCGCCGGUCCACCCACAUAUCAGACUAUCAAAGUAACGAACGCGAAUCAUAUGAACAUGAUGAAACUAGCAUGACAGAAAUUCCCGUGUGUCCUCGGGAGCGUUUUCCCUCCUAUAAGACUUUGUUCAGGCUUGUCCCUCGCUAUAAAAUGGAUUGGGCCACUUGCUGCACCGUUGCUAUUACUUGUUACUUGUUACUAUUUGCUUGCUACGUUUCACCUCGCUACACAAUCACUUGUUACCGCUACUUUUAGUGCUUGCAGUUGCAGAAAUCCGUUUAUCAGAGUCUUCUGCUGCUUGUUGGGUUCGACACUCUUUCUUAUCGAAAGGACUACGAUUUAUCCCCUAUACUUGUGGGUCAUCAAGACUCUUUUCUGGCGCCGUUGCCGGGGAGUGAAGCGCCUUUGGUAAGUGGAAAUUGGUAAGGAAACAUUUAUAUAUUGUGCUGAAAUUUAUUGUCACUUGUCACUAUGGAAACUGUUUCUUUGAGGAGUUUGUUCGGGGUAUCUUCAGCACGAACGGAAGCACGAGGAGUUGCUCCUCAACCCGAGGUACCUACUGAAAAUAUAUUUUAUGAAAUUCCUUUGGGUAUGCUUGAGAAACUGCUGGCUAAUCCUUUCACAGGAGAUGGAUCUUAACAUCCAGACUUGCAUCUAAUCUAUGUAGAUGAAGUUUGUGGUUUAUUUAAGCUUGCAGGUUUGCCCGAGGAUGAGGUAAAGAAGAAAGUCUUUCCUUUAUCUUUGAACUAUAAGGCGUUGACAUGGUAUAGGCUAUGUGAUGAUACUGGAUCAUGGGGCUACAAUCGGUUGAAAUUGGAAUUUCAUCAAAAGUUCUAUCCUAUGCAUUUAGUACAUCGUGAUCGGAACUUUAUUUAUAACUUUUGGCCUCGUGACAGGGAAAGCAUAGCUCAAGCUUGGGGGAGGCUUAAAUCAAUGCUAUAUUCAUGCCCCAAUCAUGAGCUCUCGAGAGAAAUCAUCACUCAAAACUUUUAUGCUCGGUUUUCUCAUGAAGAUCGUACCAUGCUUGACACUUCUUGUGCCGGUUCUUUUAUGAAGAAGGAUAUUGAUCACAAGUGGAAUUUAUUGGAGAGAAACAAACACAACUCUGAAGAUUGGGAGCUGGAGGAAGGUAAGGAGUCAGGUAUGAAUUUCCAUUUUGAUUGUGUUAAAUCUUUUGUUGAGACAAACACUUCUAGAGGUUUUAGCGCUAAGUAUGGACUUGACUCUGAGAUAAUAGCUUCUCUAUGUGAAUCUUUUGUUGCUCAUGUUGAUCUUACCAAAGAGAAGUGGUUUAAAUAUCAUCCUCCUGUAGAAAGCAACAUAGCCAAAACCAAUCUAGUUGAGGAGAAAAUCAUAGCUUUUAGUGAUCCUGUUGUUCUUGUGCUUACACUGAGAAACCACCAUACCCUCCUAGGAUAAAGGAUUAUUCUAAAGCUCCAACUGUGAUACGUAGGGGUUACAUUAGACCAUUUGCACCCCCUAAGGAGAUUAGAGUUGAACCUAGUGUUGCUAUUAUCAAAGAUCUCUUAGCUGAAGACAUAGAUGGGAAUGUUAUCAAAUUCUGUGAGGACUCCGCUAGAAUUGCUAAACCUCACGCGAAAGACAAACACAGACCUGUAGUUGGCCUGCCCGUUGUUUCUGUUAAGAUAAGAGAUCACUGUUACCAUGGUUUAUGUGAUAUGGGAGCUAGUGUUAGUGCAAUACCCCGUUCUCUAUAUGAUGAAAUCAAAGAUGAGAUUGCGCCUGCUGGAUUAGAACCCAUUGAUGUCACUAUUACGCUAGCUAAUAGAGACACUAUCUGCCCUCUGGGAAUUGUGAGAGACGUAGAAGUCAUGUGUGGUAAGACGAAGUAUCCUACUGAUUUCCUCGUCCUUGGUACUGCAGAAGAUAGCUUUUGUCCCAUCAUAUUCGGUAGACCCUUUCUCAACACUGUCAAUGCUCUAAUUGAUUGCAUUAAGCAGACGGUCACAGUAAGUUUCGAGGGUGUGUCUCAUGAAUUUAACUUCUCCAAGGUUGGAAGACAACCCCAUGAAAAAGAGUCGUCUGGUAGGGAUGAAAUCAUUGCUCUUGCCUCUAUUGCCGUACCUCCUACGGAUCCUUUAGAGCAAUAUUUGCUUGAGCACUAAAAUGAUAUGCAUAUGGAGGAGAGAGAUGAGAUAGAUAAAAUUGUCUUAGAACAAUAUCUUAUUCUCAAGAAUAAUCUGCCUGUUGAACUGCUCGGGGAUCCUCCCCCACCAAAGGGUGAUCCUGUGUUCGAGCUUAAACAGUUGCCUGAUACUCUUAAGUAUGCCUAUCUUGAUGAGAAGGAGAUAUAUCCUGUCAUUAUUAGUGCUCUCCUCUUAGAGCGCGAAGAGAAGAAGUUACUAAAAACUCUGAGGAAGCACCGCGCUGCUAUUGGAUAUACUCUUGAUGAUCUUAAGGGUAUUAGUCCUACACUAUGUGAGCACAAGAUUAAAACCGAUCCUGACUUUAAACCAGUUGUUGAUCAUCAAAGGAGAUUAAAUCCUAAGAUGAAAGAGGUCAUUAGAAAAGAAAUGUUAAAGCUUCUGUAAGCAAGAAUCAUUUAUCAUGUUGCUCGUAGUGAUUGGGUAAGUCCAGUACAUUGCGUACCUAAGAAGGGAGGUAUCACCGUCGUUCCUAAUGAUAAGGAUGAACUAAUCCCACAAAGGAUUAUUACCGACUAUAGGAUGAUGAUAGACUUCCGGAAACUGAACAAGGCAACCAGGAAAGAUCAUUAUCCUUUGCCGUUUAUCGACCAAAUGCUAGAAAGGCUAUCAAAGCACACGCACUUCUGCUUUCUAGACGGUUAUUCAGGUUUCUCGCAAAUACCUGUUGCACAAUCUGAUCAAGAGAAAACCACUUUCACCUGCCCUUUCGGUACCUUUGCCUAUAGACGUAUGCCUUUUGGCUUAUGUAAUGCACCUGCCACCUUCCAAAGAUGUAUGAUGGCUAUAUUCUCUGACUUUUGUGAAAAGAUUGUCGAGGUUUUCAUGGAUGACUUCUCCGUUUACAGGUCUUCCUUUGAUGAUUGCCUCAGCAACCUUGAUCGAGUCUUACAGAGAUGCGAAGAAACAAACCUCGUCUUGAAUUGGGAGAAGUGCCACUUUAUGGUUAAUGCAGGUAUCGUCUUAGGACACAAAAUCUCUGAAAGAGGCAUUGAAGUUGAUAAGGCUAAGGUUGAUGCAAUUGAGAAAAUGCCUUGCCCCACAGAUAUCAGAGGUAUACAAAGUUUCCUAGGUCAUGCUGGUUUCUAUAGAAGGUUCAUUAAAGACUUAUCUAAGAUUUCUAGGCCUCUUACUAACCUCUAGCAGAAGGAUGUUCCUUUUGUUUUUUAUAAGGAUUGUGAGGAAGCCUUUGAAAUACUUAAAAAGGCUUUGAUAACUGCACCUAUUGUUCAACCACCUAACUGGAACUUGCCCUUUGAAACCAUGUGUGACGCUAGUGAUUACGCUGUUGGUGCUAUUCUAGGACAGAGAGUUGACAAGAGGUUGAAUGUCAUUCACUACGCUAGUAAAACUCUAGACAGUGCCCAAAGAAACUAUGCCACUACGGAGAAGGACUUUUUAGCAGUCAUGUUUGCAUGUGAAAAGUUCAGAUCUUACAUAGUUGACUCCAAAGUCACUAUUCACUCUGAUCAUGCUGCUAUUAAGUACCUCAUGGAGAAGAAGGACGCUAAGCCUAGGCUGAUCAGAUGGGCUCUCCUGCUACUGGAAUUUGAUUUGCACGUCGUUGACCGAAAGGGUGCUGAUAACCCUGUAGCAUAUAACUUUUCUAGGCUAGAGAAUGUCCUUGAUGACCCACUACCAAUUGAUGACAGCUUUCCUGAUGAGCAAUUAAAUGUCAUCCGCACUUCACUUAGUGCACUGUGGUAUGCCGAUUAUGCAAACUAUAUCGUAGCCAAAUACAUAACACCCAGUUUCACCUAUCAACAAAAGAAGAAAUUCUUCUUUGAUUUGAGACACUACUUUUGGGAUGAUCCUAACCUUUAUAAGGAAGGAGUAGAUGGUGUUAUUAGACGUUGUGUGCCUGAACCUGAACAGGGACAGAUCCUGCAGAAGUGUCACUCCGAAGCCUACGCAGGAUACCAUGCUGGAGAUAGAACUGCCCAUAAGGUAUUGCAAUCAGGUUUCAAUUGGUCCACUCUCUUCAAGGAUUCCCGUAAGUUUGUCUUCUGUUGUGACGAAUGCCAAAGGAUAGGAAACAUCAGUAAGCGUCAAGAGAUGCAUAUGAACUAUUCACUUGUCAUUGAACCAUUUGAUGUCUGGGGCUUUGAUUAUAUGGGACCCUUCCCGAGUUCCAAUGGGUACACUCACAUCUUAGUUGUUGUGGAUUAUGUUACUAAGUGGGUAGAAGCUAUCCCCACUAAAAAUGUUGAUCACCACACCUCUAUUAAGAUGCUUAAAGAAGUCAUUUUCCAAAGAUUUGGAGUCCCUAGAUACUUGAUGACUGAUGGCGGUUCAUGCUUCAUUCACGGUGUUUUCCGCAAGAUGCUAGCUAAGUAUGAUGUCAACGAUAGAGUUGCAUCUCCCUAUCAUCCUCAGUCUAGUGGUCAAGUGGAGUUGAGUAAUAGGGAGAUCAAGUUGAUCUUACAAAAGACCGUCAAUAGAUCUUGAAAGAACCGGUCUAGCAAACUUGACGAUGCAUUAUGGGCUUAUAGGACUGCUUAUAAGAAUCCCAUGGGCAUGUCACCGUAUAAAAUGGUUUACGGUAAGGCCUGUUAUUUACCUCUCGAGCUGGAACAAAAAGCUUAUUGGGCAAUCAAAGAGCUCAACUUUGAUUUCAAACUUGCCGGUGAGAAGCGGUUGUUUGAUAUCGGCUCGUUAGAUGAAUGGAGAGCCCAGGAAUAUGAGAAUACCAGGUUGUUCAAGGAGAAGGUUAAGAGAUGGCACGACAAACGAAUACGGAAAUGAGAGUUCAAUAUAGGUGAUUAUGUCUUGCUAUACAAUUCUCGUUUGAGAGUCUUUGCAGGCAAGAUUCUCUCUAAAUGGGAAGGUCCCUAUGUUGUCGAGGAAGUAUAUCAUUCCGGUGCCAUCAAAAUCAAUAACAGAGAAGGAAAUUUUCCUAGAGUGGUAAAUGGGCAAAGAAUCACGCAUUACAUCUCUGGUACUCCCAUAAAUGUUGAGACCAAUAUCAUCAAUGUCAUAACUCCACAGGAGUACAUAAGGGAUGUUUAUCAGCCUGUUUCAGACCUUGAAAACGAAAAUGUAUCUGUUUCGGCAAGAAAUUGGACUCCGAUACUUUUCCAAUAGGAAUUUUCCUCAGUUUUGGAAUUUUUGGAAAAUUAGAAACAUAAAAAGCAGUCCGGAGAGCGAACGAGACAGCCACAAGGGCCCACUACGCCACCACCCCCUGGUGGCGGUGGGAAAGCUUAUGGGCACCUCGUGUGCCUCCCGGACUCUGUUUUCUUGCGGAGGACUCCUUCUGGCGCAGAAAAAAUCAAUAUAUAGUCGCCCGAAGGUUUUGAUCUCCGUGUCGCGCAGUUUUCCUCUGUUUUCGUUUCGAGCUUGUUCUGCCGCAGAUCUAGGUCAACAUGUCUUCUCAAGAUUCAAAGGGAGAGAUCUAUGUGGCUGACUACCUUGCUAACCCCAAGGUCUAUGGGGACUUGGAACCAUAUGGCUGGACCACUGAUGAGGAAGAGGACUAUGAGCCCAAAGGGAAGGAGCAAACGAGUUCCGAUGAAGAGGAGGCUCCUCUACCUCAACCUGCAAACACCCAUGUGGAGUUCAAGAAGUCAACCUCCUUGACCACAGGAAGAAGCCUAAGACCUUGUUUAUCCCUUCCCGUUUCUUGCAGGAGAGUAAGCAGGAACUUUGCCAUAGAGUGUUGAAACUUGAGGAACAAAAUGACGAUCUAAGGGAGCAGAACUUUUUGCUCAAGUGGAAAUUAGACAAGCUCAAGACUGCUCCAACAACACCACCAUCACCACCAAAGGAAGACAACUAAGCAUUGGUAUGGGCAAUCCCCUUGGCUUCUGCUAAGCUUGGGGGAGUUGCCGUGGUAUCGUAUCACCUUUAUAUCUUUUGCUUUUACCUUUGUUUUAGUUCUUUCCUUUUCAGUUUUUAUUUCUUCUUUUAGAGGAAUAAGUCUUUAGAUUUAGUUUGAGUCUUUUGCUUUUGUCUCUCCCCCGAUGUAUUCGAGCUUACGAGCUAUAUAAUAAAGAGUGUCUUAGUGAAGGGCUUUGCUUUGUGCCAUGAUCAGAAGUAUGAAAAGAACAAUAGCAUGAAAGAUCAUGAGACGAUCUUAUGGAAAGUGAUAACUUCACUUAUAACACGUACGAUGAUUGAAACUUGUUGAGAAUAAAUCAUAAUAGACCUCGGCCAUUGUUGCAAUUAAUAAGAAGUAAUAAGGAAAGAGAGGUUCACAUAUAAAUAUAUCAUCUUAGACACUUUUUGCAAUUGUGAGCACUCACCAAACUAUUACAUGCCUAGGAGUAGAUGUUGGACAAGGAAGACAACAUAAUGAAUUGUGUUUGCUUGGUUCCAAACAAUGUUAUAUGAUUAGAGAUCCCUUAGCAUGUGACGAUUGCUUCCACCUCAUAUUAGCCAAAACUCCCGCACCAAGUAGAGAUACUACUUGUGCAUCCAUAAACCUCCAACCAGUUUUGCCAUGAGAGUCCUCCAUACCUACCUAUGGAUUGAAUAAGAUCCUUCAAGUAAGUUGUCAUCGGUGCAAGCAAUAAAAAUUGCUCUCUAAUAUGUAUGAUCUAUUAGUGUGUGGAAAAUAAGCUUUGUACGAACCUGUGAUGAGGAAGACAUAAAAGCGACAGACUGCAUAAUAAAGUUCUUUAUCACAUGAGGCAAUAUAAAGUGAUGUUCCUCCGCACUAAGAGGACACACAUUCAAACCUCAAAAGCGCAUGCCAAUCUCUGCGUCCCUCUGCGAAGGACCUAUCUUGUACCUUUACUUUUUACCCUUGUAAGAGUCAUGGUGAUCAUCACCAAUUCCCUUUUUGCCUUUGUCUUGACUACCGUCACAUGCUUGGGAAAGAUCUAUAUUCAUAUAUCAACUUGGAGUUGAGUACUUAUGCUUUAUUGUUGUUGACUUUAACCUUGAGGUAAACCGUUGGGAGGCAAAACUAUAAGCCCCUAUCUUCCUCUGUGUCCAGCUGAAACUUUGACACCAUGAGUACCACGUGAGUUGUAACAAUUGUGGAAAACAAAAGAGAUGAUUGAGUAUGUGGGUUUGCCUUACAAGCUCUUAUUUGACUCUUUCCGAUGUUGUGAUAAAUUGCAAUUGCUUCAAUGACUAUGGACUAUUGUUGGUUACUUCUCGGUAAGGCUUUUGCUUCUUGCUUUGCUUUGUGAAGGAAUUGCUACUUUCCCAUAAGAAUCUUUAUGAUGUAUUGUUGUUCUAUGUGUGAUCAUGAUGCCCUCAUGUCCGUAUUAUGUUUUAUCGACACCUUCGUCCCUUAACAUGUGGACAUGUUUAUGGAACUUGGUUUUCGCUUGAGGACAAGCGGGGUCUAAGCUUGGGGGAGUUGAUACGUCCAUUUUGCAUCAUGUUUUCAUGUUGAUAUUUAUUGCUUUUGGGGUUGUCAUAUUACUUGUGGUACCAUAUUUAUGCCUUUUCUCUCUUAUUUUGCAAGGAUUAUUUGAAGAGGGAGAAUUCAGGCAGCUGGAAUUCUGGAAUGGAAAAGGAGCAAAUCCUAGUCCACUAUUAUGCACAUCUCCAAAUGCCCUGAAAAUUUACGUGGAUUUUUUCUGGAUUAUAUUAAAAAUACUGGGCGAAAGAACUACCGGAGGGGGGACACCAGGGCUCCACAAGCCCAACUGCGCCACCAGCCCCCUGGUGGCGGUGGGCAAGCUUGUGGGCUCCCUGAAGGCCCACUAGCCCCCCCUCUUUUGCUAUAUAAAGCGUCCUGGUCUGGAAAAAAUCAAGAGGGAGCUUUUUCGUGGUUUCGCCGCCGCCACGAGGCGGAACUUGAGCAGAUCCAAUCUAGAGCUCUGGCAGGACGAUCCUGCCGGGGAAACUUCCCUCCUGGAGGGGGAAAUCGUCGCCAUCGUCAUCACCAACACUCCUCUCGUCGGAGGGGAGGCAUCUUCAUCAACAUCUUCAUCAGCACCAUCUCCUCACCAAUCCCUAGUUCAUCUCUUGUAACCAAUCUUCGUCUCGCGACUCCGAUUGGUACUUGUAAGGUUGCUAGUAGUGUUGAUUACUCUUUGUAGUUGAUGCUAGUUGGAUUACUUGGUGGAAGAGUUUAUGUUCAGAUCCUUGAUGCUAUUCAUUACACCUCUGGUCAUGAUUAUGAUUAUGUCUUGUGAGUAGUUACUUUUGUUCCUGAGGACAUGGGAUAAGUCAUGUUAAUAAUAGUCAUGUGAAUUUGAUAUUCGUUCGGUAUUUUGAUAUGAUGUAUGUUGUCUUUUCCUCUAGUGGUGUUAUGUGAACGUCGACUACAUAACACUUCACCAUAUUUGGGCCUAGAGGAAGGCAUUGGGGAGUAGUAAGUAGAUGAUGGGUUGUUGGAGUGACAGAAGCUUAAACCCCAGUCUAUGCGUUGCUUCGUGAGGGGCUGAUUUGGAUCCACUAGUUUAAUGCUAUGGUUAGACUUUGUCUUAAUUCAUCUUUUGUAGUUGCUGAUGCUUGCGAGAGAGGUUAAUCAUAAGUGGGAUGCUUGUCCAAGUAAGGGCAGUACCCAAGCGCCGGUCCACCCACAUAUCAAACUAUCAAAGUAACGAACGCGAAUCAUAUGAACAUGAUGAAACUAGCAUGACAGAAAUUCCCGUGUGUCCUCGGGAGCGUUUUUCCUCCUAUAAGACUUUGUUCAGGCUUGUCCCUUGCUACAAAAGGGAUUGGGCCACUUGCUGCACCGUUGCUAUUACUUGUUACUUGUUACUCUUUUCUUGCUAUGUUUCACCUCGCUACACAAUCACUUGUUACCGCUACUUUCAGUGCUUGCAGUUAUUACCUUGCUGAAAUCCGUUUAUCAGAGCCUUCUGCUCCUCGUUGGGUUCGACACUCUUACUUAUCGAAAGUACUAUGAUUGAUCCCGUAUACUUGUGGGUCAUCACAUCUCAUCUCCAAACCCUAGUUCAUCACUUGUAACCAAUCUCCGUCUCGCGACUCCGAUUGGUACUUGUAAGGUUGCUGGUAGUGUUGAUUACUCUUUGUAGUUGAUGCUAGUUGGAUUAUUUGGUGGAAGAGUUUAUGUUCAGAUCCUUGAUGCUACUCAUUACCUCUCUGGUCAUGAAUAUUAUUAUGCUUUGUGAGUAGUUACUUUUGUUCCUGAGGACAUGGGAUAAGUCAUGCUAAUAGUAGUCAUGUGAAUUUGGUAUUCGUUCGAUAGUUUGAUAUGUUGUAUGUUGUUUUUCCUCUAGUGGUGUUAUGUGAACGUCCACUACAUAACAAUUCACCAUUAUUUGGGCCUGGAGGAAGGCAUUGGGAAGUAGUAAGUAGAUGAUGGGUUGCUAGAGUGACAGAAGCUUAAACCCUAGUUUAUGCGUUGCUUCGUAAGGGGCUGAUUUGGAUCCACUAGUUUAAUGCUAUGGUUAGACUUUGUCUUAAUUCUUCUUUCGUAGUUGCGGAUGCUUGUGAGAGGGGUUAAUCAUAAGUGGGAUGCUUGUCCACGUAAGGGCAGUACUCAAGCGCCGGUCCACCCACAUAUCAAACUAUCAAAGUAACGAACGCGAAUCAUAUGAACAUCAUUAAACUAGCAUGACAGAAAUUCCCAUGUGUCCUCGGGAGCGUUUUUCCUCCUAUAAGACUUUGUCCAGUCUUGUCCCUUGCUACAAAAGGGAUUGGGCCACUUUGCUGCACCAUUGCUACUUUUUUUACUUGUUGCUUGUUACGAAUCAUCUCACCACACAAUCACUAGUUACCGACAAUUUCAGUGCUUGCAGAUUUUACCUUGCUGAAAACCACUUGUCAGAUCCUUCUGCUCCUCGUUGGGUUUGACACUCUUACUUAUCGAAAGGACUACGACUGAUCCCCUAUACUUGUGGGUCAUCAGUUAUGAACCCAAAACCAAGCACUUCUCCCAUGCAAGAAUUAUAGAUCAAGUUGGCCAAACGAAACCCAUAACUCGAAGAGAAUUACAAGGAUACGAAAUCAUGCAUAUAAGAGAUCAGAGGAGACUCAAAUAAUAUUCAUAGAUAAUCUGAUCAUAAAUCCACAAUUCAUCGGAUCUCGACAAACACACCGCAAAAGAAAGUUACAUCGGAUAGAUCUCCAUGAAGAUCAUGGAGAACUUUGUAUUGAAGAUCCAAGAGAGAGAAGAAGCCAUCUAGAAACUAGCUAUGGACCCGAAGGUCUGUGGUGAACUACUCACGCAUCAUCGGAGAGGCAAUGGUGUUGAUGAAGAAGCCCUCCGUGUCCAAAUCCCCCUCCGGCAGGGCACCAGAACAGUCCCGAGAUGGGAUCUUGCGGAGACAGAAGCUUGCUACGGCGGAAAAGUAUUUUCGUGGCUCUCUCUGGUGGUUUUGGAAUUUUAGAGAAUUUAUAGGCGAAAGAGGUAGGGCAAAGGAGCCACGUGGGGCCCACAAGCCUACGAGCCCCCCCCAGACCGCGGCUAGGGGGCUUGUAAUCUCCCCCGAGGUCUUCUGCCUUGGUUCUCAAGUCCCGUGCGUAUCUUCUGUAAUGGAAAAAAUCAUCCCGCAGGUUUUAUUCCGUUUGACUCCGUUUAAUAUUGUUCUCUGGAAAAGGUCAAAAACACGGAAAAAAGAGAAACUGGCACUUGGCACUGAGUUAAUAGGUUAGUCCCAAAAAGAUAUAAAAUAGCAUAUUCAUGGAUACAAAACAUCCAAAGUUGACAAGAUAAUAGCAUGGAACCAUCAAAAAUUAUAGAUACGUUAGAGACGUAUCAGCCGCCAAGUUAAUCUUGACAUCCAUGGCCCAGGUUAGAUAAUUUGUGCCAUCAAUGGCAAGCUCAGCAAAUUCCUUCUUGGAUAUGUCAGCCAUAUCCUGCAUGAAAAUAUUAUGCGCAUUAAUUUACACUCAUGUAAAUUAAUUGUGUGUAAAAUAAAAUGAUUGAUUAAAUAUAAAGGUCUAGGAAAAGCCUAAACGACCCAAAAUAUGACUGUCUACAAAAGAUAAUCACCAUGAAAUGGCGUAGAUCUUUUUUUUUGUAGAACACAUAGAGGUAAUCACCAUGAAGUGGCGUAGACACUCGUAUGGCGAUUUUCAUGCCAUAAUAUGUGUGCUUUCAUUUUCGCUUUGAGAUAAUCACUACGAAGUAGUGCAGACCUUAAUCUCAUGGUACUUUGUACAACCUUGUGUUAUUUAAAACACUUUGAAGGUAAUCACCGUGUGGUGUAGACCUCACAGUCGUGAACAAAGCAUACAUUGCAUUAGAUGCAAUCCAUAAGAUACGUGCAAAAACUGAAAGUAGUCAUAUAAUUUUCAAGCAUAAUCAACAUGUAGCAAUUAAAAAUUGCAUCCAUACACAUGUUGACAUUGCAAUAAGCAGAUAUUAUAUAGUACUAUGUUAGAAAAUACUAACAAACACAUAUGUACAAAAACUAAAAGCUAGAAUCUAAUCAGAAAAUGAAACGAAAAGAAGAAAAAAUGCCAAUAUGCCAACACAUGCAGCCUGCUACCCGUGGCAAAUACACUUUUGCUUUUCGUUCUUGAUUCUUUUUUUUCUCGUAUAGCAUGGGAGGCAACUAGGCUCAGCAUGCUGCCUGUACGCACGCUACGAGAGCUCUGCAUGCUGCCUGUACGCACACCACGAGGGGCUCUGCAUGUUGCUUGUACGCACGCCACGAGAGACUCUGCAUGCUGCCUUUUUUGCACAGCUGUACGCAUCGGAAAAACGGGAGGAUAAGGGAGGCAGGGACAUGUCGUUCUCGUCCAGAAAUCAUCCCGAUUCAUAUCCAGCGCGAGAAGCAAGCUCUUUCACCAGCACCGCCAACCUCCGCCACCGAUGGCUGCCUCACCAGUGUGGAGAAUAAGGCCUGGCGUGGCAUGCUCUUCCUCCUCUGAAGAAGACCCUCCAGGCAGGUGCGUCCCGGGAGCAACUCCGUUGGACUGGCUAUUGGCCAGCCCAAGAUUCUCCGGGCUCCAUCGUCCCGGCCGACGGCCGGCGUGCUGCAGCACGGCGCGUGGCACUAUGUGCCAGCGGCGGGGCGUCGAAGGACCGGUGGAGGUGCUCGCCCUGUUGUCGAAGACGUCCCCGAGCGUAGCACUCCGAGCGGGGAGGCGCGGCCCAAGGCUGGCGCUUGACGAAGAGGCGCUGGUGUCCACGUUUAUGGCGCGUGCACCAACCGGCGAGGGCCUUUGCUCUGCUCUCGGUAGAGUUACGGGCUGAUAACGUGUUUAGAAUGAUUAAAUCAGACUAUCUCUUUCAUUGAUGACCCGUGAGGAUUAAAUACAACGGAACCGUCACCAACGCCACGAAGGGACGCAUCCCAUCGUGGGGGCGUGCGAGCGCUGUGAACGGUUGCGAGGGGUAAACCGCACGUUAAUUACAAGGGAGGAUUAUUCNGGAAAACGUUUCCCAAACAAAAAACAAUCCUAGCCCCUACGCCCGAUCCAAUCCGGGAGGAGGCAACCACCGCCUGCCCCUACGCCCCGUGCCGCCCCCACUGUCUCCCCUCGCAGCCGUCAAAAGCCACACGUCGUCGUCGCCGCCGGCCAUGGCCUCUCUCUCCCCAACCGCAAGAAGAGGAGACCCAGGAGGUGAGCCGGCGGCCGCCAUGGAUUGGCCUUGUACACGUGUGUGCCUGGCUGAGGUUCGUAUUGUCUUCUCCGUCCCGUCCGUGUCCCUGUCCCCGUCCCAUCUCCAUCCCCGGCGCCAUGCUCUGCUCUACUCUUCUCAUGAACAUGCAUGUUCGUGGUGACUCAGUUUGAUUUCUCUGCCGCUCGCCGCUGUCAAAACAACUACUGAACUACAGUUUUUAGGUCUAUAAACUCGUGAAUAAGCCGGCACCACAUUUUGCUUCAGUUUCUAUGUCUCGGUCAGUUAGUUUCUUUCAAUUAACUCAACGUGAUGGAUCAAAGUGCGCUGACGAUGAAGGAAUGUGAGUGAUGGCUGCAGAUUUUUAUAAACAAUUGUUCACCUUCGAAGGCUCGAAUGAGGGUGAGAGACUGCUUCAGCACAUCAACCCUUUGGUGACAGAAGUGAUGUAUGGGCAGCUUACUGAGGCCUUUACUGAUGAGGAGAUUGAGAAAGCAUUAUUCUAGAUGGGUCCUACAAAGUCACCUGGACCAGACGGUUGCCCGGCAAUGUUUUAUCAACGACACUAGUCGUUGGUGAAAGAUGACGUGUGCAACGCUGUGAAGGAAUUCCUGGCGGGAAAGGAAACACCAAAUGGUUUUAAUGAUACUAUUAUUGUGAUGAUACCGAAAGUUAACUCACCGGAGUUACUCUCGUAGUUUCGACCUAUUAGUCUAUGUAAUGUACUAUAUAAGAUUGCUGCAAAAAUUUUGGCAAAUAGACUCAAGGUGGUGUUACCUAUUUUGAUUUCAGAAGAACAAAGUGCUUUUGUCCCGGACAGGCUAAUAACAGAUAAUGUUUUGGUGGCGUACGAGUGUGUUUAUGCUAUUAGGAAAAGGAAAAUAAAGAAGCCUCUGUGUGCAGUGAAGUUAGAUAUGAUGAAGGCGUAUGACAGAGUGGAAUACAAGUUCCUAAGGCAGAUGAUGGAAAGAAUUGGUUUCAUUGGGUCAUGGAUAGAGAUGGUUAUGCGAUGUGUCACUUCAACACACUUCCAGGUUAAGAUGAUUGGUGGUUUAUCACAUAGUUUUGCCUCGUCCAAACGAUUACGACAAGGAGACCCUUUGUCCCCAUAUCUCUUCUUGUUUUGUGUGGAGGGUUUCUCAGCUUUGUUGAAGCAUGCUCAAGAGGUGAAGGGCAUUAAGGGUGUCUCGUUUGGGAGCACUGGCCCCACUGUGACACAUCUUCUCUUUGCAGAUGAUAGUGUGGUGUUCCUGGAGGGGUCCCAUGCGAAUUUUCAGAGAUUGCUGAUAACCCACAAGUAUAGGGGAUCGCUACAGUUUUAUAGGGUAGAGUAUUCAACCCAAAUUUGUUGAUUUGACACAAGGGGAAGCCAAAGAAUAUUCUCGAGUAUUAGCAGUUGAGUUGUCAAUUCAACCACACCUGAAAGACUUAGUAUCUGCAGCAGAGUUUCAGUAGCAAAGUAGUGUGAUUGUAACGGUAGCAGCGGUAACAGUAACAGUAGUGACAGCAGUAGCGGUAACAGUAGCAGCAGUGACAACAGUAGCGGUAAAGUAACGUAGCAAGGACCAGUAGUAAAAGACUCGUAGGCAUUGGAUCGGUGAUGGAUAAUUAUGUCAGAUGACAUUCAUCAUGUAACAGUUAUAACAUGGGGAGAUAUGUAACUAGCUCGAGUUCGUUAAUGUAAUGUAGGCAUGUAUUCCGUAUUUAGUCAUACGUGCUUAUGGAAAAGAACUUGCAUGACAUCUAUUGUCCAUCCCUCCGGUAGCAGCGGGGUCCUAAUGGAAACUAAGGGAUAUUAAGGUCUCCUUUUAAUAGAGAACCGGAACAAAGCAUUAGCACAUAGUGAAUACAUGAACUCCUCAUACUAUGGUCAUCUUCGGGAGUGGUUCUGGCUAUUGUCACUCUGGGGUUGCCGGGUCAUAACACAUAGUAGGUGACUACAACUUGCAAGAUAGGAUCAAGAACACACAUAUAUUGAUGAAAACAUAAUAGGUUCAGAUCUGAAAUCAUGGCACUCGGGCCCUAGUGACAAGCAUUAAGCAUAGCUAAGUAGUAGCAACAUCAAUCUCAGAACAUAGUGGAUACUAGGGAUAAAUCCCCAUCAAAACUAACUCGAUUACAUGAUAGAUCUCAUCCAACCCAUCACCGUCCAGCAAGCCUACAAUGAGAUUACUCACGACCGAUGAAGAGCAUCAUGGAAUUGGCGAUGAAGGAUGGUUGGUGAUGACGACGGCGUCGAUUUCCCCUCUCAGGAGCCCAGAACGGACUCCAGAUCUACCCUCCAGAGGAAGAACAUGUGGUGGCGGCGGCUCCGUGUCGUAAAACGCGAUGAACUCUUCUCUCUGAUUUUUUUCCGGGCAGGAGAGAAUAUAUAGAGCUGGAAUUGGAGGCGCCGGAGCCACGAGGGGCUCACAAGCCUGCCAAGCCCGACCACAGGGGGCGGACCUCCUGGGCUUGUGAGCUCCUGGCUCCGUGUCUCCAGGUGAUUCUUGUGCCGGUAUUUUUAUAUAUUCCACAAAAAAUCCUGUAAAUUUCCAGGUCAUUCCGAGAACUUUUACUUCUCCGCAAAAACAACACCAUGGCAAUUCUACUGAAAACAAUGUUAGUCCAGGUUAGUUCCAUUCAAAUCAUGCAAAUUAGAGUCCAAAACAAGGGCAAAAGAGUUUGGAAAAGUAGAUACGAUGGAGACGUAUCAACUCCCCCAAGCUUAAAGCCUUCCUUGUCGUCAAGCAAUUCAGUUGUCAAACUGAAAGAGACAAAAGAAAAACUUUUACGAACUCUGUUUGACCUUGUUGUUGUAAUUAUGUCUAACUCAUAUUCAGAUUUUCAGCAAGAUCAUAAGCUAACCACAUAAGCAAUGACAUUUAGGUCUCAUGAUGUACUCAUAUCAAUGGCAUAAUCAACUAGCGAGCAAUAAUAAUAAGUUUCAAACGUCAACACUUCAAUCGAAACAAUCAUGAAACAAUAUGAACAGAUGGUAUCUCGCUAGCCCUUUCUGAGACCGCAAAACAUAAAAUGCAGAGCACCUUCAAAGACCAAGGGCUGAAUGAACAUUGUAAUUCAUGGCAAAGAAGAUCCAGUCACAGUCAUACUCAAUAUCAAUUAAAAGCAAAGCAUAAAAACGACGGAGGUGCUCUCUAACUGGUUCCUUUUGAUAAGGAGAGGACGACUCAACAGAAAUGUAAAUAGAUAGGCCCUUCGCAGAGGGAAGCACUGAUUUGCACAGGUGCCAAAGCUCAAGCUUUUAAAACAAAGAUAAAUAAUUUUAAGUGGUAUGCUCUCAUUGUCAACGCGAUGACCAAGAGUUUUCACCAUCUUCCAUGCUACACAUACUAUAGGCGGUUCCCAAACAGAAAAGUAAAGUUUUGACUCCCCCACCACUGAUCAAUCACACUCCACGACUAGCCGAAUCCUCGGGUGCCGUCCAUACCAACAACAAUCCACGGGGAGUUUUGUUUGCAAUUAUACUUUCGAGCAUGGAACUGGGCAUUCUAGUUACCGGCCCCUUUCUCGUGAGUGAUAGUGAAUAAACGCGUAUCGAGGAUAACACGCCUAGCAUGGAAGAUUCUGACCGCCCCUUGUCACCACAUGAGCGGUUCGGGCAUACAAAACAGAUUAUUACUUGAAAAUUUAGAGAGUGCCACAUGCAAAUUUACUUGGAACGGCUGGUAGAUACCGCAUAUAGGUAGGUAUGGUGGACGCAUAUGGAACAACUUUGGGUUUAUGGCAGUGGAUGCACAAGCAGUAUUCCCGCUUAGUACAGGUGAAGGCUAGCAAAAGAUUGGGAAGUGACCAACUAGAGAGCGACAAGAGUCAUCAAUAUGCAUUGAAAUUAACCAACAUUGAGUGCAAGCAUGAGUAGGACAUAAAUCACCAUAAACAUGAAUAUCAUAGAGGCUAUGUUGAUUUUGUUUCAACUACAUGCGUGAACAUGUGCCAAGUCAAGCCACUUGAAUCAUUCAAAGGAGGAUACCAUCCUAUCAUACUACAUCAUAAUCAUCUUGAAAUUCAUGUUGGCAUCCAAGACAAACCAUUAUAUGCUCCUAGCUAAUUAAGCAUAGAUCAGAAACUAUGAUCUCUAAGUUGUCAUUGCAAACAUGUUUCUCUCAUAACAAAGCUGAAUUAGGAACGAUGAGCUAGUCAUAUUUACAAAAAUAAAAUAGGUCGAGUUCAUACCAACUUUUCCAGGCCAGUCACUUCAUCAUAUAUCGUCAUUAUUGCCUUUCACUUGCACGACCGAAUGAUGCGAAUAAUAAUGAGAGUGUUCGUGCAUUGGACUAUGCUGGAAUCUGCAAGAAAACACAGAGGAGAAGACAAAGUAAUAUGGCUCUUUCACCGAUAAACAAAUAUGCAUGUGAGAGCCACUAAACAUUUUAACCAUGGUCUUCUACCUUGACCCAAAGAAAAAGAAAACUAUUUACACGGAAAAUCUCCCAACAAACAAAAGAAGAACGGGAAAUCUUUUUGGGUUUUAUUUUUAAAUACCACUAAGCAAGCUAGAAAGAAAACUUACAACUAAUUUUUUUUGUUUUUCUCAAAUCAAAUAAACACACGAGAAGAAAGCGAGAAAAAGAAAUAAACUAGCAUGGAUGAUACAAUGACAAGGUGUGAACACCGACUAACAAAAUGAAAGUGUGAGCAAGAAUAUAAAGUCGGUGAGAAACCCGUACUCCCCAAGCUUAGGCUUUUGGCCUAAGUUGGUCUACUCCCACGGCUGGUCCAGGCGAUAUCCAAAAUCAUGAAGGGGGUUGUACGGGAUCGCGGCAGCUACCGCCUGAAUAGCUGCCUCAUAGAGGCGAGCAGCCUUCGCUUCGCUCUCAUACCCCACUGCCUCUCCUCUGGUUAUGUAAUAUCUCCAUUUUACCUGAAAGUUAACGAAGGCAGGAGCAGGAAGGGUAAUAUGGAAAACUCACUGUCGGUUAAAUAAUAACCGGUAUAGGAGGGAUUCAUUAUCCCUCUCAAGGAACUGAUAACGUGUCAUAGCGGCGCGAUCAAGGAAAGUUGUAUGGAGCGGGGGAUCUCUUGUGCGGAUGGGUAUUCCAAGAAAAUUCGCUAUAUGAGUGGCAUAGAUCCCACCAAAGAAAUCCCCUUCAUUAGCAUUAUUAUUUAGCCUCCUCGCGAUUAUAGCUCCCAUAUUGAAACUUCUAUCACCCGUUGCUGCACUCUUAAGAAUACUAAGGUCAGGUGCGCAGAGGUGACAAUGAUCAAUCUUGCCGUUAAUGCAUCUCGUAUGGAGAGGGCAAAAUAAUGUAAGGCACGAAAAUGAAUGCUCCCCAUGGUAGCCUGCGAAAUAUCUCUAGUUUCUCCAAUAGUUAUACUAGAGAAAAAUCACUAACCGAAGACUUAGGAGGAUCAUUGAGACUACCCCAAUCAGGUAUCCUGCAAAUUCUAUUAAAAUCCUCUAAAUCCAUGGUAUAUGAUUUGUCAUAAAGAUCAAACAGUAUGGAUGAGUCACGGCCAACUGAAAAUCUGAAUCUACGAACAAAAGAGGCAGUGAGUGUAGUAUACUGUUCGCAUUUGUUGGAGAUGAAUUCUUCGAGCCUGGCGUUGUGAACAAAUGUAUCAAACUCGUCCUUGAAACCUGCAUCAAUCAUGAAUUCAUCUGAAGGCCAUUCACAUGGUUGUACCUGUGCGUUCCUCGGCUGAUAAGGAUCGGGUUCCCGAAUCGAGAGACGGGGACCCCUUUUGCUUGAGGAACCACCAUGAUAGUUUCUCCUGAACAUCUUCUCUUUUCUGAAAUUUUUAGUGACUCAAAAGAGAAGUGAACAAGGCUCAACAAAACUCAUAGCAACUACUCCUACAAGUGCCUAGAGGCGACACCAUGCAUCAAAACUACUUGGGACCAACUAAAAUGAACAUGCAAAUCUGAAGAACAGGGUCAUCAAGACACCAAAAAUACGCAACGAAUAAAGCACUAGAGCAAAAACUAAUUGGACCAAUGGAGGAGUCACAUACCAAGGAACAACUCCCAAAAACAGUUUGGUGAAUGGGGCUUUGCACAAGGAGAUCGAAAAAUGCAGCAAGAGGAGCAAGAACACGGGUUUGAGCUGUGGAAUGAUUUUUUCUGGAGGUAGAAGAAGGAGAUGGGAGCUGGAAUAAGUGGAGGGGGCACGUGGGGCCCACAAUCCUGACAGGCCAGGCCAGGGGGGGUGGUCGGGCCUCCUGGGCUUGUGGCCCACUGGUGCAUCCCCCUGACUAGCUUCCUAUCUCAGAAAUUUUCAAAAAUUCCAGAAAAAAUCAUACUUGAAUUUCAGGGCAUUUGAAGAAAUUUUAUUUUCGGGACACUUUUCUAAGAGACGGAGAAAGCAGAAAACAGGAAAAUAAAGCUAAAUUUAUCAUUUUUCUUCUAAGCAACAGAAAGUAAAAGUUGGGAACACAAGGUUGUGACUCCUAGAUUCAUCCAUCUCAUGGUCAUCAAAAGAAAUCCGUCAAUGAGGUUGAUCAAGUCUCCUUGACAAACUUUUUUCGAAUCACGUAGAACCGGAGUCGAAUAAUCACUAGGUUACCUCAACGGGGAUGUGCAUAUCCCCAACAAGUAAAUCAUACUUCAUCUUCACAGCAGGUAUAGGGAAUUCNNNNNNNNNNNNNNNNNNNNNNNNNNNNNNNNNNNNNNNNNNNNNNNNNNNNNNNNNNNNNNNNNNNNNNNNNNNNNNNNNNNNNNNNNNNNNNNNNNNNAGCAUAGCAUUUAACAUGAUACGUUAUCUACCUAUGUUACUAUAACCCCCUCUCUCUUCUUUAAUUACUUGCCACAUCAUCAUGUUUGCUAAUCCCAAUGCUAUGUUACUAGCUAUGAUACCCCCMMUACUGGCCAGCCUGACUUUGCUAUGUUUAAUGUUUGUCAACUAGGACUCAAUUGAUAUAAUUUCAGACCUGAACCGUAUUCUAUAUAUUUCAUGAAUAUCUAUGUGUUUGAAUCUUCCCUGAAAGUUGUAUGCACAUGUUAUAGUUUUCCACUAGAGACCUCGAAGUAACAAUAAUCAAAAUAUCAAUAGGAAUGAUUGUAACUUGAGGAUUACAUCUAUUCGCUGAGUGUUAAUGCUUUGCUCUGGUGCUUUAUAAAAAGAGAUGUCUUAAGUACCCUCAAUUUUCAUUAGGACCCUAUAAAAAUGGGAGGGCAUGACAAAAAAUAAUGUAGAGGUUAUUAUUGUAAGCACGUAGAGCUAUAUAUGAAUCACAUGCCUAUGUUAGUUGAAAAUACGAGCUAUCUGAUUAUAGUCUANNNNNNNNNNNNNNNNNNNNNNNNNNNNNNNNNNNNNNNNNNNNNNNNNNNNNNNNNNNNNNNNNNNNNNNNNNNNNNNNNNNNNNNNNNNNNNNNNNNNUCCUCAAAAUUGCCCUAGGUCUUCGUGAGCAAGCAAGUUGGGUGCACACCCACUAGUUUUCCUUUUGAGCUUUCACACACUUAUAGCUCUAGUGCAUCCGUUGCAUGGCAAUCCCUACUCAUUCACGUUGAUAUCUAUUGAUGGGCAUCUCCAUAGCCCAAUGAUACGGCAAGUCAAUGCGAUCAUCUCCUCCUUUUUGCCUCACAACCUGCACCACACUCUAUUCCACCUAUAGUACUAUAUCCAUGGCUCAUGCUCAUGUAUUGCGUGAGAGUUGACAAAGUUUGAGAAAGUAAGAGUGCGAAAAAAAUUACUUGGCCAAUACCGGGGUUGUGCAUGAUUUAAAUUCGUUGUGUCGGUAUGAUGGAGCAUAGCCAGACUAUAUGAUUUAGUAGGGAUAACUUUCUUUGGCCUUGUUAUUUCAAAAGUUCAUGAUUACUUUACUAGUAUGCUUGAAGUAUUAUUGUCUUCAUGACAAUAGUGAACUAUUGUUUUGAAUCUUACGGAUCUGAACAUUCAUGCCACAAGAAAUAAGUUACAAAGAACAAAUAUCUUAGGUAGCAUUCCACAUCAAAAAUUCGGUCCUUAUCACUUCCCUACUCGAGGAUGAGCAGGAGUUAAGCUUGGGGAUGCUUGAUACGCCUCCAACGUAUCUAUAAUUUUUGAUGGUUUCAUUCUAUUAUAUUGUCAACUUUGGAUGUUUUGUAUGCAUGAAUGUGCUAUUUUAUAUCUUUUUUGGGACUAACCUGUUAACACAGUGCCAAGUGUCAGUUUCUAUUUUUUCCGUGUUUUUUACCUUUUCCAGAGAAGAAUAUUAAACGGAGUCCAAAAGGAAUAAAACCUGCGGGAUGAUUUUUUCCAUAACAGAAGAUACGCAGGGGAGUUGAGAACCAAGGCAUAAGACCUCGGGGGAGAUCACAAGACCCCUAGCCGCGGCCUGGGGGGCGCCUGGCAGGCUUGUGGGCCCCACGUGGCUCCUUUGCCCUACCUCUUUCACCUAUAAAUUCUCCAAAAUUCCAAAACAACCAGAGAUAGCCAUGAAAAUACUUUUCCGCUGCCGCAAGCUUCUGUCUCCGCAAGAUCCCAUCUAGGGACCGUUCUGGUGCCCUGCCGGAGGGGGAUUCGGACACGGAGGGCUUCUUCAUCAACACCAUUGCCUCUCCGAUGAUGCGUGAGUAGUUCACCACAGACCUUCGGGUCCAUAGCUUGUAGCUAGAUGGCUUCUUCUCUCUCUUGGAUCUUCAAUACAAAGUUCUCCAUGAUCUUCAUGGAGAUCUAUCCGAUGUAAUCCUCUUUGGCGGUGUGUUUGUCGAGAUCCGAUGAAUUGUGGAUUUGUGAUCAGAUUAUCUAUGAAUUAUAUUUGAGUCUUUGUUGAUUUCUUAUAUGCCUGAUUGGAUAUCCUUGUAAGUCUCUCCGAGUCUUGGGUUUUGUUUGGACAACUAGAUCUAUGAUUCUUGCAAUGGGAGAAGUGCUUGGUUUUGGGUUCAUACCGUGUGGUGACCUUUCCCAGUGACAGAAGGGGCAGCAAGGCACGCAUCGUGUUGUUUCCAUCAAGCGUAACGAGAUGGGCUUUCAUCAUAAAUUUGAGAUUGUUCAUCUACAUCAUGUCAUCUUGCUUAAGGCGUUACUCUGUUCUUUUGGACUUAAUACACUAGAUGCAUGCUGGAUAGCGGUCGACGUGUGGAGUAAUAGUAGUAGAUGCAGAAAGUAUCGGUCUACUCGUUUUGGACGUGAUGCCUAUAGAAUAAUCAUUGCCUUAGAUAAUGUCAUGACUUUGCGCGGUUAUAUCAAUUGCUCGACAGUAAUUCGUUCACCCACCGUCUACUUGCUUUCAUGAGAGAAGCCACCAGUGAACACUACGGCCCCCGGGUCUAUUCACAACUAUCAUCUCCACUUUCACUUUUAUUUUGCUUUGUUUACUUUUUGCUUUCAGUUCUCACUUUGCAAACAAUCUAUAAGGGAUUGACAACCCCUUCAUAGUGUUGGGUGCAAGCUCUUUGGGUUUGUGCAGGUACUUGUGACUUGACGCGAUCCUCCCACUGGAUCGAUACCUUGGUUCUCAAACUGAGGGAAAUACUUACCGCCGCUGUGCUACAUCACCCUUUCCUCUUCAAUGGAACACAAACGCAAGGCUCCAAGGCCGCGGGGAAAUCGUUUGCAUAUUUGCCAAGGAAGUCCCUAUAGGCGUAGCUCGUAGCAGAAGGAUUCCUGGCGCCGUUGCCAAGGAAGGUCUGUUGACGCAGUAGCAUAGAUCAAGUUGGCCAAACGAAACCCACAACUCGAAGAGAAUUACAAGGAUACGAAAUCAUGCAUAUAAGAAAUCAAAGGAGACUCAAAUAAUAUUCAUAGAUAANNNNNNNNNNNNNNNNNNNNNNNNNNNNNNNNNNNNNNNNNNNNNNNNNNNNNNNNNNNNNNNNNNNNNNNNNNNNNNNNNNNNNNNNNNNNNNNNNNNNCUUACGAGUACCAGAAUUAAGAGGGGGAAGAUGUACGCUUAGCGGACGUGAAUUACAGAUGAUCAAAUGAAUGAUCCUGAACACCUACCUACGUCAGACAUAACCCCACCGUGUCCUCGAUCGGAGAAGGAACUCACAAAAGAGACAAUCACGGUUACGCACACAGUUGGCAUAUUUUAAUUAAGUUAACUUCAAGUUAUCUAGAACCAGUGUUAAACAAAGUUUCCACGUUGCCACAUAACCGCGGGCACGGCUUUCCGAAAAGAUUUAACCCUGUAGGGGUGCUCCAACUAGUCCAUCACAAAUUACCACAAGCCGCAAUGAAAUGCUCAAUCACGAAGCUCGCGAUCUCGUCGGAUUCCCUAGUGGAAAACCUNNNNNNNNNNUUCGACGUACCCGAUAGGAGCCGCGUAUCUCGUUCUCAGGACACGACGGAUGGAACUAGCUACGAGUGCCAAACCUCGAGUUUCCUCGCGGUGGCCCCGCAGGCAGACCGUUUGGGACCAACACCAUCAGCACUGGCCCCCCUUUUUAUGUAAAAUUACUCCUCGGGUAGCGCUAACUCCCUAUGCCAUUCAUUAUUAUCAAAAUUAUUAUGUUGGGCAAAUGUAAAACCAAUGUUGGGCCUUGCCAGACCAGCUUUAAUCUAAAACGAAUUAUCAAGGGGGUUCCCAUAACAACCCCGAUCGUGUUAGGAGCGCUCAAUUAUGGAACAUAACACCGGUAGCCGAAAACUAAGGGGGCAAAGGUGGAACAAAACACCAGGCUAGAAAGGCCGAGCCUUCCACCUUUUACCAAGUAUAUAGGUGCAUUAAAUUAAAUAGCAUCUAAUAUGGUGAUAUAACAAGGAACCCAUGCUUUCACAUGGAAGCAUCUGCACCUGCAACUAGCAACGCUAACAACAUGGAUAAGCAAGCGGUAACAUAGCCAAUCAGUGGUUUGCUAGGUCGAACAGGUUGAAGGUUAUCAUGGNNNNNNNNNNGUAUUUAACAUGUGGUAGGCAACGAGACAUAAUCGAUAGAUGCGAUAAAACUAGCAUGGCAAUGAUAGUAAUGGUAUCUGGGGAAAUGAUCAUCUUGCCUGAGAUCCCGCUUGGAAGAAGAAUGCCUCCGUGAAGCAGACGAACUGACGUAGUCGAACGGGUCCUCACAAUCCGGCACGUUGCGGAACUCUAUCGAGACGAAGCAAACCGGAAACACAAAUCAACACACGGAAUUCACCACACGAUGCACAACACAAAUGAUGCAUGAGCAGCUGAAUACAUGCAAGUCACGGCAUGACAAUUUCAGACAAUCAAAACUACACAUUAAGUGAAGUUCAAUAUGCGACGAUUUGCAUAUUGACGAAACUUCACAUAUGAAUUAUUUAGUUCACUCCCGGUUAUUUACACGGUAAUAUUAAUGUUGUCAAACAUGCGAGAGGUGAAGCGGAAAUUAAACUACCUACCUAGACAUUUUAAAUGAGGUCGGAAACGACAUAUAGCAUCUCCGGGACGACCUCACAUGUUAAUUUACAAUUCUGUCCAGAUCUGAAUUAACACAUUUAAUUAGUUGUUAAACAGCAAAACAAAUAGGUUCACGCGAUUCUACGCGUCAUUUCAAGCAAUUUACACAUAAAGAACAUCUCCAACGGAGCUACGGUUCAACAACUACGAGCAAAACAAGAAAUCACUACAAUAUGCCAAAAUCAGCCACAUAGCAUUUUCUCCGCGCCACAACUACGGGCUGCACAACUCCGUUAAACUCAUACAAGGCAUGGCACGGAAGAGGGCAAUAAGCACUACUACAAACAACUCACAACAACUAGAAUGGCAUCAUGGAUCACUAGGGAAAGAAGACACAAAAAUGGCUUCCCACACACUAUUUCAGACUUAGUGAAAAUAACACUUCAUGAAAUGCAGUUUUCGAUCUGAAGCAAUAUUGACAGCAGCAAAACCUGUAGCUACGGGACUCCAAAUGGCAUGAACAUCUACAGAAUGCUUGAGAAACACAAGGGGUACAACUAACUCCAUUGGACCAACCUCAAAAGAGCUACAGAUCAACAGUUAGAAGCAAGACAAGACAGCAACAAAAUAUAACAGAUUCCAGACUUACAAAUAUUUCAGCUCCUCUAAAACAGCACUAUUUCUAGCAACUUGAGAGCAAGCAAAACACACCUAAACAUGCAUUUCUAUUGCAACUAAAAAAUACCAGGGGCUAGUCUAAACAUCCAAGAACAACUCCCUAGUUGACAACCCCGUCAAACGAAGAACGGAUUAAAUCCUACGAAUUAAACAAAAGGGCAACAUAGCAAAAUAUCUCGCGAACUAACCUUCUCUAAUGCUAAAACUAAUUGCAUAGAAAAAUCCAUGGGAUUUUCCUACCCAGAAAACAUAUAAAAUAUGUGGGGUUGCACAACAAAAUAAUGGCACACGAAAAUGCGGGAAAGAUAACCUAUAUACGGGAAAAUAAACUACCGGCAAUCCAUACAUGCAAAAAUACCUAUGACCGCUCUAAAAUAAAUAGAAAAAUGAUCCCUAAAACAUGGACAUUUAAUCUACGGUAUACGGGCAGUCCGGACACGCGUGAAAAAUAAUCACGAGCACUAAUCUAAUGGGACAACAUGUUACUCUAGGCAAACAGUGGGUCAAACCUCAUCAAGCAUUUAUGCAAGUUGCAAAAACGAAUACUACGCGAAAUUCUACACCAAAUCGAUAUAAAGAUCACCUCGAUCCGACUUACGGAAUAUAACAUACGUACGUUUAAAAAUAUGGCAUUUUUCUGGAAACGGAAUAAAUCGCAAGAAAAAUAAAUAAAUACCUAAAGCCUAAAUGGGCCGAAAGCGCAGGCGCAUGAAAGCUAAAAGAUGCCCAGGGCGUUGGAUAGGGCACGGGUUAACUCACCUAGGGCCAUCGGGCCAUGAGAGGAGGCAGGCCGGUGCUGGGCGACUGGGCCGAGGCGCCGCGAGGCGGUGGGAGGCCUGCGGGGCAACUGGGCCAACUGGGCCGAGGCGACAGCCGGCUGGGCCACAUCGGCGCUGGCGCGGCAGGCCCAGGUGGNNNNNNNNNNNNNNNNNNNNNNNNNNNNNNNNNNNNNNNNNNNNNNNNNNNNNNNNNNNNNNNNNNNNNNNNNNNNNNNNNNNNNNNNNNNNNNNNNNNNCAUGUUAGUAGGGUGUUGUGAAUCUAGAAAUACUUGUUUUGAGGUUUGUGAUUCCCGUAGCAUGCACGUAUGGUGAACCACUAUAUUAGGAAGUCGGAGCAUAAUUGAUUUAUUGAUUGUCAUCCUUUGUGUGGCGGUCGGGAUCGCGCGAUGGUUAACACCUACCAACCCUUCCCCUAGGAGUAUGCGUUUAGCACUUUGUUUCGAUUACUAUUAAAACUUUCGCAAUAAGUAUAUGAGUUCUUCAUGACUAAUGUGAGUCCAUGGAUUAUACGCACUCUCACCCUUCCACCAUUGCUAGCCUCUCUAGUGCCUCGCAACUUUCGCCGCUGCACAAACCCACCAUAUACCUUCCUCAAAACAUCCACCAUACCUACCUAUUAUGGCAUUUUCAUAGCCAUUCCGAGAUAUAUUGCCAUGCAACUCCCACCGUUCCGUCUCAUGACAUAUGCCGUCACUUUAAUAUUGCCAUUGCAUGAUUGUAAGAUAGCUAGCGAGAUGUUUCAACGUCAUACGCUAAGCUAGAUCGUUGUACAUCCCGGUACACUGUCGGAGGCAUUUCAUAUAGAGUCAUCAUUGUUGUAAGUAUUGAGUUGUAAGUAAAUGAAAGUGUGAUGAUCAUCACUAUUAGAGCAUUGUCCCAUGUGAGGAAAUAAAAAAGAGAGGCCAAAGAUGCCCACCAAAAAAAUGAAAAAAAGAGGCCAAAGAGCCCAAACAAAAAAAUGAGAGAAAAAGAGAGAAGGGACAAUGCUACUAUCUUUUUCCACACUUGUGCUUCAAAAUAGCACCAUGCUUUUCAUGAUAGAGAGUCUCUUGUUUUGACACUUCCAUAUACUAGUGGGAAUUUUCAUUAUAUAACUUGGCUUGUAUAUUCCANNNNNNNNNNUAUAGAUGCACUCUCACCUUCCACCAUUGGUAGCCUCUCUAGUGUCGCGCAACUUUCGCCGGUGCACAAACCCACCAUAUACCUUCCUCAAAACAGCCAUCAUACCUACCUAUUAUGGCAUUUUCAUAGCCAUUCCGAGAUAUAUUGCCAUGCAACUUCCACCGUUCCGUCUCAUGACAUGUGCCAUCAUUUUCAUUUUACCAUUGCAUGAUUAUAAGAUAGGUAGCGAGAUGUUUCAACGUCAUACACUAAGCUAGAUCGUUGCACAUCCCGGUACACUGCCGGAGGCAUUUCAUAUAGAGUCAUUAUUGUUCCAAGUAUUGAGUUGUAAGUAAAUAAAAGUGUGAUGAUCAUCGUUAUUAGAGCAUUGUCCCAUGUGAGGAAAUAAAAAAAAAGAGGCCAAAGAUGCCCACCAAAAAAAAUGAAAUGAAAAACGAGGCCAAAGAGCCCAAACAAAAAAAAUAAUGAGAGAAAAAGAGAGAAGGGACAAUGCUACUAUCUUUUUUCCACACUUGUGCUUCAAAGUAGCACCGUGUUCUUCAUGAUAGAGAGUCUCUUGUUUUGUCACUUUCAUAUACUAGUGGGAAUUUUCAUUAUAUAACUUGGCUUGUAUAUUCCAAUGAUGGGCUUCCUCAAAAUUGCCCUAGGUCUUCGUGAGCAAGCAAGUUGGGUGCACAACCACUAGUUUUCUUUUUGAGCUUUCAUACACUUAUAGCUCUAGUGCAUCCGUUGCAUGGCAAUCCCUACUCACUCACAUUGAUAUCUAUUGAUGGGCAUCUCCAUAGCCCGUUGAUACGCCGAGUCGAUGUGACCAUCUCCUCCUUUUUGCCUCACAACCUCCACCACACUCUAUUCCACCUAUAGAGCUAUAUCCAUGGCUCACGCUCAUGUAUUGCGUGAGAGUUGAAAAAGUUUGAGAAAGUAAGAGUGUGAAAACAAUUACUUGGCAAAUACCGAGGUUGUGCAUGAUUUAAAUUCAUUGUGUGGGGAUGAUGGAGCAUAGCCAGACUAUAUGAUUUUGUAGGGAUAACUUUCUUUGGCCUUGUUAUUUCAAAAGUUCAUGAUUACNNNNNNNNNNGCUAGUAUGCUUGAAGUAUUAUUGUUUGCAUGUCAAUAUUAAACUAUUGUUUUGAAUCUUACGAAUCUGAACAUUCAUGCCACAAUAGAUAAGUUACAAAGAACAAAUAUGUUAGGUAGCAUUCCACAUCAAAAAUUCGGUCUUUAUCACUUCCCUAGUCGAGGACGAGCAGGAGUUAAGCUUGGGGAUGCUUGAUACGUCUCCAACGUAUCUAUAAUUUUUGACUAUUCCAUGCUAUUAUAUUAUCAACUUGGGAUGUCUUAUAUGCAUUUAUAUGCUAUUUUAUAUCAUUUUUGGGACUAGCCUAUUAACUCAGUGCCCAGUGCCAGUUUCUAUUUUUUCCGUGUUUUUGAUCUUUUUCAGAUAAGAAUAUUAAACGGAGUCCAAACGGAAUAAAACCUACACGGUGAUUUUUUUCCAUAAGAGAAGAUAGCCAGAAGACUUGAGAACCAAGGCAGGGGGUCUCGUGGGAGGAAACGAGCCCCCUAGGCACGCCCCAGGGGGGGGGGCUAGCAGGCUCGUGGGCCCCCCUUGCCUCCUUUGCCCUACCUCUUUCGCCUAUAAUUUUUCUAAAAUCCCGAAACCAACCGGGAGAGCCACGAAAAUAAUUUUCCGUCGCUGCAAGCUUCUGUUUCUGCGAGAUCCCAUCUGGGGACCGUUCUGGUGCCCUGCCGGAGGGGGAUUCGGGCACGGAGGGCUUCUUCAUCAACACCAUUGCCUCUCCGAUGAUGCGUGANNNNNNNNNNNNNNNNNNNNNNNNNNNNNNNNNNNNNNNNNNNNNNNNNNNNNNNNNNNNNNNNNNNNNNNNNNNNNNNNNNNNNNNNNNNNNNNNNNNNUGCCCUACCUCUUUCGCCUAUAAAUUCCCUAAAAUCCCAAAACCAACAGGGAGAGCCACGAAAAUACUUUUCUGCCGCCGCAAGCUUCCGUUUCCGCGACACGGAGGGCUUCUUCAUCAACACCAUUGCCUCUCCGAUGAUACGUGAGUAGUUCACCAUAGACCUUCGGGUCCAUAGCUAGUAUCUAGAUGGCUUCUUCUCUCUCUAGGAUCUUCAAUACAAAGUUCUCCAUGAUCUUCAUGGAGAUCUAUCCGAUGUAACUUUCUUUUGCGGUGUGUUUGUCGAGAUCCGAUGAAUUGUGGAUUUAUGAUCAGAUUAUCUAUGAAUAUUAUUUGAGUCUCCUUUGAUUUCUUAUAUGCAUGAUUUUGUAUCCUUGUAAUUCUCUUCGAGUUAUGGGUUUCGUUUGGCCAACUUGAUCNNNNNNNNNNNNNNNNNNNNNNNNNNNNNNNNNNNNNNNNNNNNNNNNNNNNNNNNNNNNNNNNNNNNNNNNNNNNNNNNNNNNNNNNNNNNNNNNNNNNNNNNNNNNNNNNNNNNNNNNNNNNNNNNNNNNNNNNNNNNNNNNNNNNNNNNNCGGUGUCCUCGCCUAGUGACAGAAGGGGUAGCGAGGCACGCAUCGUGUUGUUUCCAUCAAAGGUAAAAAGAUGGGGUUUAUAUCAUAUUGCAUGAAUUUAUCCCUCUACAUCAUGUCAUCUUGCUUAAGGCGUUACUCUGUUUGUUAUGAACUUAAUACACUAGAUGCAUGCUGGAUAGCGGUCGAUGUGUGGAGUAAUAGUAGUAGAUGCAGAAAGUAUCGGUCUACUUGUCUCGGAUGUGAUGCCUAUAUGUAUGAUCAUUCCCUUAGAUAUCGUCAUGACUUUGCGCGAUUCUAUCAAUUGCUCCACAGUAAUUCGUUCACCCACCGUAAUACUUGUUAUCAUGAGAGAAGCCUCUAGUGAACACUAUGGCCCCCGGGUCUAUUUNNNNNNNNNNNNNNNNNNNNNNNNNNNNNNNNNNNNNNNNNNNNNNNNNNNNNNNNNNNNNNNNNNNNNNNNNNNNNNNNNNNNNNNNNNNNNNNNNNNNAGCGGUGCCACGCCGAGGAACGACAAAUCUCGCCCACGAUGCGACGCAAUCACCACCACCCGGUCCUCCUUCCAGAUGGCAUCGCGCCCCGAAUAGAUAGAUAGAUAGAGUAGGUCAGACACACGCACAGUCACAGGAGAGAGAACGUGAGAAAAAUUAAAAAAUAGAAAAAGCAACGGGUCGCACGCACACCCACAUGGGACACGGCCCGGCCCGGCCCGGUCCCCCUACCCAAGCCGCAGGAGCAGCACUCUCACUCGCACCCGCACCGCCAGCCGUGAAGGAAAGAAACCGCACGACGGGGUGGCGUUUUUGUGGAUACCCCCCUGAAAGACCGGGCGUCGCGCGCACGCCCCCCUGCCCGGGCCAGCGCUAUAUAAGCGCGAGCCCGACGCGGCGUCGCUGCACAACACGCACCGCUUUUUGCACCACUCUUUUCCCCUCCCUCCCGUCUGCACGUUUCGCGCCCUCUUUCACGAUUCCGGUUACCUUCACCUGCACCCACCCACCGCCCACCCCCCUUCCAAGGGAAAGAAUACGGAGAAGGAACAAGGGAGAAAGCUCGUCUGCCGGCCGGCCAUGGAGAGCUCCUCAUCCUCCUCGUCUCUGCUGCUCAGCUCGUAUACCGGCGGCAGCGGCAAGAGGGGCAGGGAGGUCGACCUUGAGGGGCCGGAGGCGGAGGCUGCCAAGAGGAUGCGGCCCGAGGACCUGCUCGACCUGCUGGACGACGACACCGACGCCGCGGCGGCAGGCGACCUGGCCUCCGUCAUGCGGAGCCUGGAGAAGGAGAUAUGCGCCGGCGACCUAGCCCCGCCGCAGCCGGAGCUGGGGUUCCUGCUCGAGGCCUCGGACGACGAGCUCGGCCUCCCGCCGGCCGCGGGGGCGUCGUCCUCGUCGGACGACGCCGGGGGNNNNNNNNNNNNNNNNNNNNNNNNNNNNNNNNNNNNNNNNNNNNNNNNNNNNNNNNNNNNNNNNNNNNNNNNNNNNNNNNNNNNNNNNNNNNNNNNNNNNNNNNNNNNNNNNNNNNNNNNNNNNNNNNNNNCCGCUGCCGUCUUCGGGGACCAGAUCUGGGGCUUCGAGGACGAGAUCGAUGGCGCGUAUGCCUUUGGCGGCAUCGCCUCCUCGCCGGAGGCUGCGGCGGCGGCNNNNNNNNNNNNNNNNNNNNNNNNNNNNNNNNNNNNNNNNNNNNNNNNNNNNNNNNNNNNNNNNNNNNNNNNNNNNNNNNNNNNNNNNNNNNNNNNNNNNAUCUUUUGAGCUAUUCCUAGAAGUGUCACAAACAGCCUUAGAGUUCGUACUAGAAUAACACUCAUGAUACAUAUCAGCCCUAGAGUUUGAAUAUAGGGAGGUGUCGCACCUGAGAGCUCCUAUGCACUUUCGCAACAUCACUAGUUGUCCGCUACUUCCUUUUUUAUAAGGCGUGUUCAGUUUUCAAGUCCAGUAUUUCCAGNCGCUGGCCUAAACUAAGCUCUGUCGUUGAGCAUUUUCAUCUUUGACAAAAUUUAUAGAAAACAUCAUUAACAAUACCAAAUCAGUACCAUUUGAUACAUCAUGAAAUAUAUUUCAUGUCUUACUUAUUUUAUGGCAUAAGUACCAAUGGUUUUUCUAUAAAUUUGACCAAAGUUUGAACGAAUGAAUUCCAAUAUAUCGAUACACCCUUAUAAAAAUGAAUGGAGGUAGUACGAAAACCUUUUCCUGGCUAAAUCGUGUAGUAAAUGACAGAAGGUUCCGCAGAUAUACAUUUCGUACAUUUCAAAUUGAAACCUCUAGCGUAACGGGCCAUCAAGACCCGUAACUGGAAAUAUAUCCGUCUUCUAAUGUGCACCGAGAUCAUGAGCCGCUGGCUACACUCACUCGACAGGCUUCGUCCAGUCGGUCUGAUCCAUGAACAGUAUGAGAUAAAACUUAGCCUACUGGAAAUACAUUGAAGUUUUUUUAUGACACCCGUCCGGAGUCCGGAGUGUCAGCUCGAUCCAUGGAGGCGGAUUGUCAGUUGCCCUCCAUUUCCAAUAUCAUUUAGCCUCAGCUAGCAUUGUGUACCCAGUUGUGGCAACAAUGGCCCUGUUUGGAUCCAUAGGCUAGAGUUAGUUUGAGCUAGUUGAGGCUCAAAUAGCACUAAAGUAUCCAAACAUGAGGGUUAGAUUGGAGCUAGUUGCAUCUAAUCCACCAAAAAACUAGCCCACCCAAGAGGUGCUAAUUGGAGCUGGUUUUCAUGGGGCCCACUAAAAGUCACUUUUCUCUCUCUAUCCACGAGGUAAUUUUUUCGAAAAGGAGGCAUCGCCCCAGCCUCUGCAUCGAGUGAUGCAUGAAGCCCUUUAUUAAGAAGCGUAAUAAUCCAAAGCAAGUACAAAGUGUAACGGUAAUCCUUAAGCAGAAAUUACAAGGCGAUCAACGCCCAAAAGAAAAGAUAGAAAUAGGUGAAGUUGGCUAACUCCCUAUUCUAUCAGCAUGUCGCCAUCCAUAUUGGCUGAAGAUAGCCUGAGCUACCAUCUCCCAUCGGGCACACCCAGUAACCAAAGGCUCCCUGGUUUCCACAGGAGUGAGUAAGGACCACAUGCGGAUCGAGGCGGUAGUCCUAAAGAUGACCUACAAAAAAUUAAUACAAUGUUGUCUGUUAAAAACUAGGUCAUUCCUACAGUUCCAAAUAGACCACAAAAGUGCGGAUGUUCCAACUCGAAUUAGUUUGGCUAACCAAACAUUAACCCCAUCCAGCCAUGUCCCAAAUAACAUGUUAAUGCUGGUAGGCGGGGUGAUGUUAAAGGCAAUAUGGAUUGAGCGUCAUAAAAGUUUAGCCAUAGGGCAUUCUAGAAAGAGCUGCUUAAUUGUUUCAGACGACUGACAUAAGCUACACCUUCGAUUUCCCUUCCACUUUCGCUUGGCUAAGUUGUCCUUAGUUAAAACAACACCUUUGUGAACAAACCACAAAAAGAGUUUUAACUUAAGUGGCACUUUGACGUUCCAAAUAUGCGAAGAUUUUGGAAUAGGUGUAUUGUCAAUAAUAUGGUCAUACAUUGAUUUCACUCAGAAAGUACCAUUGGAGGUCAGUCUCGAAGUAAUUCGAUCAGGGACAUCGGUAAGACUAACAUCCAUUAGCCUUCUGACUAAAUGUAACCAUCUACCCCAUCUAUUGCCAACUAAGGAUCUUCGAAACUGGAUGUUAAGAGGAGUCUCACGUAACACUACCGCAACAGACGUCUCUCUGCGCUGGGCAAUAUUAUACAACUGCGGGUAUUGUAUAGCUAGUGGCACAUCCCCUAGCCAACUAUCCUCCCAGAAUCUAGUAGAUUCACCAUUACCUAUGAUGAAUUUAGUCCUAUUAAAAAAAGCCGUUUUAGUCCUCAUAAGACCUUUCCAAAAAGGUGAAUCUCCCGGUCUCAAAGUGACCUGAGCUAAGGUUUUUUGCUGCAAGUACUUGUUCGUCAGAAUUUGUACCCACAUACCUUCUGAUUCUCCAGAGAGCCUGAAAAGCCACUUGCUUAGCAGGCACCUGUUCUUAACCUCUAAAUUUUCAAUCCCCAACCCUCCCUGAUCCUUUGGCCUACAAAUAAUAUCCCAUCUAGCCAGCCUGUAAUUGGUCUUGAUCUUAUCACUCUGCCAGAAAAAUCGUGACCGGUAAAAGUCCAACCUUCUUCGCACCCCUACGGGUACUUCAAAAAAGGAUAGGAGGAACAUUGGCAUGCUUGUCAACACCGAGUUAACUAAAACCAAUCGUCCUCCAUAAGAUAGUAGCUUGCCUAUCCAACAGCUCAAUUUUUUCUCAAACCGAUCCUCUAUGCACUUCCACUCCUUAAUAGUUAAUUUUCGGUGGUGAAUAGGGAUCCCUAAGUACGUAAACGGCAACGUACCACCUUCACAACCAAAGAGUUGAUUAUAUGAGAGCUGUUCUGCUUUGGCUUCCCCAAAACAGAAGAGCUCACUUUUGUGGAAGUUAAUCUUCAGCCCAGAUAGCUGUUCGAAUAAGCAUAAAAUUAGCUUCAUAUUUCUGGCUUUUUUGAGAUCGUGUUCCAUGAAAAGGAUUGUGUCAUCCGCAUAUUGUAGGAUGGAGACCCCCCCCCCCAUCUACCAGGUGAGGCACUAAUCCCCGUACUAACCCUUUGUUAAUAGCCCUCCUGAUCAUUAGCGCUAACAUAUCUGCUACGAUGUUGAAUAAGAUAGGUGACAUAGGAUCUCCUUGCCUAAGUCCCUUGAGUGUCUGAAUGAAAUGACCGACAUCAUCAUUAACUUUAAUACCGACACUACCCUUUUGUAUAAAACAAUCGAUAUGUUUUCGCCAAAUCUCACCAAACCCCUUCAUACGGAGAGUUUGUUGCAAGAAAGACCAUUUGACCUUAUCAUAAGCUUUUUCGAAGUCUACCUUAAAAAGUACUCCGUCAAGCUUCUUGGAGUGCAAUUCGUGCAGGGUUUCAUGCAACACGACUACUCCUUCAAGAAUGUUCCGACCAAGCAUAAAGGCUGUCUGCGAAGAUUGCACCACAGAAUGUGCCAUCUUGGUUAGCCUAUCCGUUCCCACCUUUGUGAAAAUUUUGAAGCUAACAUUGACAGACAUAUGGGGCGAAAUUGUUCAAUACGCGAAGCACCCUCUUUCUUUGGUAGCAACGUAAUCGUACCAAAAUUAAGAUGAAAGAGUUGUAGGUGCCCAGAAAACAGAUCGUGAAACAUAGACAAGAGAUCAUCCUUAAAGAUAUGCCAACAUUUCUUAUAGAACUCAGCUGGGAACCCAUCUGGCCCCGGUGCUUUACCAUUCUUCAUACCCUCAAUCGCUAGUAACACCUCUUUCUCUAGGAAUGGUGCGGAAAGACUCUCGUUGUCGGACUGUCCGACUUGAGGAAUAUCCGCAAUCUGAUGCUCGUCCAUAGACACAAAACUAUGAGCCGGAGCACCAAACAACCGCUUAUAGUAGUUUGUGAUGUACAAUUUUAGAUUCUCAUGACCUACUAUUGUACCCUCAUCUUGUUCUAGUUGUAUUAUCCUCUUUUCCGAUGCUUGCCAUUGACAAUCAAGUGGAAAAAUUUUGUGUUGUCAUCCCCUUGGACAAUAGCCCUAACUUUAGCUCUAAGAGCCCAUUUCAUUUCCUCUUCUCGAAGAAGGAUCCGAACUCUUUGUUCAGCAUCAUACUUCAAAGCCCUCUCGUGUUCAUCUAGCAAGCGAGUUUCUGCCUGACGAUCUAGAGUGUCUAUGAAUUGGAGCAGUCUAUCUUGCUCGUCUUUAUAAACCCCAUAGAUAUUCUUAGCCCAACCUCUCAAGAAUUGUCUAAGAUGUCGAAUUUUGCUUUGCCAUCUAUCAACACUAGACUUCCCUUCCCCCACAUCCUUGUUCCAUUCCCUAGCAAUCAAGUCCAGAAACCCCUCACGUGUGAACCAACUGGAUUCAAAAGAGAAAGCAUCUUUUCCCCUUUGUGAGAGGCCUCACUCGAAUCUAGUAGGAGUGGGGUAUGGUCAGAUAUAGCCCUUUAAAGUGCACAAACCGUGACUAGCGGGAAUUUUUGUUCCUAGUCAACACUAGUAAGUACCCUGUCCAAUUUUUCGAAUGUUUGAUUAUGUAGAGAGUUAGCCCAAGUAUAUUUCCUCCCUGAGAGAUCAAUCUCCCGUAGGUUUAGGCUCUAUAAUUUUGUUGAACAUAAAGGGCCAUCUGCCAUCAAAGUUAUUAUUAUUAUUCUCAUCAGCUGUCCUGAUAAUAUUGAAAUCACCACCUACCACAAGUGGUAAGGUGUCAUCGCAAAUUCGAACUAAAUUAGCAAGAAAGGCGGGCUUUUGCUCUGUUUGUGCGGCCCCAUAAACCGCAACUAGAGCCCAUUGGAACCCAUCUUCCUUGGUUCUGAUUCGAAAUUUGACCGAAAACUCCCCGAGCACCACUUCGCGAACUUGAAGUGUAUGACAACGAACCCCAAGUAAGAUCCCUCCGUACCUUCCUCUUGGAGGAAAACAAUGCCAAUCAAAUUCAGCACCUCGUGAAAGAGAGUUGAGAAAUUGCGAUGUGAAAUUAUCCCGUCCAGUCUCCAUCAACGCGAUGAAGUCAAGACUAUGCUGUAAUGUUGUUUCCGCAAUGAACAGAAUUUUAGCCAAGUCUCUCAGAUCUCUGCUAUUCCAGAACAUUCCUUUCAUAUGUCAUCGUAGAAUUUUUUAGCAGUCUUGAAUUUCGCGCUCCUGCGUAUGGCAGAAACCGAAUACACCCUCCGCUUAUAAGUACGUUUAGGCUUUUCAAUAGCAUGCUCCUUGUCACGCCCAAGAUGCGACCCUAUCCUCAAUUUGGCACGGGGGCCUCGUGAGGGAUAGAAGCGCAUCUCGUCGUGUCGCAAGAAUGGAUAUCGUUACAAGUACAUGUACUGAAAAGAAGAGAUAUAAAAAGAGUUGGCUUACACUCGCCACAAGCUACAUCAGAGUCACAUCAGUACAUUACAUAAUCAUCAAGAGUGAGAGAAGGGUCCGACUACGAACGAAAACAAACGACAAAAGAAGAACGACGUCCAUCCUUGCUAUCCCAGGCUGCCGGCCUGGAACCCAUCCUAGAUCGAUGAAGAAGAAGAAGAAGAAGAAGAAGAAGAAGAAGAAGAAGCAACUCCAAAUGGACAAUCAACGCGCUCGCGUCAAGUAACCUUUACAUGUACCUGCAACUGGUGUUGUAGUAAUCUGUGAGCCACAGGGGACUCAGCAAUCUCAUUUCCAAAGGUAUCAAGACUAGCAAACCUUAAUGGGUGAGGUAUGGUUAAGUGGUGAGGUUGCAGCAGCGGCUAAGCAUAUAUUUGGUGGCUAAACUUACGAGUACAAGAAAUGAGAGGGGGAAGAUCUACGCAUAACGGACGUGUCUACUGAUGAUCAAAUGAAUGAUCCUGAACACCUACCUACGUCAUACAUAACCCCACCAUGUCCUCGAUCGGAGAAAGAACUCAUGAGAGAGACAGUCACGGUUACGCACACAGUUGGCAAGUUUUAGUUAACGUAACUUCAAGUUAUCUAGAACCAGUGUUAAACAAAGCUUCCACGUUGCCACAUAACCGUGGGCACGGCUUUCCGAAAGAUUUAACCCUGCAGGGGUGCUCCAACUAGUCCAUCACAAAUUACAACAAGCCGCAUAGAAAUCCUCGAUCACGAAGCUCGCGAUCUCGUCGGAUUCCCUAGUGGAAAACCUCAACUCUGAGAUUACCCAAAGCAUCACCGGAAUCCCGAUGCACAAGAUAUUUCGUCAAAGGUAAAACUAAUCCAGCAAGGCCGCCCGACGUGUCGACGAUCCCGAUAGGAGUCGCGUACCUCGNNNNNNNNNNNNNNNNNNNNNNNNNNNNNNNNNNNNNNNNNNNNNNNNNNNNNNNNNNNNNNNNNNNNNNNNNNNNNNNNNNNNNNNNNNNNNNNNNNNNAUGCGCCCGCGGCACCGUCGAAACCCUGUUUUUAAAGUGCGUUUAAAACUUUCUCUGAUCGGGUUGAGAUUUGAUGUGCGGUCGUGAUUAGUUAUAGCGAGGCCGCCUGUCGAAUUUCGUCGCGAUCAGAGACCGUCUCAUACCCGAACGGUCGCCCGUAGCUGCAUCGUCUUCGGUUAUUCGUCGGACGUCUGUCGGUGUUUUAAAAUUCGUGCCGCGCCGCGUGUUCUCCCUCUCGUCUCCGGAUAUCCCCUCUACACAGCCGCGUACCCAUAGCCGCGUUCGGAAUCGUCCGAAUCCGACCCCGCGGUUGGAUCCGGAGCGCGAUUCCGGUUAACCGAGCCCCCCCCCGUUUGUCCUAUUUAUAGACCCCCAUGCAUUAUUCAGACAAACCCUCUCUCUCUCCCUCGGGANGGCCGCCGCCGGCGAGCCGCCCCUUGCAGGUCCUGGCCCGGACCGCCUCCUGUCCUCCCUUCCUCUCCUGCCUUCCCUCUCUCACCUCCUGUUCUCUUCCCCGCAUGAGCCAUGGUAGCCAUGCUCCCGAUCCCGAUCUCCUCGGCCGGCCUCCGCCACAUGCCGCCGCCGGCGGGAAUGAGAAGGGCUGCCUCAGACCCGCCCGGAUCUGCAACCUCCGGUCCCUCCGCCUUGGCCGGAGCCGUUCGCCGCGAGGAGCCGCCGCCGGCAGCCGCCAUGGAGCUCGGUCCCGUGCGGGAGAACGGGGACAACACGACGCCCAGCGCCAGGCGCGCCCCCGGCCCAGUCGACUCCCCGGGCCAGCUCCCGCAGCCGGCCCAGUCGCCCCGCUUGCCAGCGCCGGCCCAGGCCAGCUCGGCCCACUCCCGCGUCUGGCCGCCUCGCCUCUCCUCCGCCUGGGCCCCAAGCCCCCUGCGCCAGUCCGGCCCAAGUGGCCAGGUGAGCCAGUCCCUCGCCUGAGCCUUUCUUUUUUAUGUAGCGCCCCUGUUCGGCCCAAUAGUUAGUUAGGUUUAUUUUUCCUUUUCUCGGAAUUAGUUAUAUUUCACAGAAUAGACGUAUAAUAAAAUGCCCGUAGAUCUUUAUCCGUAAGUCGGAUCGAGGCAAGUUAUAUAUGUUUUUCGCGUAGUUUUACGCGUAGAUUACGUUUGUGUACCUCACGUAUUUGUUUGAUUUAGUUUAGCGGGUCAAAUGCUUUGUUUACCGUGCUGUCUAUAUAGUAUAGCCGUCGUAUUUAUUUUACGCGCUAGAAUGUACUGCCCGGAUGCCUUAGAUAAAUGCCCAUGUUUUAGGGAUCUUUAUUCCAUGUAUUUUAGAGCGGUCGUUGUUUUUUUACGUGUAGGGAUUUGCCGGUAGUUUAUUUUCCCGUAUCUAGGUGUUUAUCUCGCAUUUUUGUGUGGCAUUAUUUUGUGUUGCAAACCCCACAUAUUUUAUAUGAUUCCGGGGUAGAAAAAUCUCAUGGAUUUUUCUGUGCAAUUAGUUUUAGCUUUUGAGUAAGUUAGUUCGCGCGAUAUUUUGCCGUGAUGCCCUUUUGUUUAAUUCGUAGGAUUUAUUCCGUGCGACGUUUGACGGAAUUGUCAACUAGGAAGUUGAUCUUGGAUGUUUUGUUUAGCCUCUGGUAUUUUUAGUUGCAAUAGAAAUGCAUGUUUAGGUGUUGUUUGCUUGCUCUCAAGUUGCUAGAAAAAGUGCUGUUUUAGACGUGUUGAAAUAUUUCAAAGUCUGGAAUCUGUUAUUAUUUUAUUACUGUCUUGUCUUGCUUGCAUCUUGUGAUCUGUGGCUCUUUUGAGGUUGGUCCAAUGGAGUUAGUUGUACCCCUUAUGUUUCUCUAGCAUGCUGUAAAUUUUCAUGCCAUUUGGAGUCCUGUAGCUAUGAAUUUUGCUGCUGUCAAUAUACCUUCAGGCUGAAAACUGCACUUUCAUGAGGUGUAAUUUUCACUAAGUCUGAAAUAGUGUGUGAGAUGUCAUUUUGUGUCUUCUUUUCCUAGUGCUCCUUGCUGCCAUGCUAGUUGUUGUUAGAUGUUUGUUGUAGUGCUUUUUGCCCUCUUCCGUGCCAUGCCUUGCUUGAGCUUAUCGGAGUUGUGUAUCCGAAGUUGUGAGGCGUAGAAAAUGCUAUGUGGUUGAUUUUGACAGAUUGUAGUGAGUUCUUGUUAUGCUCGUAGUUUUCGAACCGGAGCUCCGUUUUGAUCGUGUCCUACAUGAAACUUGCUUAGAAUCUCGUGUAGUUUUAUUUUCUCUUGCUGGUUGUUUGUUUUGAAGUGCUCGUAGUCGUCGUUGCACACAUAUUGCAUUCAUGCCAUCAUAUCUUGCGGUGCUUGUAUCUUUUGAACCGUAGCUCCGUUGGAGAUGUUCUUUACGUGUAGAUUGCUUGCCUUGACGCGUAGAAUAACGUGAACCUAUUUGUUUUGCUGUUUAACAACUAAUUAAAGGUGUUAAUUCAGAUCUGGACAGAAUUGUAAAUUAACAUGUGAGGUCGUCUCGAAGAUACUAUAUGUCGUUUUCCGACCUCAUUUAAAAUGCCUAGAUAGGUAGUUUAUUUACGCUUCACCUCUUGCCAUGUUUAACCAAAUUUAAUAUUGCCGUGUAUUUAAUCGGGAGUGAACUAAAUAAUUAACGUGGAGUUUCGUCAAUAUGCAACUCGUGCAUAUUGAGCUUCACUUAAUGUGUAGUGUUUGAUUGUGUGAUUUGACAUGCCGUGACUUGCAUGUAUUCAGUAGCUCAUGCAUUAUUUGUGUUGUUGCACCGUGUGGUGAAUAUCAUGUGUUGAUGCUUGUUCCGGCUUUCCCCGUCUCGAUAGAGUUCCGCACGCGUGCCGGAUUGUGAGGACCAGUUCGACUACGUCUGUUCGUCUGCUUCACGGAGUCGUUCUUCUUCCAAGCGGGAUCUCAGGCAAGAUGACCAUUUCCCCAGAUACCAUUACUAUCAUUGCCAUGCUAGUUUAUCGCUUCUAUCGUUUAUGUCUCGUUGCCUACCACAUGUUAAAUAUCAGCCUCUCAACAAUGCCAUGAAACCGUCAACCUGUUCAACCUAGCAAACCACUGAUUGGCUAUGUUACUGCUUGCUUAACCUGUUGAUAGUGUUGCUAGUUGCAGGUGCAGUUGCUUCCAUGUGAAACAUGGGUUCCUCGUUAUAUCACCAUAUUUAAAUGCUAUUAAAUUUAAUGCACCUAUAUACUUGGUAAAAGGUGGAAGGCUCAGCCUUUCUAGCCUGGUGUUUUGUUCCACCUUUGCCCCCUUUAGUUGCCGGCUACCGGUGUUAUGUUCCAUAAUGAGCGCUCCUAACACGAUCGGGGUUGUUAUGGGGACCCCCUUGAUAAUUCGUUUUAGAUUAAAGCUGGACUAGCAAGGCCCAACUUUGGUACUACAUUUGCCUAACAACCUAAUAAUAAUGCAUAGGGACCCGCCGGCACUCGUGGACUAUUUUUAAUCAACCCCCGGGCCAGUGCUCCUCAUGAGUGUUGGUCCAAACCAGAGCAGCUUAUUAACGCUACCCGGGGCAACUCGACGUUUGGCGUGGUAACCAUAGCUCAUCCGUCGUGUCCUGAGAACGAGGUACGCGAAUCCUAUCGGGAUCGUCGACACGUCGGGCGGCCUUGCUGGAUUAGUUUUACCUUUGACGAGAUAUCUUGUGCAUCAGGAUUCCGGUGAUGCUUUGGGUAAUCUCAGAGUUGAGGUUUUCCACUAGGGAAUCCGACGAGAUCGCGAGCUUCGUGAUUGAGCAUUUCAUUGCGGCUUGUGGUAAUUUGUGAUGGACUAGUUGGAGCACCCCUACAGGGUUAAAUCUUUUCGGAAAGCCGUGCCCGCGGUUAUGUGGCAACGUGGAAACUUUGUUUAACACUGGUUCUAGAUAACUUGAAGUUAACUUAAUUAAAAUAUGCCAACUGUGUGCGUAACCGUGAUUGUCUCUUUUGUGAGUUCCUUCUCCGAUCGAGGACACGGUGGGGUUAUGUCUGACGUAGGUAGGUGUUCAGGAUCAUUCAUUUGAUCAUCUGUAAUUCACGUCCGCUAAGCGUACAUCUUCCCCCUCUUAAUUCUGGUACUCGUAAGUUAGCCACCAAAUAUAUGCUUAGCCGCUGCUGCAACCUCACCACUUAACCAUACCUCAUCCAUUAAGCUUUGCUAGUCUUGAUACCUUUGGAAAUGAGAUUGCUGAGUCCCCUGUGGCUCACAGAUUACUACAACACCAGUUGCAGGUACAGGUAAAGGUUAUUUGACGCGAGCGCGUUGAUUGUUCAUUUGGAGUUGCUUCUUCUUCUUCUUCUUCUUCUUCAUCGAUCUAGGAUGGGUUCCAGGCCGGCAUCCUGGGAUAGCAAGGAUGGACGUCGUUCUUCUUUUGUCGUUUGUUUUCGUCCGUAGUCGGACCCUGCUCUUACUCUUGAUGAUUAUGUAAUGUACUGAUGUGACUCUGAUGUAGCUUGUGGCAAGUGUAAGCCAACUCUUUAUAUAUCUCUUCUUUUCAGUACAUGUACUUGUAACGAUAUCCAUUCUUGCGACACGACGAGAUGCGCUUCUAUCCCUGACGAGACCCUCGUGCCAAAUUGAGGAUAGGGUCGCAUCUAGGGCGUGACAGCGGCAUCGCGCCGGCGGCCCUCGCCGGCAGGCACCGAGGCUCGGCCGCCUGAGGCUGCGGUGGCCGGCUCGGGGAACCUGCGCGGGGAGGCGGCGAGGCCCGCGGCGGCGCACGGGGCGGAGCAGAGAGGAGGCCGGCGCUGGGGCGAGAGGGGCGCGGCGACGGACAGGAGGCGCGGGGCUGCUGGCGCGGCGCUCGGGCAGGGGAGGCCAGGGCGCAGGGGUGUUGGGGCGGCAAAUCGGCGGCGGCAGGGCGGUGUGGUCGGCUUGGGGCUGACGGCGCGCAGAGGGAGGAGCGGCGCCAGGGCGAGCACCGCGGGGCACAGCGCUGGCACGGGAGGAGCACGUGGCUGCAGGGCACCGGGCGGUGAGGCGCGGGCUGGCGGCGCUNNNNNNNNNNNNNNNNNNNNNNNNNNNNNNNNNNNNNNNNNNNNNNNNNNNNNNNNNNNNNNNNNNNNNNNNNNNNNNNNNNNNNNNNNNNNNNNNNNNNCCCACCCACCCACCACCCCCCCCCCCCCGCGCCGACUCGUAAAUCUUAACGAAAAACGGAUGAACUAGUAUUGGAUGAACUAAUCUCCCGCGUAGUUUGAAUGUUAAUUUGCAGUUCUGUUUGCCGUGUCUCUUCUGCGCAACACGUUUCUGAAACUGUAACCCAGUUUGCACUGGACUGCAAAGUGAGUUUGCAGUUUCACAAACUGCAGGGUCUGCUAGAGAUGCUCUAAACUUCACUAGAAAGCCGUCAACUUCUCGUUCCACAAGAGUAGCAGUAUCUCACUCAAGCAGCAUGAUAGUGACCACAUACAUCUCAAAUAAACAGAACUACAUCCGGACAUUUCAUAUUAGAUUGUCAAAUCCAUACAAAAGCAUGCAUAUUAAAAAAAGUUGCGUACUAUGUAGAAACCUAACUAGUACUCCUCGUCGAAGAUUUCGAUGAUCUACGUGCCCUUCGACGGAUACAAGGACGACGGUUGCAGUUCUGCCCCCUCCGGCGGAUAAAUAUGCGGCAACUGUGGGUAUGACCCCUCCGUCUGCUCCGUUGCGGCCUCCUCCAUCGCUAUCUCCGUGUCAAGCUCGUCGAAGAGGGCGUCAGCCUCUACCUGCCUCUGUCGGAUGAGUCUGCGGUUGGCCCACACCUCGGCCUCAUCCUGGAUGGAAUCCUGGAUCGCUUGCUGCUCCGCCAUCUUCUCGGCUUGGGCAAUGGCGAACUCUACAUCCACCUCAUCAUGUUCAAGCCCAGAGUAGCAUGGUCCUCCUCGUCCUCCUCCGCCCCGUCAUUUUCCAUUGGCUCUGGCAGCCCCUCCUCCGUCUGAUCCUCCUCCUCCGACUUCGGCAAGUCCGAAGGCAGGACGGAGCAAUGCGGGCGGCAUGCCGAUCCUGGAUCUCCGCCUCGAUCUACACCCGUCGCUUCGGCGUGAAAAUAGCAUACGUGGUGAUCCUACGGCGGACCAUAUAGACGGUGAAGAGCAUGGGAGAGCGGGGAAGAUGAGGCGGACGGGCUCGGGUGGCGGCGGAGGGAGGGAGGAGGCAGAUGUGCUAGGGUUGGGGGACGCCGACCGGCUUAAAUAGCCAGCUAUGGCCUCGGGCGACGUGCCGGAGCGGCACGACACGACGUUCACACCGCGGCGACGGUCGACGUGUCCGUUGAACCGUCGGGUUUUCGGAUGAGUCUGGAUGGGAUCCUAUCAUUAGGCGCCCCUAUAUCCGUCACAAAGUUAGGCUGGAUAUGAGAGGUACUCGUCAUCCCGAGUGUUUGAUGCCGGUUUGAAAGGCACUGUUGGAUUGAAUUUUUGUGACCGGUUAAUGAUCAGCGGCCUACUCAGGUGUUUAAGAUGGAUAUGAGGAGUCCAACUGUAGAUGCUCUAACUUCAGGCCAAUUUUCUCAACGAAAUGAGGUAUUGAUCACGCGGAUGUAGGAGAGAUAGAUCGAUGCUGCGCAGGUACACGCGACACAUAGAGAAAAAAUAUCCUUUGCCAAAGUCUUUAUCCGAUGUUUAGCUGCUUGGUUUUGAAUCUUCCUUUCUUCUAGAUGCCAACAUUUUCUUUAUUAGCUUGUUCUUUCGCUUGCGUCUUACACGUUGAUCACUCGCCAGCGUGUAGGUUGCCGCCUAGACAGGGAUGUUCCUCUCGUCUGAAUGUCCUAGACCUUUCUUUUAAGGAGAAAAGACUACAAUUUGAUUUUAAGUUAAUGAAGCCCUUACGAUUAACCUUACAACACAACAAAGGAAAGGGAUCAGAAACAAGUCAGUAUAACAGUGAUGAGGAGCAACCACAAACCGCAUAAAACAACAAACCAAUACGAGUUGAAGAUUGAUGCGACACGUUGGGUCAUCCGAAUUAACGUCCAUGAUCUGUCAUGUAGAGCGAAGAAAGAUGCGGACUCAAAAAGGGAACAAAUGACAAGAGGGGCCAUGUCAUCACAAUCCCAAGGGCAGCAACCAUGGCAUCGCCAUCCAGCUCCAUCACCAAAAGGAGCCAAUGUUCCCUUGCCCUAGAUCGAGAGGGCGCCGCACCAUCGGAAAAUGAAGAUGCACAUGACCCUAGAGCCUGGAUGGAAACUAAUGCCUUGGUCCCACAUCAAGGAUUUUGAGCACAGACCGUGUGCAAACUUGCACAUCUUGAGAGAAGCAUCAUCGAGGCCACAAUAUCCUCAACGUGAAUAGAAGAAGUUGUUGUCCGCCACCACACUGCAACCACUACCAGUAGGCACCUUGCUCAUGAUACGAAGUGUCCAAGAAGCGAAUGACGCCACAACACCGACUUCGCCCGAUCUGAAGAUAGACCAAGGUUUUCACAUAGAGUAGAGAGGAGGAGGCCAUCCAUAAUGAGGCCUCCAAGGAGGGAAACGUUCCUCGAGAGCGUCGCUGUCAAAAGCACCGACACCGUCAAGCAAAGCUUUCUCCUGGGACCCGACCUUCUACCACCCAAAUUCCGCUAGCCACACCUCAACUGUGCCCCUGAAGGGACCAACGGAUUGGUGAGGAAGACAUGUAGAGGUGGAGAUGACACCCAAAACAGAGAAAGGUGCAACUUCGACGACAAUACCCAGGCAUGAACAUCUCCCACGCGAGCUGCCUUCUCGCUCGCACAAGCGAGGCACCACACGAGCACCUAGAAGACACCACCCACCGCGAGAGCACCUCCAAGCCCACAAUCCCGGAGUUGCCACUCGAGAGUGUGAAUAGCCAACCUUACAUGCCUUCCGUCGAGAAGACCAACCUUACAUGCCAUCCACCCAUGCUACCGCACCAACGCACAUCGAUAGCCUACAACUCCUCCACUAUCGGCGACCAUCUGCGUGACGGCUAGAUUCUUGAGGCUCAGAUUCACACGAAUUCACACGGACGUGUACCAGGUUGAGCACAAAUACGGUUAUCUAUGACUAUGGCCUAACGAGGUCGGACCAUGGAAGCUAGGAGGGAAGGAUGCCUGAAAGCCUCAACUCCGCCACUAGCCUGCCGACAUCGACGAUGAGGGGAGAUGGCAUGAGAGCUAGGUGGGAAGGAUGCAUGGAGGCCUCAACUCCGCCACGGGCAUGCCAACAUCGACGACGAGGGAAGAUGGCAUGGGAGCUAGAAGGGAAGGAUGCGUGGAGGCCUCAACUCCGCCACGGGCCUGCCGACAUCAACGGUUAAGGGCGCGGGAGAAAAACCAAAAGCUCUUUGAAAACAACCUAUACCCUUAAAAAACUUAAGAACAACUUUAGCCGGCCAACUCAAACGGACGUCCAUGUUAUCCGAGACUUGAGAACCUAGUUGUAUUUGUAUGCGCUUGGCGCCAUUGCCCAUUAUGCGUGCGUUGAUUCUCUUUGAGAGACGAACACAUCAACACAUGUUCCAUACACAAUUGCACACUUGCACUUGUCGACAAGGACAUGUUAAUUUAUGCGCUCGCCUCUAAAAAAAAUCAUUCCGGCCGCUCGCACGUCAUUCCAGUUUGUGCAGCCAGCCCAUCCUCUUCUAUUUAUAUGCUUGUUCGUUUUACAUCCGUUGCACUUGCACCCGAAGAGAAAAUUAAAGAAGAGAGAAGUUGCCCGUCGGCCAUGGAGAGCUCCUCCUCGUCUCUGUCGUUGAGCUCGUAUACCGGCAACAACAAGAGGGCCAGAGAGGCCGGCCAUGAAGCGGCCUCGUCCGCGGAGGCGGAGGCUGCCAAGAGGAUGCGGCCGGAGGACCUGCUGGACCUGCUCGACGACGACGCCGACGCCGCGGCGGCCGGCGACCUUGCCUCCGUCAUGCGGAGCCUGGAGGAGGAGAUAUGCUCCGGCGACGUGACCCCGCCGCAGCCGGAGCUCGGGUUCCUGCUCGAGGCCUCGGACGACGAGCUCGGCCUGCCGCCGGCCGCCGGGGCCUCCUCGUCGUCGGAUGAUGCCGGGGGCUGGGAGCCGGAGGAGCCCACCGGCGUCUUCGUGGACCAGAUAUGGGGCUUCGAGGAUGAGAUUGACGGCGUAUACGCCUUCGGCGGCGUCACCUCCUCGCCGGAGGCCGC
rnacentral:lncRNA from 1 species